rnacentral:lncRNA from 1 species
UGUUUUGCAGUUCGGAGCAUCCUUCCACCAGUCCUCGAGGAUUUGUUUGACGUUCGAGAUGCGUUAGCAGCUUGGAAGAAUAACUGGAAGCGCCAUUUUUCGCUUGAAAGAGUCGAAAGAGCUCGAUCAAUAUUAGCUGGAGUUCCGGUCUGUUCAGGCUCGUCGAACUCUUCCGGAGAUACUGGGGAGAAGAUGGUUAUUGUGACACUUAGGGAAAGGAAGAGAAGGGAGGCCGAGGCGGCUGCAAAACGAGCCGAGGAGGCUGAUCAGCAAGCCGAGGAGGCUACUUAAAGAGCAGAGGAGGCUCCGAAACAGGUUGACGGUGAAACUCAUGUGGAGCCGCAACUUGGUGACCAAGGGAGCAAAUAGAAAUGUGUCAAGCAGGGAGACAUAGUUUCAGAGGCGUCGACGAACGCGUUGAGCGAGCCACAGGAGUCGGCUGUACCAACAGCCUCGGCAGUGCUUGCUCUUCCUCAAUCGAGGCCAACUGCCUCGUAUUUGAUCGGUCACAAGGCGUCCAAUUGCAAGUGUACUGCAGUUGAGAAGGGCAAAGGUCUCACCGCUCCAAAGCCUUCGAAAAAGAAAACGAGGCGAGUUAAUGACGAGCCGGUCGAGAGGAAGCUUAUUAUUGACGAUCCGGUUGCCUCGGCGCGGUUAUUUGCAAAGGUGAAUAGUGCUGACGUUUCAUUCCCGCCUCCCGAGAAAUUUAGGCGAUCUAAGCCUUAUGCUGCCAUGGCUCAACGCGAGACGAAGGUAUGCAUUUUCCUGUUUUGAAGCUUUUUUCGUCUCUCGUCUUUUGAUCUUGCUAAGCCACUAACGUCUCGAGGCGUGUAUUUUUUUAUUAGUUCAACGCUGCCAUAAACGAGUUGAUGGCCGGUUACGAAGCUGAUGCAGUAAAGAUCGAGCGUGGUUUGGAAAAGGCAUAGCAAGCUGAUCUCGAGAAAGCUUCAAGUGAUACCUCCUGAGCGCAAUCCCGCGUCGUCGCGCUGGAGGACGAGAAAAAGGCUUUGAAGGCUGAGUAUGAUAGGCUGGUCUCCCGUUUUGAGGAGUCUCGGGUCCGGAAAAACAAUGAGAUUUCUUCUCUGAAGAGGCAGAUUGAGGCGAAGGAUGCCCUCUUUGAGUCGAAAGUGAAGAUAGCUAAGAAGGAGGCUUGGCGCGAGGCAGCAGCCAAAUUCCAGGAACGUUUUUCUAAGAUUGAAAAGAAGAUGGAAGAGCUGGAGAAAGCUAAGCGUGACGAGAAUGAUCUUGGUCAGAUUAGGAGCAACCUCGUACUAAUCAGUGAUCUCAGGAAGCCCGACGCCACUCUUGACGCCGAAGAAGAAAAGCUAAAGACAUGGGAGGCCGAGGUAAUUGGGGCGGAAGAGAGAUUUGAGCGCAUCGCGACCGAUCGUAGGGGAGAGCUUGUUGUUAGUCCAGUUUCCCGGACUCUGUUGAUUCUCGUCUCGGGGUCGAGCCAUUGGAGGUUUCCGCCGCUGCAGUCGGUGUUGUGGAUCCGACGGGUUCAAACAUCAACACCCUGAGGGCUAGUGAUCUUGCAGCUGAGGGCAUCUCCGACACUCACCGAGAGUGAUAGUUUUUGGUGUUCUUGACUAUGUACCGGAUUAUCUUAUUCCUUUGUGCCUGGAUGGCUUUAUCCAUACUUGUCGGCUCGUUUGUUUUUGCUUUUGAACCUUGUGCCUGGACAGAAUUAUCCACUUGACUAUUGAACUCAAGCUUAUAUGAUAAUGAUUUUGUCUGUCUCUUUUUUAGAAUUUCUGGUUUUGACUUAAUCAUUUCGCGAGAAGUAUUUGUUCCGAACGUUUUUGAGAAAAUUUAUUGUCAAACGUGGGUGUUUUCACGUAGUUUGUCGAGCCGGGCCAGGGAUGCGUUUGUUUUCUUUCCUGGCCAAGCUGUUCUAAAAAAUUGAUGGAGUGUCUCAAAUAAAAACAGGCUGUUUUCAUAUUCUAGCUAUCAAAUGGAUCCUAUAAAAUGUCUAAGGAGCAGCGUUCCCGAGCUGGGAGGUGUUUUAUUUAUGGUGUUGACUUUGAGAAGAGGACCAAUGUUAUUUAUGGUGUUGACAGUCUAUGCCGAGGCGCUGAGUCAUAAGGUAUUACGAGGUGUUUUAAAUCGACUAGGUUUUUACUUAUCAGCAUGUUGGACUUGGAUUUCUUAAAAUCCAAACCGAUAGCUUUAGAUCGGUGUUCCCGAGAGGCUGAGUGUACUUUACUGGGUUUUAAGAAGUCACUUUGGUUUUAGAGAAAGCGAUGUAGUCUCGUCUUAUAAUCUCGUGUGCGACAGUAAACUAUGGCGAGUGAUACGUUUUUGGUCUGAAUUUUGUAUAGCGCGCUUAAUUUUUAUCCAUAGAGGAUGUAACUUGCACCCUCGUCCUAGGAGAGAUGGUAAAAAUCCAUUUAAAGAACUUCGUGAUUGUUGUCUCGUUGUGGCCAGCAACGAGACGAGGUGUUCAAAGCUAACGAUCAAGAAGUUUACCGAAACGAAUGCAAGGACAAGUAAAAGUCUAGACGAAGUGAAAACAAGUGAAUAAGUGAAUGAAAACAAGUUUCUCAAAAAUUGCCGAAGUGAAAAUAAGUGUGAAAAACUAGCCGAAGUGAAAAUGAUCUUAGACACAGUAGAAUCGACAAGCUAAAAAUCUUAAAAAUCUAAAAAUCUUUUUAGGAGGGGGGACAGCUGAAACUGUCCGAGGAUGGGCUGCCUACGUACCAUUUGCAGGGAUCAAGCCGUCUCGUAGUUCAUGUUGGUCGUGUUGUAUCCUUAGUGAUAUAAUACUUCUUCAGCUGCAUUGUGUUCCAUGAUCUUGGAAUUGCUUCGUCAGCUAUCGUCGCAAGUUCAUAGACUCCUGGACGAACUACUUUCGUGAGCUUGUAGGGGCCUUCCCAAUUUUCUCCGAGCUUCCCUGCAUUCCUCUCGGCAGUGUUUUGGAAAACCUUUCUAAGGACGAGCUCUCCUUCUUUAAACCUUCGACUGCGAACAUUUUUGUUGUAGUACAUCGUUGUUGCUUGUUGGUAGUUCUGAACUCGGAUUAAGGUUUGGUCGCGCCUUUCGUUGACUAAGUCGAGGUCAUCCAGCAUCAUUAGGUGGUUCAAACCUUCCUGUCCUGGCAAAAGUCUUUGUCGCAUUUCGGGGAAAUCCACCUCGGGAGGGAUCACACAUUCUGUUCCAUAGACGAGGGCAAAUGGGGUUUCUCCGGUGGCUCGGCAUGGAGUCGUUCAAUGCGACCAAAGGACUCCUUCGAGUUCAUCUGUCCAUCGUCCCUUCUUGGCGUCGAGCCUCUUUUUCAGGCCAUCUAGGAUUGUCUUGUUAGCUGCUUUGGCUUGUCCAUUCCCUUGGGGAUACCUUGGCGUGGAUUUGCUCAGACGAAUUUUCCAUUUCUCGCAGAAAGCUUCGAAGCGAGUUGAGAUGAACUGAAAUCCGUUGUCGGUGACUAUCUCGUAGGGAACCCUGUGUCGGCAAAUGAUAUUUUUUCAAACAAAGUGUUCGACCUGAGCAUCCUUUAUGCUUGCGUAGGAGUCGGCCUCGACCCAUUUGGAGAAGUAGUCAGUAAGGACGAGCAGAAAACGCUUCUGGUUUGAUCGAUGUACAGGCCCGACUAUGUCUAUCGACCAUCUCAUGAAAGGAUAAGGCAACGAAAUUGAGGAUAACAGCUCGGUUGGUUGAUAUAUUGUAGGCGCGUGUCAUUUACAUUUCUCGCACUUCGUAGUGAACUUCUCGCAGUCCUUGACCAUCGUGGGCCAGAAGUAUCCAUGCCAUUUUAUCUUGAUCGCAAGUGACCUUCCACGAGAGUGAUUUCCACACGCUACGCUAUGCACCUCGUGCAUUAUUUUUCUUGCUUCAAGUCCUUCGACACACGUCAUUAGUGGUCAUGAAAACCUCCACUUGAACACCUCACUAUCGACGAGGACGUAUCGUGCGGCUUGAGCCUUUAAUUUGCAGCCUCCCACUUGUUGGGUGGAACUUUUUCGUCGGCGAUUUAGACUUGAAUUGCUACGAGCCAUUCUUUGUCGCAGCGAUACUCCAGCUCGGCUGACGAGGCGUCUUCUUCCAUUGCAAUCGCUUCGUUGUUAUCUGGCUCUUCUUCCGGAGGGUUGAUUAGUCGAACUCCUGCUACUUUCUCUAUACUCGGCCGUUCAAUGAAUUCGACCAGAAUUGUUUAUCGGAGAUCCGGAUCCGAGGCCGAGUCGAGUACUGCUAAGGCGUCCGCCGAGGUGUGUUUGCCUCGGGGUAUUCGCGUGAGCUCGUCGAACGUUUCUACUAAGCCUUGGACUACUCUAAGGUAAGCUCCCAUUCUUCCAUCCUUCGCCUCGUAUUCUCUGUUAAAUUGGUUUGCUACGAGCUGUGAGUCACAAAAGGCUCUUAUUUUCCGCACUUUGAUUUCUUGUGCUAGUCGUAGGCCAGCGAUUAAUGCUUCGUACUCUGCUUCGUUGUUCGAGGCGUGGAAAUUCAGGAAGAAGGACUGUUCCAAGAUCUCUCCGGUUGGCGAGGUGAGGCAAAUUCCUAUUCCCGAGCCAUGUUUUGAUGAUGAGCCGUCGACAUGCAGUGUCCUAAGUUCAUCAGGAGUCGGCUCGAUUGUUGCCUCAGCUGGAAGUUCAACAAGGAAAUCUGCGAGGACCUAGGAUUUUGCGGACGACCUAUUCUGAAACUCGAUAUCAUACUCGCUUAACCCGAUGGCCCAUUUUGCGAGCCGCCCAGACUAGCUCGGGGUAUGCAGGAUCGAGCGCCGCGGAGAGGUUGCGAGCACAAUAAUCGAAUGUGAUUGAAAAUAAGGAUGCAGCUUGCGAGCCGAUACUACGACGGCUAGGGUGACCUUCUCAAUCUGUGGGUAACGAGUCUCGGCAUCGGUCAAUGUCUGACUCAUAUAGAAGAUGGGUUUUUGUUCAGACCGCUCCUCUCUUAUCAACACUCUACUGACAGCCGUAGCGGAUACAUCAACGUAGAGGAAGAGGGGUUCUCCCUCUACUGGCUUCGCCAAUACCGGCGAACUUGCUAAAUAUUUCUUCAACUCCUGGAAAGCUGCUUCGCAUUGCUCGUCCCACUCGAAAUUCUUAUUUCCUCGGAGGAUAUCAUAGAAAGGGAGACACCUGUCGGUAUAUCGCGAGAUGAACUGGUUUAGCGUAGCGACUCUCCCUGUGAGCCUUUGAACUUCUCGCUUCGUUCUUGGAGAGGGCAUCUCGAUAAACGCCUUGAUCUGCUUGGGGUUUGCUUCAAUGCCUCGGUGUGUUACCAAAUAGCCGAGGAACUCUCCCAAGGUGACCGCGAAUCUACACUUUGCCAAGUUUAGUUUCAUAUGUUGUGUUUGUUUAGUUGCUCGAAGCAUUCCCAUAGGUGCGCGAUAUGGUCUUUUUCUUCGAGUGAUUUGACCAGCAUAUCGUCGAUGUACACCUCCAUGGUUUUUCUGAGCUGAUCUGCAAACAUCUUAUUGACGAGCCGUUAAUACGUUGCCCCAGCAUUUUUGAGUCUGAAUGGCAUGACUUUAUAGCAUUAAUAUAUUCUGCGGUCGGUAAUGAACACCGUUUUUUCUCUGUCGUCGGGGUGCAUCAGGAUUUGGUUGUAACCUGAAAACGCGUCCAUGAAUGUCAACAACGUGUUUCCUGCUGUAGCUUCGACGAGUCGGUCGAUAUGCGGUAGAGGGAAACUGUCUUUUCGGCAUGCCUUGUUGAGAUCUGUGAAGUCUACGCAGACUCGCUACUUGCCAUUUUUCUUCUUUACUACCACCGGGUUUGCGAGGCAGUCCAGGUAUUUCACCUCGGCGAUCGACCCUACUUUGAGCAGCUUUUCUACUUCGUCGUUGACAGCUUUAGCUCGUUCAAGGCCGAGCUUCCUCCUUUUCUGCUUGAUUGGUUUGAAGGUCGGGUCUACAUUUAGCUCGUGACAGGUCACGUCGAUGCUUAUGCAUGUCAUGUCCUCUGUGGUCCAGGCAAAAGUGUUGAUAUUUUCCUUGAGGAAGGAGAGGAGUUCGUUCUUGAGAGGUUCUCCCAGCUCAACUCUGAUCUCCACGCACCUCUUUGGAUGCGCUUCGUCUAUGCACACCGAGUCUACCGCAUCACAUACUAGGUCGGUGCGUGUUUCGCGGCUCUCCGUGAUCUGUGAUUGCUAUAAGAGUUUAGAGAGCUCGUUUGCGGGCUCUAGAUCUGUCUUCAGCUUCUUGCGAUCCACAUCUGCGUGUGCGUCGGUGACAGGGUUCUUCAAUUUGUGCUCCAUCAGGAACCACAUUCGCGACUCCUUCUGAUUUCCCCAAAUCGUUUUGAUGUCUGCUGGAGUUGGGAACUUGAUGUAGAGGUGAUAGGUGGAAGGGAUUGCUUUCAUUGCGUUUAUCCAUGGAAUCCCCAUGAUCACAUUGUAGAUCGCUGGAUGGUCGGUGACCGAGAAUUCGAUGAUCUUAGUGACUCCACCAGCCACCACGGGAAGUCUGAUUGUGCCCAUAGUCAUUGUUGUUUCUCCUGAAAAUCUGGUUAGAGGCUUCGAGACAGCCGUCACUUCGGAGAGGUCGAUUUCCAUCCUUCUGAGUAUCUCUCUAAAGAUAACAUCUACCGAGCUCCCGGUGUCGAUGAGUACUCUUGCCACGUCAUGGUCUCUGAUCGUUAGUUCGAUUACCAGUCGUUCAGUGUGUGGUCUAUCUAUCCCUGCCAUUUCUUCCUCGGCAAAAGAGAUUACCAUGUUCGGGAGAUCGGUCGGUUCGGUCCAAUUCUCCUUCGCUUUGGCUCGACGCAGAUAGGCUUUGUUAGAGGACACCGUGUCUUGGUAAUAUUGGGAUCCAACCAUAAUCAUGUUGAUCCUUUGCCUCGGCUCGGAUCGCUCUUUGGGUUCGCCUCUCCUGUCGUGCUUGGUAUUGUCGCCUCAUCAGGGCGGAUUUGUGGGUUCUGCUGCGCCGUUCGGCUCGGUUCCCUCUUUCGGCUUGUUAGGGGCGAGGUCUUUAAGAUUCACCGCGAUCUGGAGCUCUCUCGCUGCCAUUUUAGCUACGAGUUUUGCUCCUAGGGUUCGGCAUUGCGCUGUUGAGUGUCCGUAGGUUUGAUGAUACUCGCAGAACGCCUUUUUGUCUUAGUUAGUGGGCCUCCUUACCCAAGUGUUGUCACGCGGCUCUCCCUUUCCGUGUCCAGUGCCUACUUGGUAGUUGUGGGCGCCUCCGCUUCUUGGUUCUUCUGAGCUCUGCGUCGUCGUGUUGCUUGAGGGAUUACCUUUCUUCGAGGAGCUCGUCAGGAUUGAGCUCCAGAUCGCUGCUUUCGUCUCUUCGUACUGCUCGUCCAGAUUUUUCAUUUCUUCUUCGUUCACAACGAAGUCUGACGACCAAUGUAAGGUAUCCUGAAUUCUUUGCGGCGUGUUGAGCGCCAUCUCACAAAGAUCGCUUGAGGGCCUCGAGUGCAGCCUUGUCGCUUAUUCCUUCUACUUUGGACACAACCGCCUUGAAUCUUGCCAUGUAGUCCCGAAGCGGCUCGUUUGGUCCUUGGGAUAGUGUCCAUAGGUUAGCGUUGGAAGUUCCUCGAUCCAUGAACAUCGAAUACUGCUUGAGGAACAAAGCGGAAAGCAGUUGGAAGCUGCUGAUCGAGUUGCGCUCUUGUCUCAAAAACCAUUCCAAUGCGGCUCCCUAGAGAUGCUCUACGAAUAGCAGACAAAAACCGGCAUCUUUCUCCUGCUCGGUCAGAUUGGCAGCAUUCUUUGUGAAGGCUCGUUCCAUCGCUAUACGAAACGCUGUGAUAUGCGCCUUCGGGUCGGUCGUGCCUUCGUAGAAUGGGAUUCUGACUUUCUCAGGCUCGGGAAUCCUAGCCUCCGGGAUUCUUGUUAUGAACGGGGUUCUUUGGAUCUCCUCGAGUAUUCGAUCAAUCUCUAGUGCGGCACUUGACGCGUUAUGCACUUGAGAUUUCAUGGUGCGUAUCUCGGCCACUGUCCGAGCCAUUGAGGCUCGCAACUAUUCGAUCUCAAGAGUUUGUGCGUGGGUCAUUCUCCUAGGUUGGCGAAGUCGCUCUUGAUCUUCUCUCUUUGGCUCGUCUUCGUACUCUGCAUGCUCGAUCCAUUGAAGAUUUUCCUCUUCCUCAGUUGGAUUGUUGUCGCAAACCGGGUCGGUGACUUCGUCAGCCUGAAUGCCAUUUAGUGCCGAGGCGAGCUCUUCUUGACUUAUCCGCCAAGCCGAGCCGUUUUGUUGCGAGUUCCUGGUUCUGUAGUUUUGCUGGGCGUCAACAUCGAUCACGUCGUUCUCCUCUUCAUCGCCUCGUCACCUUGAAUCAUGACAAAGCGGGGGCGGCUCAGUCAUGUUGAUUUGGGUAGCUGCGGGAGUUUGUUAGCCGAGGGGACGAAAUAUUAGCGGAGCCAUGGGAUUUCUUAUGCCGCUACCAGAGGCUCCUGCAGGUGUUGAGAAAUUGAAGCGUCUCCUAACUCCAUCUGUUGGAUCGGAGAUCCUGGCUCUCCAAGUUGGUUGCCGUCUUUCGGCCGUUAUUGCGUCAAGUCUCUCCGUAAUCGCCUUGUUCCUCUUGUCCUGCUCGUCGAUUUUUUUCAUCAACAUGGACAUCAUGUUUCGCAUCUCCUCUUAGGCUUCGAUGGUCGUCGUUGUCGUGCUUGAUGGUGGAGCGUCCUUCUCUGCACCGUUGUUGUUGUUGUCGUCUCCGGGUGUGUUGGUUGCCAUGUUCUUUGGAUCUCUAGCUCUUGACGAUAUUGAGUAAGAAAAUUUCAAGUCCCCUCAGACAGCGGCAAAUUGUGUGAGCCGAAACUCGCACAACUAAAAAUUUGUUAAGGAAAACAUGAGGGAUCCGAAAUUUCUAUGGUUUAUCGCAAGAACAGUAAGAUCAAAAGUAGGUUUUUUGCUGGAAAAGUGUUUAAGUCUUAUUGCUCUCGAGUUUUGAAAAGUUACAGAAUGAAUCGUGUACAUCGUCUAUUUAUACUAAUUCUCUAAACCGCCUAGCCGAGAAUCUCGGAGAGAUUUUCGGAAUAUCUUUUUAUCACUUCGUGCGGCCACCGCCUUUGUAUUUCGCCUAGGGUUUUUCGGUGGGCUUCAUCCUACUCCACCUUGAUUCGGCCCAUAGCAAAUUAAUCGGCUCGGCCUAAUACAAAGGAGAUUAGCUCGGCCCAACACGAAGGGAUGCGGCUCGGCCCGCUUAUUCUUCUCCACAGCUUGGCCCACUUAUUAUUCUCCGCAGCUCGGCCCACUGAUUCUUCCUCUUAAGGCUUGGCCCAAGCUAUACCCAAAGUCACGGGACGGCUUGGCCCAUACUCUAUUUUCUUCAAUGGAUCUGGCUCACUCUCGUACUUCUUUGCUAUACCUCGGCUCUCCUGAACACUUAGUCGUUAUGAAAAUGGUUUUAUCCACUUGGGGUGAAACCGACCCCAACAAUCACUUAAAAACCUUUAAAACUGCGUGAAAUCACCUGCAUAAGAUAUUUACCUUUAUGAAUGAGCGUUUUGAGACACCAUUAAGCUUUGAUAGAUUCUUGAUGCUUCACUUUCCCAAAUUUCUUCAGUCCUUCUCUUGAGUGACUGAAAACCAUGUUGUUCCUCCCUCUCCGGCGUUUUUGCACAUAUCUGCCAAAAGAGCUAAAGAGAGAAUGCAUGAAGUUUGAAAUGAUGGUUUGGGUAAAGGGUGUGGUACCAGCUAAAGGAUAACUGGCCAUCUAGGACAACAAAAAGUGGUAAUAAUGAUGUAAAGAUGUCAUAGAUCUGUAUCAUGAUACCUGCUAAAAUCAAUGAUGAGAAAAUUAGAUAUCAAGAUUAUGUUCAGGUGAAAUGAGCUAGUGUAUCCUGGCAGAAAAGAUCUCCAUGCAUAGAAAUCCUCUGGUGGGAGUUCGUAGAGCAAGUACUCUAGCUACCGCCUAGUCUAGUACUAACCACAAAAGAACUAUCAUGUAAAGUCUAGAAGCACAUGACUUUGUUCCGGCGUUCCUGUUUUAAAAACCGUUUUGAAAACUUUUUAUGAAACACAAACUCAAGACAAACCAAAUUUCAUUAGUGAAGGAUGAACAUCCUCCCCCAGACUUAAAUCACACUGCCCCCAGUGUGAGAAAUCUUUGAGAGGAUGGGAUAAUGAUGGACUGAAAUUUGGAAUGUUUAGCUGUACUUACCUUACGAUGUUCCACAACUCUUGAUGUGCUUUCUGGUUCAUGAUUUCUGUUCACCUCUUUUAUUCAUUCUUUGCUUAAAAACCUGAAAUUAUAGAAAACAAAAACAAAGCAGCAAAAAUAGAAAAAGGCAAAUCAAAGGGAAUAAGUAAAAAUACCAAGUGGGUUGCCUCCCACUAAGCGCUUGCUUAAAGUCAGUAGCUUAACUUUGAUGAUGCUUUAGCCUGGCGGGUCUGCGAAGAGCAUUGCUUCUUCCUUCUUCUUCUGCGAGGUAUGAUUUUACACGCCGUCCAUUAACGACAAAUAUAUCUCCUUUCUUACCCCAAAGAAUGAUGGCUCCAUACGGUUUGACUUCUUUUACUGUGAAAGAUCCAGACCAUCUAGACCGUAGCUUUCCUAGAAAAAGCUUAAGGCGAGAAUUGAUAGAAGAACCCUAUCAUUUGGAGCAAAGGACCAAUGUAUGAUCCUUAUAUCGUGAUAUGCCUUCGUCUUCUCCUUGUAUAUCUUGGAGUUUUCAUAGGCAUUAUGGCGGAUUUCUUCUAAUUCGUGCAUUUGAAGCAUUCUUCUUUCCCCAGCUGCCUAAAAGUCCAUGUUCAUCUCCUUAAUAGUCCAUUGUUCUUUAUACUCUAGCUCUGCAGGGAGGUGAUAUGCUCCAUAAACAAGAUUGAAUGGCGUGGUCCCUAAAGGAGUUUUGUAUGCUGUCCGAUAAGCCCAAAGUGCAUUGUCGAGUUUUUCAGACCAAUCCUUGUGAUUUACACCGGUUGUCUUUUGUAAAAUCGAUUUGAUCUCUCUGAUAGAGAUUUCCACUUGUCAACUUGUCUGAGGGUGAUAUGGAGAUGGAACUUUAUGCGUGACUCCAUUCUUUUUUAGCAGAUUUUCGAAGACUCUGUUGAUGAAAUGGGAUCUUCCAUCGCUUAUCAUAAUUUGAGGAAUUCCAAAGCGAGGGAAAAUUAUUGAUUUAAACAUCUUUAUAACCACUGUUGCAUCAUUAGUAGGGCUGGCGAUUGCUUCUACCCAUUUAAAGACAUAGUCACGCUACUAAGAUGUAUUGGUUUCCGAAAGGAGUUGGGAAGGGUCCCUUGAAAUAAAUUCCCCAUACGUCAAAGAUUUUGACUUCAAGAAUGAAGUUUUGAGGCAUCUCAUUCCUCUUACUGAUGUUGCCCAUUCGUUGGCAUGAAUCACAGUGUGCAUGUAGGUGUGAGUGUCUUUGAACAUAGUAGGCCACCAAAAUCCUGCUUUAAGGACCUUUGAAACCGUUUUGUAGGUUGCGAAAUGUCCUCCAUACCGAACUAUGGCAUCCAAACAGUAUUCCUUCCAUUUAUUCUUCAGCCACACACCUUCUGAAAAAACCAUCUACACAUCUCCUAUAGAGAAAAGGUUCAUCCCAGAAAUAAUGCUGAAUUCCUUUUAAGAAUUUCUUCUUUUUAUAGCCAAAACAUUGUGGAGGUUCGAUGUCUGCAGCUAAGUAAUUUGCUAUAUGCCUAAACCAUGGGGUUUCAAAAGCAUCUGACCGCCGUGUAGGAGGUUGUGAUGGCUUUUCUUGCACGGUAAUACGUAUAGUCUCCAUAGCGUAGACAUUUUCUUCUGGCAAACUAUCAUUCAAAGGGAGUUUCUCUUCUACUCGAAUUCUAGAAAGAUGAUCUACUACUCCAUUAUCUGCUCAUUUCCGAUCUCGGAUUUCAAUAUCAAAUUCUUGCAGCAGGAGUAUCCAUCUGAUCAGCCUCGGUUUGGCAUCUUUCUUAGACAUGAGAUACUUGAUUGCAGCAUAGUCAGUAUAGACGAUAACCUUAGAUCCUACGAGAUAAGAUCGAAACUUUUCAAAUGCAAGAACGACGGCUAAAAGCUCCUUCUCCGUAGUCGCCUAAUUACAUUGAGCUUCAUCCAGAGUUCUACUUGCAUAGUAGAUUGCGUGUAGUUUCUUUUUUUCCGCUGACCAAGCACAGCUCCAACAGCAAAAUCACUUACAUCACACAUGAUUUCAAAUGGUUGGUUCUAAUCAGGUGGUUGCACAACUGGAGUGGAAAAAAGGGCAUUGUUUAUCUUACGAAAUGCUGCCAAGCACUCAUCAUCGAAUUCGAAGUUUGUUUCCUUGCAGAGAAGACGUGUGAGAAGUUUUAUGAUCUCCUUCUUUACCACUUCCAUAAGGUUUGGAUCCAACCUCCUUUGGCUUUCAAUCGAAUUCUUGGCAUUGUCCUUAAGAUUUAUCUUAUGCAUACAGAGGUCUGGGGAGAUUCCUAGUAUGUCAUCAAGAGAAUAACUUAUGGCUUUCCUAUACUUCUGUAACUAAUUUAACAGCUUAGUAGUUUCAGCUCUACUUAAGCCAGAAUUUAUGAUGAAAUGGUAACUUGAGUUUGGUCCAAGAAAAGCAUAUAUACUUGAGCCCAUCAGGAAGAGGUUUAAGCUCGACUUUUGGAGCUUUGAGUUCGAUCCAUGGGUCAUUUAUAGCUGACAAUGUAUCUUUUGGAGGAGUAGGGAUGUGAGUUUCCUCAUUCAGGUCGAGAUAGUUCACAAGUUUCGCAUAAUCCUCAGCUUUAUCAAGUAUUUGCUCACACCCUUUCGAAACUUCUUCGAGCAGGUCGCGAUCAUCAUUUGUGGUGGUGAGGAUGAUUUUUAAAGGGUCGUCAAGAAGGAUUUCUUCAUAAACUUCCUCAGCAAUUUCAUCAAACUCGUCGACCCAAAAGAGUCCGCCAUCUAAAGUGUAUUUCUCAAGACUUUUGUUCAUAUCGAACUGCAUAAUCAGAGGAUCCUUUGGUUCUGAUAGGAAAGGUCUUUCCUUCCGGAACAUUGAUUAUUGCUCCUGCAGUUGAUAGGAAAGGUCUACCGAGUAUCAGAGGAUCCUUUGGUUCUCUUUCUAAUUCAAGCACUACAAAAUCAGUUGGAAUAUAGUUUUCUCCAAUCAUGACUGAUACAUCAACCAAGACUCCUUCUGGUUGUUUGACCGAUCGAUCGGCAAGAGUCAGCGAGAUUUUUUUGGGCUGGAAAGUAUGAUAUCCUAAACGUUUUUCAACUGAGAGAGGCAUCAUAUUGAUGCUUGAUCCCAAAUCACAUAGACAACGUUCAACAGUCAUAUUCCUGAUUGUGCAAGAGAGUACAAAACUUCCCGGAUCUUCUUUCUUCUGGGGGACAUGGUUUUGUAAGAUGGAACUACAUUCAUGAGUUAUCAUCAUAACAUCUUCUUCGAAUGCUAAAGAGUUUGUUAGAAUGAUCUUCAUGUAUUUCCUAAGAGCAGGCAUCAUUGCACAAGCUUCAAUAAAAGGUAAUCUCACAUUUAACUGCUCGAUUAUCUCUUUCAGCUUAGCUCUUUCUUUCUCCUUCUUUGGUCCUUUCAGAGCUCGUGGGUAUGGUGGUUUGGGCUUGUACACACGAGUAAGAGGAGGCGGCAUAGGUUCUUCUUCAGCAAUUUCUUGAGGAGUGUCUUCCUUUUCUCCCUCUUUCCUGACUACUGCAUCUCCUCCUUUAUUAGCCAAAAUUUCUCCUUUUUCUCUUUCUUCGAAAUCUUUUGGAUACUCUGGCUCCUUGUAAGCUAAACCACUUCUAGGGGUAAUUGCUUUUAAGUGAUCAGAGGUCUCCAAUUUGUUUAUUCUUUUAGAAAAAGGUUCAUCAAGGUCAUUAACGGAGGAAUCCGACUCUUUUGAUUCAUCACUAAUCUUGAGAAGAAAAAGGGUGGAGAGCUUGUUAAUAGAAUCCUCAUGUCUUUUUGAUUGACUCUCCAUCUCUUUUUUGAGUCUAUUAACCUCUUUUUCAAGCUCUUCAAUCUUGGAGAAAGGAUAAUAAGGAGGUAUUGUGGGAUUGGAUUGAUCAGACUGGGUUUGCUCGAAAGAAGGUUGGAAAGGAGGUUGAAAAUUAGGCUGGCUGUGGGUGAAGUGCUCUGACCCACAGUGAAACUCAUCUUGGCCACGGCCAAAAGCUUCCCACCUGCGGUGAGUGCCAGUUUUACCGCGGCUGAGAGGCUCUCACCCCUGGUGGAGUUGAUUCUGCUCAGCCUCUUCAAUCUGGUAAACAUCAGGGGUUUGCAUCAUCUACUGAUUUUGGAAAUUCCUCUCCACCUCAAAGUUGUUCAUCUUCUCGAUGUAGGGCUUGCUAUGAUUGUUUCCCUCAUCAGAGUUAUGAAUAGGACGAAUCACACUAAGAAUCUUCUGGAUGCCUUCUCUAAUCUGAUCUAGGUAUUCUUUACUAACAGAUGAUUCUUUUUCCUCAACUUUAGGACAUCUAGAUUGGGUUACAAGUCUCUUAUUCUGAUACUCGCAGCUAGAUUACUGAUAUAGGCGUGAGCCUCAUCUACAGUUCUAGUGGAAAAGUCUCCAUUGCUAGAGGUAUCAAAAGAAAACUUCAGUUCUUCAUUAACUCCAUGGUAGAAGAUGGUCAUCAGGCUCUCCUCGGAGAAACCAUGGUGUGUGGACAAUCUCUUUGGUAAUCUCUGAAUCUUUCCCAAGCGUCAUAGAGGUCUUCUGUGUCCUCCUGCUGGAAUUUUUGGAUCUUGUCCCUUAAGAGAUUGGAACGAUCUCUGGUGUAAAAGUGACUUAGGAAAGCCUUUCUACAUUCUUUCCACGUCUUUAAGGACGCAGGUGGCAAAGUUUUAAGCCAUUUACUAGCUCUACCAGUUAAAGAGAAUGGAAAAAGGACACACAUAUGGUAAUCGGUUUUUUUUCAUUAUAGUUGAACACAACUCUUCAAAAUUUUCAAUAUGAUCUAUUGGGUGUUCAGUAGAAGAACCGUUAUACUUUUUGAGAUAGCUACUGUAUUGUACCUUAGCUUCAGAGACGCCAUCCUUAGGCAAAGGUGGUCGAAUUGCUCGCCUAUCUGCAAAUAGUUUGUGUGUAUCACAUUCCCCAAUCAGCUUCUCUCCCUUCCUACAAUACUCUGGUUCUCCAAUCGAUUCAUUGCCAUCAUCGAUUGGCUCAUUAAGCUCAUCAUCUGAUGGAUCACCAUCUAGAAAAGGGUCCUCUUCAGCGAGAGGAUCAAGGAUGUGCUCCUGACCCCUCAUCGAAAAAGUACCUGAAAAAUCAAAGAAAAUAUAAAAAUUAGAAAAAGUACUACUGAAUUAAGCAGAGAUUCGCAACGAAAGGAAUCAAAAUCCCCGGCAACAGCGCCAAAAACUUGAUGCUAAGAGAAUCAAGGGUUACUUCUAGCUUCACGUUUUAAAUUUAUAACCCUAAGUAUCUGCAAGUGCACAAAUGUACGCUGUAUUACUUAGGAGUCGAACCACAUAGAUUUUGAGCUUUCAGCAUGAAUCAAUCAAGACUUAAGACUAGUAGAACAAGCAAAAUGGGGGGUUUUUGGUUUUGGGGUCACUAAAUCUAAAAGCAAUCGAAAUAAACAAGUCGUAAAACAAUAGGAACAAAUCGUUGGGUCUAAAAGGUUUUUGCAGGGGUUCAUGAACUGAUCCAAAGUCAAACAAAUCGAUAAAGGUAAUCAACUAGUGAGUAUCCCGAACUGGAAUAGACACAUGUAAGAUUAUCCAACUCUCGUCACCCUAAUCAUCUAAUCACUCAACACAGCCAUUAACACUCGCUUUCAUGCUGCGAAUAAGAUCAUGCAUUAAAAACAGAGUUCAUCCACGCUCACGAUUCUCAAUAGGUAGCUUUCGUCUCCUAUAGCGAUUUCGCUCGAUCACUUCUAGGUAUGGUAAUUCGAUACAAGACUCUCGUGGCUCCAAUUACUAAGAUCAAUUUCUAAGCGGUUAGCAACAGAAACAGCAUAGGGUACAAGAAUGAACAAAAUACUCGUAGAAGAUUAUGAACCCUAAAUCGAAUAAAGCAUAUGAUCAAGACAUAAAAUUCUCUUUGAAAAAUCCCUUAAAAACCCAACUGAGAAAUUACUCAGACAUAGCUGAGUUCAACAUCACAAGAGUAUUUAGAAUUGCAGAUAAUUGAAAUAGACAAAGGUUAGAAACGAAGAACAGUUUGAAGCAGGAGAUCUGAUGGUGCCCCUCUCGGUGGCUCCUCUUCUAGGCGUGACUCUCUUCUAGGGUUUCUGGUGAGAAAUGCGGCACACCCCUCUAAACGACUUAAAAGGGGUUUAUAUAGUGUCUUGAGUCCUCGGGAACGCCUAGGACUUGCAGGAAUUAUGACGGGAGUGACUUGGGCUUUAAAAUGGGCUUCAGAGGCUUGGAGUUGAGCUCCCCGCGAUCUCAAAUUUCGCAUCCCAGGCGGAUGAGCUUCUGACUGUGAUGAUUUGCCUUCAGUAUAUCGACCAUAUCUGGAGAUCUAACCGGUGGAUUGCUUUGAUUACACUUGUACUGGAAAUAUGGUUGUCUCCUCUAUUUUGUGUCAAAAUUUGGGGAUGAUCAGACGGUGGGAAGUCCUCCGUUUAUUACCAAACUUCCGACGGUCUGAAUUUUUCAAGCCAGCAUUGGGAUGUCGCUGUAUGAAGCCUUAUAUGGGCAGCCGUGCCGAACACCACUUUGUUGGACUCAAGUGGGGGAGCGGAGUGCAAUUGGACCGGCUAUUGUGGAGGAAACCACGGAAAGAAUCAAGUUCCUAAAGAUAAAAAUGAAGGAAGCCCAAGACAGACAGAAAAGCUAUGCGGACAAGCGUCGAAAGGACCUUGAGUUCGCGGUGGGCGAUCUGGUCUAUCUUAAGAUGAUCACGUUCAAAGGAAGGGCUCGAACUUCCAAGAGGGGGAAGCUUGAUUGAAGGUACAUAGGACCAUUCUGGAUUAUGGAAAAAGUUGGGGCAGUCGCAUAUAAGUUAGACUUACCACCGGAGAUGGAGGCAUUCCACAACGUUUACCAUGUAUCCCAACUACGGAAGUGCUUAACGGAUCAAAAUAAAGUACUGGCCGAGAUUCCUUCAGACCUUAAAAGGGAAUCUGACUGUGGAAACAAGACCAGUCCGGAUCAUUGACAAGAUGGAAAAAGCAACAAGGAAAAAGAUGAUUCCGAUGGUCAAAGUCGUUUGGGAAAGUAACGGUGUGGAAGAAGAAACUUGGGAAACAGAGUAUCGGAUGAAGGCUGAUUAUCCCGAGUGGUUCGAGGAAUAGAACAAGGUUCUACCCCUUAGCCCGGAUUCGAGGACGAAUCCCUUUCAAGGGGAGGAGACUUGUAACGUCCCCGAUCUGCAAUAGGGUCGCCGGGACGGACUAUGGCCGUGAAACGGGAAACAAUGGCCGAGAGUUUAAGGAAGAACAUGAGCCAUGGUCCAGAAGGAUGGGUUAAGUUCCCUAGCAUGGGACUUAGCCAGGAAAAAGAGAGAAAGAUAGCUCAAUGAGUAGGAUUGAGCUAAGACGAGCUGGAAGGGGUAAACUAAGCUAGUUGGAUCAGCUGCCGGAAAGCUCAGCUCAGCUAGGAAGAGUAUAAUACAGUUGGUCGAGCUGAGUAGUAAGUGAGCUGGCUGGACUUGGGCGGUUAUGGUCGAAGGGUUGGAAAGCCUAUGCACCCAAUCAACACACCCGUUCGGCCAACAACAUGCACCAGUUCUCCCAAGGCGGUUACAACAAGGGAAAUCUAUAAAUAGACCCCACUGUCCCUAUUUUUAGACACACACGAAAAAGGGAGAGAAACUCUGCCUAAAUUUCACCAAACUGUGAGACUAAAGGCAAACCGAGAGAGAGAAAUAACCUGUCCGGCGGUAAGAGAAACCGACCGGAGCGGCUGGUCCGGAUCGCGGAGAAAGAAGGGAAGUGAUAAGUGUGGCGAAGGUAAUCCGACCGCAAGUGACCAAAGGUACGUGUUAUAGUUGUAAGCGCGCGCGGUUAAAUUGUCGGUCCGCCGGGCGAGUCUGAUGAUCGGCCAAAAUAUGGGCUAGGCCAAUCAGAUGGUAAGUCUCAGCCGAACUGAUAAGUGAUUCACCGGAUGCAUUAAACGAUCGGCCCAAGUAUGGGCUAGGCCGAUCCGUUUGUGUGACCCGGCUGGAAUCCCAACAAGUCGCCGGCCAUGGAAUUGAGAUUUGGGCCGGCGAUAGUGCGCGAUCGGUUGUGUAGUAUAGUUUGGAUCCGGUCGGCAUGGCUGGCGAGCGGUUUGAUAGGCGGGGCCGAUCUUACCGAGACUCGGCCGGUCCAAGGCUGACCCAUGAUCCAUAUCGGAAAAAUAGAUUACCGUGGAUUAAUAAAAAGGGUUGGGGAAUCAUGAGCAUAAAACGCAUACAUGUGCAUGAAUAAUACUUAGCCAAAAUAGCGUGUACUUAUGAUGUUGGUUUACAAGAAGUAAUGAGCGCGGAAAGGAAAAAGGAUAGGCGCGCAGACCGUUUAGCCAAGGAUGAUGGGUGGUAUGAUAGAACAGAUAAUAGGAUCAUGCGAACUUAUAAUAGCUUAUAUGCAAACUCUUAAGUUGUAUUGAAUUCUUUACUAUAUCAAUAAAAUAUCUGUUCUCUUACUUGUUUAUUACAUAUCGACUCUAAGUUAGUGAAUCCUCAGAAUACAUACAUCGAACAUAGAUUAACUAAAGGACUAGACCCUAAAAUGGACUGAUGGGGUCGGAGCCGUAUAGCGGUCCGACCGGGAACAACCUACACGGGCUUAGAGUCCGAGAUGGGGUGUCCGAACAGAAUUUCGUUUUCAGGCUUAAAACUCAAAGAUUUAGGAGACAACUCAAAAAUGGCCGAUACGCGAGAAUUUUUAGCCGAGAAAAUAGAACUGCCUCGGCAAGACCAAUCUGAUGACGGAAUUUGUCGUCCGGGAGGUGACAUUCCUUGACCAAAAUCACCAGCUGAAACCAGUGCUCAAGACAGAACCAAGUUUGCCCGAGCGGAUGAAGAGGUAGCCGAUGCCAUGCAAGAUUUGGCCGAGAAACAACAAGUGAGCCAGGACGAGCCACCAAACGACUUGGGAAUCACCAACCGAGGUAAGAUCUCUCAACUAAGUCCAUAUUCUAAAGCUAACCAAUAUGGAAUUUUGUCAUACCAACGUGUAGAUUCGGAGCUGCCUCACAACACACCCAUCGAACCCGAUAAAGAUCAGGUGGAGCACGAAGCAAGGACGGAGCCUCAAGAAGACUAAGAGAAUGAGGACAAAGGUUCUACUGAGCUAAGAGGACUCUUAGAAGACUUUACAAGAAAGGUUCAAGUCAAAGACGCGACAGCAUCAAGCUUGACCUCAACGUCUACACAUGCAUCGUCCCGGAUCCCUCCACACCAAUGUAAGCUUUUCAAUUAUUAUAUCGUUCUUGCAGGUGAUCCAAGCCUCCACAACGGUUAAGUACUUCAUCAAAACGACGACAACAAUUUAGUUUAAGAGUCUUGCUCAAACAUUCCUUUUAUGUAUUUAAUGAAACGAUGAGUUUAUGCUUUUGUAGAAUAGGUUUCGCUUCUUGUAGUUUUGUUUCAAACGUCCUGUUGUUUUGAGUCUUUCCAUUACUUUGAUUCGAACCAUAGAAGGUUCAAACUGAUGGACUGUUUAUAAAAUCCCACACGAAGCUUUGUAGUCCGCAAUCUUUUUUCCCAUUAUCAAUAAAUGAGCGAACUUUUCUUUAAGUUUCUUGAGUGUUCAUCGUUUACUAGUGAGAUUCAAGUGAGCUUGGAACUUUGCACCAUAUCAGAGAGUCAUCUCCCCUCUAUGUCGUGUAUUCAUUCCGCCAUCACAUCCCUGAAUCGAUUCCACACAAGAGGGCGACCACCUGCAUGUCAGAUCACUCCAUCUUCGACCAUCUUUUGAAUCAAAGAGAGGGCGACCGCCUGCUUUGAUUCCCCAUCAGAUCUAUCCUCGUGAGAACUAGCCUUGGUUCUUACAUUAUAACUGGUUGGAAACUCUCAUCUUCCUCUACACUAGUUUUGCCAAUGAAAUGUGCAAGCUCAAUCCUCCACUGCCUUGCUUUCUAAGUGUCGAUGUAUCAAAUUGGACGAGUGAAGAACACACGAUUUCAUUGCUAUAGUUACAAACUUCCUCAUCUGCUUACCCGUGAGAUUAAACAAAUGAUUCACACAUGGAUAUCCUAUAUUCAUUAUCAUGACAACUCAAAACUUUACAAGUUGAUACAAUGGAGGUUCGUUUCUCGAGUGCAAAAUCCAACUGUUGUUUAUUUUACUUCAUUUUUGAUAUCUGACUUUUUAUUAUUGAUUAUAAUUGUAGAUAUAUAGUUUUAUUUAAUAAAUAUCACAUUCAAAUAAAAACAAAUAAAAAACACCAUGUUAGGUUUAGUAUUUAGUUUAAAGGGUUCAAACAUUAAUUUUUAGGGUUGGAAACAUGAUUUCUUAGCUUUUAUGGAUUAGGGUUUAGCUUUUAGGGUUUACAUUAUGACUAGUUUAUUUUCCUAUUGUGUUCAUUUUAGUAUAAAAUAUGACAUAUUUUAUUAAUUUAUAAUAGUUAAUUUUGGGCUAUAUAGUUUAAAAAUAUCAAUAUAUAGUUUGAGUUCUUAUUUCUUAUAAGAAAUAGUAAUUUCUUUUCAAAAUAUAUCUAAGAUGAUUUGAAUAAUACUUACAUAGAUUUUAUUUUUUUAAAUGAUCCAAAUCAUAGUUGUAAAACACUUUUUCUAAAUGAUGGAAAUAAUUAACUUAGAUAUAUGGACAUGUUUGUACUAGUUCUCAGAUGUAUGAACAAUUCCAACAGCACCAAAGAUCCAACACUUUAUCUGGAAGUCUGCUCGAGGAGCUCUUCCCACCCGAGAGAGACUCGCGGCAAGACAUAUUCCUAUUGAGCCUUUGUGCAUCCAUUGUGGCGAGGUUGAAUCUAUCGCCCAACUGUUAUUUCAUUGUGACUUUGCAAAAGCAGGUUUGGAACUCUGCUCCUUUGCCCUCUAUUCCAGAUCUUGCAGCGGUUGAUAUUUUUGCAGUGGGAUGGAAGCUUCUAAAAUCCUGAAUCUGUGUUCCUCCGACGGGUAUCAAUAUGGCGUGUCUCCCAACUUGGAUUUUGAUAAGCGGCGAUUUUGACUCAUUCUAACCCGUGUUUACUGAUUUUUUUUUAGGAGUCUUUGGAGUCUUUUUCAGGUCGUUUCAGGUAUUUAGGAGGCUUUAGGCGAGGAUUGGAGCAGCUAGAGCUUCUGGAGAAAAAAGGAGUUGAAGCUGAGCAAAAGAGGCCAAUUCACACGCAGAGGUACCAUUUCUGGUUUCGGAGCACCUGCUCCCGACUAACUCCUUUCGUGGAGCACCUGCUCCAACCGCCUGGAGAAAAAUAAGGAAAACAAUUUUUACCUAAUUCUGGGACGCAGGAAGUGAAUAAAAAGACCAGAGCCGCCUUAGAAACACACAGACUUUUCACGCUUUAUUUUUACAUUCUAUAGACUUUUGGAAUUUUUGCUUGUAAGAUUUCAGAGAAGAAUCUCUGCUACACUUGAGAAGAAUUCUGAACCCUCUUGAUACUUCUGAGUUUUAUUCAUGGAUUCUUUCUCAUCUUGUGUCUUUGUUCUUGUUGUUAUGUCUGAGUAGUUUCUCUAGCUAGAUUAAUGCGUUCAAAGGAUUUCAAUGAGUUAAUGAUUAAAUGCAAAUAGGGCUUAAUUAUAAUUGUCUUCACCAUACUUGUUCUUAAUGCUUAGGUUGAAUUGAUCACUCAAUCUAUGAUCUUAGGUUAACCUGUUCAUCAAAAGUGUAAUAGGGUGCUUGAACAAGCUUUGGUGAGCGAUUUGUCCUUAGCCAACGAUAGUUGAUGUUAAGGAAAAUCGUGAACUUAUUAAACCUGCUUAUUAAUUCUUGUCUGCGUAUUCUACAUUUAAACGAUAGUUUAGAACAUAAGUCGUUAGACAAAGUUGUCGAUACCACGAAAGUGGAUCGGUAUGCAUUCAUGUUUGAGUUCGAGACUUGCAUUUAUCUAUGUCCUGAGUAGUUGUUCAAUUCCUAUCUCUGAAAUUCCUGCGAAUUGCCUUAGUCUAGUGCUUUGUUUCAUUGAAUUUCGAAUCUUUUAUUCUACAAUCUCAAACUGUUCUAUUGCAGUAGAAACUAGGAGAUAACAUCCAGUGAAUCAGAUUUGCUGGUCUCUUUGGAGCACUAGGAACAACCACCUAUUCUCUGACCAAGUCUUUUCAGUUGAGGAAACUGUUCUCAAAGCAGUGACCUCUGCAAAGGAAUGGAAUGAGGCACAAGGAACAACAAGACCAUCAUCGCCUGCAUUGGUUCUUCAAUCUUAUACACGCCAGGAAGGUGUUGUUCUUUGCAGAACAGAUGCAACUUGGAAUGCGGACUUUGCUGCAGCGGGAUUUGGCUGGAUUUUCUCUAUCACUAAGAACAAAGCAACUACUCACUACUCUCAUCUAUGGUUGUCGUCUCUUCUCCUUUGGCAACAGAAGCUCUAUGUAUCUGUAAAGCCAUCAUUUCCGCAAUUUCGUUAGGUAUAAGGUCAACUAUCAUCGAAUCAGACUCGCAAAUCUUAAUUCAGGCUAACUAUUUGGGGACGCCAAUUAGCGAGCUCCACGGAAUUCUUGCAGACAUCUCACGUUGUUUUUAAAAUUUUGAAUCUAUCGCUUUUUUUUUGUUUUUACCUUGUAAGCUAAAUGUUGUGGUUGAUUCUCUUGCAAAUGCUACUCUGCAGAGCUUUGUAAUUGACUUUGUAAUGAUAUGAGUUUUAAUGGAAUGAAGAAGCAAUUGCACAAAAAAAUUAACUUAGCAUAUUUAAUUGAUGUAUAUACACAAUUUCUUAAAUAAUCUAAUUCAUAGUUUGGAAAAGAUUUUUUCUAAAUGGAAAUAUUUAAAUUAGCAUAUUUUAUUGAUGAUUUGAAUAAUACUUAUACAAUUCAUAGUUGUAAAAGAUUUAUUUCUAAAUAAUGGAAAUAAUAAAUAAACUAAAUUAGAAAACAUAAAAAAUAAAGUAAAAAUAUAUGCACAAUAUGACAAGUUUAGUAGCACAUUUAAUAUUUUUCUACCCACUGCAUUUAUGACAAUUAUUAAUUAAUUUUUUAACGACUUAACUUUUGUCUACAACAAUUAUAAAUUGAACACUCAUGACGAGAAUUUUUAUAACUAAAAACAAAAAACUGUAAAGUUCGAGAAUUUUACUGAUAAAAAUCUCGAUUGUUAGACUUUAUAAUAGGUCAAAAAUGGAUCGAAUGUGAUGGUAUGUCGAUCAUCACAUCCGCUUUGUUUAUGCGGUUGAACAGCUUGAUGGAAUUUAUCGUAAUCAUCAACUGUUGUUUUCAAUUUAUCAUUAGAUACAUAUCCUUUUCAAUUUUCCGAUUAUACGAUUCUCUUUAUCUUCUCUGUUUUUGUUUUGUGUGAUAUCAUCAUAUUUGUUAAAUUUGGGGAUCAGAAAUAUUAGGCGGAUAAUUUUUUUUUACAUAUAUAAGAGCCACCUAACAAUCAUAGAUCUAGAGUUUUGGGCUAAACAUUAUUUUAUUUUAUUUAAAUUUAACUUUUAUUAAUCAUCAUAAAUGCAGAAGCAACUCCUAAAAGAAUUUUGGAGGUAAUGAAUAUAGGAGGACUCACUAUAUCACAUGUGAAGAGCCAUCUCCAGACUUCAGGUCUUAAUAUAUACAUGAUUUAAUUUAUACAUAUUUUUUCACUAUAUAUGCAUAUCUGUAUUUUGUUAAAUUUUUAUAUUAUUUUUGGCUUACAUAUUGAACCAGUUUUAUAUUGUUUGCCUUCAUCAGACGUAUAGAACCAAAGUACAAAAAAGGUGAAUAAGUAUUAUACAUAUUCUUAUUUUUUUUAUUAUAAUUAUGCAUUUAUUGUAUUUUCUGUAAGUGUCCUUAUAAACAAAUUUUUUUCUAUGAGUACUCUAUUUAACAGAGAUAAAAAAAUUUAAAUAUAUGAAGUUUUCUUUAAAAAAACUAAAUAUAUGAAGUUUUUUUUUCUAAAAGUGUUCGGACCAAUAUAUGAAGUUUUCUUAAAAAAGCAUUUAUAUGUAAAUAUUAUAUAGAAACAAAAAUAUAUACAUUCACAAAUUCUAUGGUAGAAGAUGUACAAGCAAUUCGAAGGGAAAAUCUGACAAGGCAAAUGAUUUUGAAGCAAACUCAACAACACCUUCGUCAAUACGAACGUCUUGAAGAAAUGUUCAACUCUAUGCAAAAAAAAUGUUUGUAUAUCAUUUAAAUAACAUUAAAGUAAAAAUUAAUAUAAAUAUAUAUUAUAAUAUAGUUUUUGUUUAAAUUUGAUAGUACUUUUUUAAUCAAUUAUUGUAGGAAAGAAGAAAGAAAUCAGAUAAAAAUUAUGGAGAAAGGAGAAUCAAGUAAUGAGGUUAAUGAAGUAUCUUACAAGUCUCUGUUUCAAUCUUCAAGAGUAAGUUGUCACUUUGUAUAAAAUUCUUAAUUUUCCUCUCUUUUUAAAAUUCUUAUGCUAUAAUCAUCAAACAUGAUUAUCAAUGACCAAGUAUGCACAAUUUUUAUUAAAAAUUUGAUAUAGAUCAUUUCAUUUACAUAUAAUAUAUUAUUAACAGGGAUGAACGCAGGUAGAGCAUAGGUGUGGCAUAUUCCCCACAUUAUUUUUCAUCUCUUAAGUAAUUACUAUAAAAUUUGUUUAAAUACCCCUAAUCUACAUAUAUAUUAUAAUGUAUUAAUUGGAUUUGGCAGAUUGGAAUGAAUGAAACUGAAAAUAAUGAAGAGGACAAUGAUGAUGGCAAAAAUAAUGAGACUUUGUCCCUUAAGCUCACUCUUGGUCGCAAAUUCUAAAUAUGAUCUCUUUUUCAUAGUUUACUCUUUCAAUAAAAAAGCUAUCUCUUACUUCAUUUGCUUUAUAUGUAAUAAUGAUUUUUCGUUAAUAUACAAUGGUAUGAACAUUUUUUUGAGCAAUAUAUUAUAAGAUUGAUGUGAUUUGCUCUUAAUGUUGCGUCUAAUAAACCGUAACUAGUUAACUUUUCUGAAUCUUGUGCGGGCUGAUAUAAUUUCCAUUUUAAGUGUUUGAAAAUCUAAUAGUAGUUUGGAUGCAUUUGUUUUUUUAUUCUUGAGUAUAUUUGUUUGUUAGAUUUCCUUGCAUUUUAAUGUUGGAAGACAUGAUCGUGAAAACAAUAUAGAAUAGAAGAGAGUAAAUAAAAACAAAGUAGUAUCCAAAUAAUUUAUUUUAAAUAAUUUUGAGAUCUUUGGAUCACUGUUCUUUUAGACGUAAUUUUUUUAAGUACCAUAUGAACUUAUUCGAUUUUGAUCAUUGUUUUAUGUGUUUUAAACAUCACAAAUACCGUCAUUUCAUUAGCUAGAUAUUUAUUUUUUUCUUUUUUUAAGUUUUUAUUUAGAUUUUAUUUUUAAAUUUCAUUUUUUUUUGUUUUGAAACAACAUUCCAUUACUUUUUAAAUAGUUUCCAUUUUUGUUUCUUUUAACAUUUUUGUUAAAUUUUUUCUAAAUUUCGGAAACAUAAGAAAUGGUAAACACUAAGAGAUAUAAAUUCCAUUUUUUUUUAUUAAAAAAAUGUUUUUGUAAAUUUUUUAAAAAUUUUGGUUAUAUAUAAUUUUAAAAACGGUUUGAUUGACUAUAAAAUUGAAUAUUAAACAAUAAUAAUUUAGACCGGUUUGUUUUUAAGUUUUUUUUACACAUCAUUAGAUAAGAACCAAUCAAAAAAUGAUAUGUAAUUGCAGAAUAGGAUUAAACGGUCUUUUUAUAGCCAAAAUUCAUUUUGGAGCUGACACGUAAGUGAAAUACUGUGAAAUUCGCUGUGAGCGGACGCAUCAACAUAUCACUACACAAAUAAGUAUAUAGAUAUCCAUAUGUUCUUGAACUGGUGUAGAUUUUUAAAAAGUGUUUGGUUGUUGUUUUUCAUAAACUCAUUAAUCAAGUUUUGAAACAUUUAGUUUUCAUACAAUAAAGAAAUUCUUCUUUAUAAAAAUUCAAUUCAAACAUUUGGAUUUAUGUUAAUCCUAAAAGCUUGUAAAUCUCUUUUCAUUAAUAAUUUUUAUGCAAAUACCAAACACUAUAAGAAAAUCUAAACCAAAAUUUAUCAGAAGUUUAUCUAUUAUAAUGAGAGAUUUUUGGUUCCAGAUUUAUUGUUACCAUUCAUAUUAUUUGAGAGACAUCUUUUUCAGAAAGUCUAAAAAAGAUUUAUAAAUAAAUUUCUCCCCCUUUUAUAACCCAUAGAAAAAACCUGUUAAGAAAAAAAACAUCACAACUUUACAUUAAUUUGAAACAAUAUGGUAAAAAGAAGGAACAUAAGAAUGAAAUAAAAAGUAAUAAUUUGGGUUUACUUUAUUUUAUAAUAACUUUUCCUUUCCCUGUUAUAUUUUCCUCAUAACUCUUCUUAAAUAUGACUAUAAGUUUUUACCAUUCACACUCUCUAACUAUAUCAGUUUUUAGUUAUAGCUAUAAACAACUCAUUUUGCAUAUAAAUGAAUAUUUUAAUUUGCUGCAAGAAAAUUAAUUUUGCAAGUAUUUAAAGCAUUGAAAAUGUAUAAACUCCAGAUCAUUGUUGGGUUAUUCACAUCUCUCUAAUAUAUAUUAUUGGGUUAGUUUAAUUAUUUUUAAUCACUAUAUUUUAUAGAAUUGUUUUUUCUACCCAUCAUUGUUUUAAAUUUAUGAACAGUAGAUAAUUCAACUUGGUCAUCAUUGUACUACACAGUUUUGAGUUUUUGAUUGUCUUGACAAUAUAGAUACUAACUAUACUUUAGAAAAAGAUUGAGUUUUCUCUCAAAAUAAAUAUCAGAUUAUUAAUCAGGCAAUUUUUUGUAUACACCAAAUUCAAUUGCUGGUACCAAAAAUCAAUAUCAUCACUCUAGAAAUUUGUAAUUGUUAUGAGCAAACCAAUAGGAGGAUCCUGCAACAAAGGGCCUUUACUAGAUCAUAAACGGCCUACUAAGAGGCUUGGAACAGAGCCGGAUAUCCAGACUUUUCAAAUUACCCGGAUCCGGAUCCGGAUCCGCUGGAUAAUAAAUUUUACUAUCAGGAUCCGGAUCCAAAAACUCUGGAUAUCCGGUUUGAACCGAAUAUUUACGGAUAUCCGACCGGAUAUCCGGUUUCAUUGAUUUGAAACUCUUCAUUUUCUAAAAUUAUAAUGAGAUAACAUAGAUAAUUAAAAUGUAUCAUCAUAACAAAAGUUACAAAUAACAAAAAUUAAAAAGCAUUCAAGUAGCAUUCAAAUAGCACAAAGUUUUUUACAUAGCAAAAGAAAAAUAGUAAUAAAAAAAAUUAAUUUAUCUUCAUGUCCAUGUGCUAUCCAUUUUUAUGUUCUUCUCUUACAAUCUGAAAUAGAAAUUUAUCAUACAAUAUGAAUUUCAAUCACAUGUAAAGGAGUUAAACAAAAAAAAAAUUUCAAACAUAAUUAAAACAAAAAAUGAAUGCAUGUCCAAAGAUAUUUAAACUGAUUCUUACCUCAUCCAAACUUCACACUCAAAAAUAAAUAAAUAUUUAACAAACGGAUAUCGGAUAACGGAUAUCUGGUAUCAAGAGUGCUGCAAAAGACCCUCAGGUGCAUUCUAUAUACAUGAUGGUUUUCUUUUUAAAGAUAAACGCUUGUGUAUUCUGAAGGGUUCUAUGAGAGAGCUAGUGCUUAGUGAAGCACACGGUGGAGGCUUAAUGGGACACUUUGGGGUGGAUAAAACUUAGCUGUUAUGAUGGACCAUUUCUAUUGGCCCCACAUGAAGAAAGACGUGGAACGGUUUUGCUCAAGAUGCAUACAAUGCCGUAAAGCCAAAUCCAGGUUACAUCCUCACGGUCUCUAUAUGCCUUUACCUAUACCUAACGCCCCUUGGGUAGAUAUUUCGAUGGACUUUGUACUAUGAUUGCCCAAGAUCAGGCACAAGGACUCAAUCUUUGUUGUCGUUGAUAGGUUCUCCAAGAUGGCACAUUUUAUUCCGUGUGAAAAGACAAAUGAUGCAACACAAAUUGCUCACUUGUUCUUCAAGGAGGUUGUGUGUCUGCAUGGUAUUACGAUAACCAUCAUAUCAGACCGUGACACGAAGUUCCUUAGUGGCGAACAUUGUGGAAGAAACUAGGUACCAAGUUAUUAUUCUCCACCACGUGCCACCCACAAACUGAUGGGCAGACAGAAGUGGUAAACUGAACCUUAUCCACGCAACUUAGAGCUGCUCUUGGUAAAAAUAUGAGUACUUAGCUUGAUUGUAUUCCUUUUGUGGAAUUUUCUUACAACCGCGCAAGGCAUUCAGCUACUAAACUGUCACAUUUCAAGGUUGAUUAUGGCACUAACCCUUUGUCUCCAGUGGAUCUUCGACCUAUAGCACAGGUAGAAUGAUAGACAAGACUUUAUGGGUCUCAGGGCUAUCAAUCCCCUUGUCAAAGUAGCAUAAAAGAGGUUGUCAAUCCAAGAAUGUGGUGAUAGACACUAAGCUAUGUGAUCAGUUUUUCAAUUCAAGUGAACAAGUGAGGUUUUGAUUGAUUAAUGAUAGCUAAAUACUUGAAACAAGAUUAAUGAUUAAAGAAGUGAUCAAACAAGAACUAAGCAAUGACAAGUGAUGUGAAUAUGAAAUGAUGGAGGCAUGAGAUUCUAUACAUGAUAGUUGGCUAGGGUGCUUUGGUGCUAAACAAGGAAUGCUAAUGACAAUGAUGAGACAUGAUUCAAAUGAUUAAGAACUCUAAUCUAGAUUAAUCCUCUCAUGAAGGUAUUAGCCCCUACACUAAUCCAUUUUCAAACCAAAUCAUCAUUUGUGAAAUAUGAAUCAAUGAGCAUUAAUAAACAGUUCUAGAAGAUCAUUCAAGCAAAUAACAAUACAUCAUCAUGCAGCAAAUGCUUAAACCUCUAAUACAGCUCUUUCAAGAAUUUCAUCAAACACUUUUGAUGCAUGAAACUCCCAGAAUCUAGAUCUCAAGUGAUGUGCAAGGAUCUAGCCUAGAGAACAGCUGUUUAGAGAGAUGAAUCAAUGAAUCUAGCCCUAAGCACUCCUAAUCUAACACUUUAGCACCCUAACCUACACAUCUAGAACCUCAUUAAGGUGACUACUCACUAAUCAUACUAAUCUCUCUUAAACCUUUGCAAGUUGAGAAGAUUGGCAUGAUUAAUGAUGAGAAAUAGAGAUGGGGCAGAUGGAUAAUGAUGGAUUUGCAGCUUUAAACACAAAGAUCUCUCAAACUCUCUUGAUUAAACACUUAAAAAUCGAUAUUUCUCUUCUUAAGUGGAGUCUUUUCACAAAAGAGGCAAGAGACGAAGGGAAUAAAGCUUAAGUUCUUGGGAAUAAAACCCUAAAAUCUAUAUAUAGUUCUCUAAAAACGAACUGGGUCAGCCCGGAACAAACCGGGUCCUGACCCGGCUUUAGUGGAUAAGGAUGAUGUUUGCCACGGUCUAGCAGGUUUUGGUCAAGCCGUGGCAUGUGACCGUGUCAAGUCCCGAAGCUUCUGUUCUUGGAUGGAUCUUGGUGCCACGGAUCUCCUCUGGUCGUGAUGCAUGGCCGUGUCAAACGCUGAAGGAACGUAUAAAGUUGCCACGGCCAAGUCUAAAGCCGUGGCGUGUGGCCGUGUCAAACGCUGAAUGUCUGGAGGAUCACAAGUGUUGUCUUGCCACGGUCAAGUGUGGACUGUGGCAUUACCUCGUGGCAAUUCCCGAAUGCAAGUAAGAUCCUGCCGCGGCCAAGUCUAUCUUGACACGGUCAAGUGUAGACCGUGGUGUGGAGACCGUGUCAAAUCCCGAAGAACUGCAAUCAAGUGUCACGGUCAGAUGUGGACCGUGGCAUUCCACCGUGCCAUUCUUCCCUUACCAUAAUUUCAAGGCCUUAAUAAGGGUUAUCAAUCUCGCAGCAUUCAGGGCUCAUCGGACCACUUCACAUUCAUGGGAGAGUAGCCUCCAUGCUAUUGGUCCAAAUGGUGUGAUUCCAGUUUCAGUGGACAGAAGACUCAUACUUCUUCAACUUUGAUGAAGGGCUCUAGCUCCGGUGACGUCGGAAAAGGCUCCGUUCCGCCAGUUCUUUGACGCGCAUUGCUUUGGUCUUUUAUCAGCUCCGAGAAAAUGCACUGCGUCCGAUCGCCGUAACUUUCAGCUCACAACUCCAAAUGAGACGAUCUCAAGUGUUCUGGAAACUAGACUCGACCCUCUUCAUCCUUGAUGAAGACUCCGGAAGGUGAAUCGCAUUUCAAGUCCUUCGUCCCAUGCGAUCAAUGUGAGGGCUUUGUCUGCGCCAAACCAUCUGUCCGAGUUGUUGCACACAGGUGAGGGUUCCUCCAUGAUCCCAGCUCCAAGUUGCUCCAAAAAGUCUCCAAAUGAACUGAGAACACUCCAAAAAUGCAGGACACUCUAGGACCUAAUGCAAAUCCUAGACAAAGCUAGAACCAAGGACAAACUCUAACAAAACUAGCUAAAUGUAUGCAUGAGACUCAAUCUUUGGACAAAAAUGCAAUCCUAAAUAUGACAAAUUAUGAAUAUAUCAACUCCCCCACACUUUUACUUUGCUUGUCCUCAAGCAAACAAGAACAAAUGAGAGAGAGAGGUUGAAUGCAUGGGAGUUCAUAUUUCUUUAAAGAGAGAUCAUCAUUAAAAGAGUUCAAAGCUCAUUGUUCAAGUUACCAAUUCUGGACUGCAAUGCCAACUGGUUUACUCAUAAAAAUUAGCCAUACUUGUCACCAAAUGAACCAAACUCAAGCACCAACCUUCACAAGCAUUCCUAACCUCAACCUUUUGACAUUCAUUUAAAGUAUCAAGUGGUUCAUGUUCAUGCAAAUCAAGUGAAUUCAUUUGGCUUGUGACUGGGAUUUGAGAUUAACAUGAUCUCAAUCAAGUAACUGGUACUCCAAGGGGAUCACUCAAAAAUUAGUAGACUUUAGUAAAAUGCUAAGGGUAAAAAGCAAUGGAUGCAUACAAAGAUAGAACUACAUCUACCCCACACCCAAAAUGCUUUUCACACUCAACUUUAAACCUCUCAAGACUCUUUCUCUAGUCUACUCACCCCAAAUGGCAUUUUACCCUUGACACUCAAACAACUCGUCUACCUCCUUACUUCGUAAUUCCGGAUGAAGAUCCACCUUCUGGCCUCAACGAGGUGAGCUAAUUGUUUAGUCAGCAGCUGACUCUAUUAAGUUUCAUAACGUGGGUGUAUUGUGCUAUGUUUUUUAUGACUUAUUCAGGUGGAUGGUGGUAGAACAAAUUUGGUGUCAGGCCCCUUAGUAGUCUACAAACCUCAGACUCCUCACCCAUUGAGCUACGCAUAUAAGAAACAUGAAGCGCAGACAGAUGUGCAGGAUGCAGAGGUCAGACAUUAAAGUUGUUCAUAUGAUAUGGAUGUGUAUACAGUAGUGUUUAGGUAUACGCUAGGUAUAUGAUUGAUAUGUUAUACGCUUUAUUGUUACGGUGGUUUCUAGGCUGUGGCUAAUGAGGACGACUUAAAUGCGGGGAAAGAUUACCAUACUGCGCCUGAGGAUGCAAGUGAUGCUUCGCAGAAGACCCCUUGUACUCCUAAACCCCCACAAGAAGUUGAGGGAUCGUCUGGUGUAAGGAGAAAAAGUGGAGGAACAGGAAGAGGAGGAAGAGGUAGAGGAACAGGAAGAGGAGGAAGAGGUAGAGGAAAACGCGCACGUGUACGGUCGGACAAGAUUCGAGAUAUUUACACCGCUGAUUCAAAGGUGAAAGCUCUAUUUGUAUCCAGAUUGAAAGCUGCGUACAAACCACUCGAAACAGUUGAACAAGACCACUUCAAGGCAUUUCAGGAGUUACUAUCGCGUGAAAGAAACAUGUAAGUUAUAUCGUAUUGAAAGCAAUUUAUCCUUAAACUUUCAUUCUAAUCAAUUACCAAUUGCUCUCAUUACAACGACUUUUGCAUUGUCACUGGUCAUACUGUGAACAAUCAAUUUUUCCUACAAAUUGCGAAGCCUACUGAGUGGGUUAACACGAUGGUAAGUAUAUAGUUAUUACUUACUCAAUCUUUAAUUAUCUGUAAUAUAUGUUAUUUAUGUAUUGUUAUUCGUCAGCACAUGCAAGUCAUAAUGGCCAUGCUUUGGAAACGUAGAGGUGAAAUCUACUUGAAAGACAGGGUAGCAUUUGUAGACACCUUGUUCAUAUCCAUCAUCGGCAACUACUACAACGAUUUCAUAUCGCGAGACAAAAAUCAGUAUGACUGGGGGAAAACCAUUCAGGGCAUUGUAUUGGGAAAACCAGCAAAGUGGGCUAAUCAGCGGCAGAGGCAAAUGUUUCUACGGUUUGUGGACGUUGUAUAUGUCCCGAUGAACUGGGGGUCUGAGCAUUGGGUGGGCCUUGUAAUUGACUUUAAAACGGGCAACAUAAAGAUUUUGGACUCAUUCAUCAGUCAUAAUGAUGAAGCGGCUGUGGAGCAGUAUAUGGCGCCCGUGUGUCAAAGUAUGCCAUUUAUAUUGAAGCGUUAUUUGGAUCGCAAAUUAAUGGAAGGCCUAUGCACCACCCCUUACACAUGGAGUCGUUUGGAGGGCAUAUAUCAGAACAAAAGAUCCGGUGACUGUGAGCCAUGUGCGGCCAAAUUCUUAGAGAUGCAUGCUGCAGGGCUUGGAGUGGAGGAUAUGGGUUUGAUAACGGACGAUGACGUUGACAGGUUAAGGGAGAAAUACGCCAUGGACUCAUACGAAGAGUUUGUCGGGAAUCCGGCUAUUGCCAACGCUUAGGACGAAUGUUGAAGUUUAAUGUUGAACUUGACAAUUUAUGCAAGGGUUAUUUGUUGGAUUAUGUGUUUGAUAAUGUUUAGGAUGUGGGUUUAUUUGAAAAUUUCUAUGCUUAUAAUUUAGUUUGAUAAUGUUUAGGAUGCGGAUAUCCGCGAUUAUGUGUUUGAUUAUGUGUUUGAUAAACAUAGUGUAUUUGAUAAUUUAGUUUGAUUAUGUGUUUGAUAAUGUUUAGGAUGCGGAUAUCCGCGAUUGUCAAUCCCCUCUGAUGGCGCUUCCCGACGAACUAUUGGAGAAGGUUCUCGCAUACAGUUGCAACUCCGUCCAACAAAUUUUCACCCUGAAGCAAGUUUGCAAACGGUUCCAGGCCUGCACUUUAACCAAAAAUUUUCUAGCAUCGGUUGAUCCCGUGGAAUUGGAGAUGCCUAUUCCCGAAGAUUUCGAUAUGCCUUUUAUCGCGUUUUGGGAAAUUCCCAACUUGUUGAGGAGGAUGUAUGACGCACGCAAUCCUGGUUUGCUGUUCAUGAAGGGGAUGCAAGACUACUUCUGCCGUGGAGACAAAUGUGGCAUAAAACUCAUCAAGGAAUCUGCAGAUAUGGGAUACGAAACAGGUAUUUACAUGUAUGGCAUGUACAUGAAAGCAGUGGUCGAAGACCCCGUGGGUUUAGAGUAUCUUUCAAAACUAGGCAGGGGGGCAAUGAGGAGAAUAAUUCGGAAAAUUAUUGAUGGAAGUGAGCGUGGUUAUGUUAAUUUGCCUGAAGAGUUCUCGAAGAGGAGAUUUGAGACUAAUGCUCAGUUUGCCACACUUUGGUCUUGUCGCUGUGGUGUUGCCAGUGCUCAACUUGAUUGGCAUGAGGAAUUGUUAAAGGGGCCAACCAUGUGCACGUCGUGUUUCUGGGCACAGGAAACGCAAAAGUUCUUCGUAUUUGUUUGGUAUGCAGCGCGUUCUGGGCCGUCGAUGGAAGAAUGGUGACUGAUUGGUGAAAGUCAACCAGUUUCUGUGUGUACACCUGCGUUGUGUACACCUUGGUGUGUACACUUGAGUUGUGUACACCUCGGCGUUGCUGUUAUUUCAGAAUUAUUCGAAUUGUUUAGCAUCCGCAAAUAUGUUUUUUUAUGUUAUGUAAUCGAUUAGAUUCCAUAUUUCGUACUUUCUGAUUUAAUCUUUUAUUUAGGCCUACUACGUAUGUAUGUAGGUGUACUUUGUUUUGCUUUCUAUCUAUGUAUACUUUAAUUGUGUUGACUUUAUUUAAUUUCGGUGGGUGGUAGUGCCAGUUUUUCGAGAACCAUUCUCUUAUAUCUUUAAAGUCUCAGUUUACCUCUCUUUGUACGUCUAAUAACUACAAAAAAAAAAGAACACCUCAAUCUGGACUCAAUAUGUACACCUAAAUUUGUACACCUGAAUGUUACAUUUAUCACAUAUUAUAUAUUUGAGUAUACAAACGACAUUAUCUCUUUUGUGGGAAUUUUCGGAGAAGAUGGAUAUACAAACGACAUUAUUUAUUAAAAGUCUCACCUUACCUAUUUCUGUACGCAUAUUUUUAAAUAAAUUCAUGAUUUCGUCUAUGUGGACUCAAUCUGUACUCUAUAUCUCGGUUAACGUGAUGUUGAGAAAACGUCUGUAAUGAUGACAAGAAAUUUUGUUUCCAACAAUUAAAAAAAUGGCUGGGUUGUUAAUGAAAUUUCGAUGAUAUCAUAAAUACUGAUAGUAUUGUCUCAGAAAUCAUAAAUGUAUUGUGGUAUAUCAAAAAUUAAUUUAAAUCAUUCCUCAAAAAAGUUUAAUGGUGAAAUUUGCUUUGAUUUGAUAAUUCUCUGUAUUUAUUGUGGUAAUUUAAUUUUGCCGGUAAACGAAAAGACACAUUUUCGUCUCUUUUCAACGUCUCUCUUCAAAGACAGCUAUUCGGCUCUAUUAAAACCGCACUACUACCUCUUUAAAUUCAAUCCUUUCACCGUAACUGCCUACUUAGAACCAUCAUAACUUCCUCUUUCAUACCAUUUUCAAUCCUUUCUCCUCUUCCUCAUUACAUUUUCUUAUCUUUUCUCUUUUUACCGAAAUAAACGAUGGUUCCAAGGAGAAGCAGAGGUGGUGAUGGUGAUUUUUCAUAUCUUCUCUCACUCCCUGAUGAAUUGCUGGAACAAAUUCUGGCCGCUACAAACCCAACUAUAAGGGAAAUAGCCCGCCUCUGUGCUGUUUGUUCUCGUUUCAACCGUAUCGGCAAAAGCAGGGGUUUCUAUCGAGCCAUUGAUCCCGCCGAAAUCGUGCAUGAACAAGCGGCGGUUCCACAUUACCCAGCGAUGAUGAGGAGAUUCUAUGACGCGGGUAAUCCAGGGGUUAUUUUCGAGAGGGGGAUGCAAGCCUACUUUUUCUUCCACGAUGGUGAAGGCGUGGAAUUGAUAAGGGCUGCUGCGGAGGGAGGCUACGACCGAGCCCUUUUUGUGUACGCGAUGUGGCUCAGAGCUGUGCCGGAAGACUUCGUCCGUGCAGAGGAGUAUUUGGGCAGGCUCACGGUGCAAAACCGGAGGAGGAUGAGCCGGUUGUUGCUGGCCGACGUUCCACACGGAUGGAAUUUCGAUUUGCCAGUGGAUUUCACUGAGAAAGCGGCUGCCUUUCAUCCGAGAUUCCUUGCGCUGUACACCUGUCAGUGCGGGGUUAUCAAUUACUGGCUCCAGUAGUUUAGAGAAGACUUUAAGCAGCCAAAGUGCACAACCUGUUUCUGGGCCCAAGAGACCCAAAGGUUCUUCCGCUUCAUUAGGAACGUCGUUCCAAGCUGGCCGGUCAUGCUCGAUUGGUGAAAGCCGUAAUCUUAGUAUUUUGUUGCAUUCGUGUGUCGUUAAUUAUUUAUGUUGUCUUAGUGUUCCGAACUACAACUGAUGUUUUUGAAAUUGCUUGUCUGCUUUCGUUUUUUAGUUGCAAGUCUUACUUUUGUACAAACAUAAUCUACGGAGAAUUAGUAUUUGAUUUUAUGAUAUUUAUGGCACUUAUGAUGAUUUUAUCAUAGCUCUUAGCAUUUUUUUUAAAUAUGGAGAAUUUAGCCAUUCCCAAUAUCUAAAUGAAAGUGCCAGAAUAUCAUUUCGUCUAGGGCAGUAAUUAGUUAUGUACACCUAUUCACUGUAAUUAUUUAUGUACACCUAUUACAGUAUACCUAUAGACAUACACCUACUUACGUAUACCUAAUACCGUAUACCUAAAGACGUACACCUACUUACGUAAACGGGAUCAGAUAUAGAUUGGAAACAUAAAACAGGUUGAAAAUAAAGUAACAUUACACAUUUUUAAAGAACGAUGAAUACGGGAUCGUAAGCGUACACUAACAUUGGUAUACGGGUUCGUAAACGUACACCAACAUUGGUAUACGGGUUCGUAAACGUACACCAACAUUGGUAUACGGGAUUGGAAACCCUUUUUGGACAUAAGGCUGUUAGACAUAAGGCUGUAUUUAAACUUCAUAUUUAUUUUUGAAAUAACCACAACAUGUAACAAUAGCACAUCGGUACUAAAGCAUUUUUGCUAUGCGUUCUGCCGAACAUCUAAGAUAACAAUUUUCACAUGUAACAAUGUAAUGCACAUUCUCGUGAUACACUUCGCACGACGCAGAGUAGUCUUCAUGAAUGAGACUAGGGUACCUGAACGUUUUCUCGUAUGUAUGUUUAUUACGUGGGCAAAAUGACCAGAAUAAAUAUACUAUAUCUUCGGCGACUUCAAGAAUUUCACGAAAAUCAUGGGGAUAGUGAUACCUGAAAACCAUCUUUAGAAGUUUUUUCCCUCUGUUAGGGCAACCCACGCACAUUUGCAAAAUGGCACAGCUGUAAGUGGCAUAGACGUCUGAUGGAACGAGCUUAUUUAGCAUCCUGAUGGCGGUAUAGAUCUUCUCCUCUGUUGACACGAACCUUAUAGCUUCGACCAAUAUGGCCCGUGGAUUUCUCGAUGCUAAGCAGCGCAGGAAUAAAGGCCGAUAUACUCCACCAGGGUAUAUCUGAGAUGGUGUGUCAUGCAAUGUCCAUAGGUAUGCCGAUCUGAGUACUUCCACGCUAAACGCAAUGUCUCUACCACGGGUCCCUGCCAGAAUAAUCGGUCCAAGGUAGAUGCAGUCAGACUCAGCAACUUUCUUGACAAUGAUUUCGAAAAUAUGAUCUGGUAAAUCUGGUAAAUCUGGCAUAUUUUGGGAAGGUUAUAGGGUUUGUGUAGGGUGAACUUUCUUCGCAAUUUUAUGAAACUAUAUAUUGAAUUGGAUGGGUAGUUGUAGUUGAGAAACAGUUAAUGGUAAGACAAUUAGUGUGUAGUUGAACAGAAGUAAUAUUACAAUAAGUUUGUGAAGUGAUGUUUACCAACUACAGAAAUUAAAGUAGUAGUUACAUUGUUACAACUAGUUAAGUUGUUAGUAGCUACUUGUUACAAUAAGUUCGUCAAGUGAUGUUCACUUAGUUUCCACCUUAAAUUUAUUACAAAAAUUAAACAAGUACUUGCAAUUAAAAUAACUAAACUAAAGUAAAUAUCUUAUGCGCAGAGCCGUGCAUUGUAGAAGGCAAUACUCGCAGUCUGGUGUAUUUGAGCCAUCGUAAUGGUCAUCAACACACUCCGAUAUAGGUUCUUCUUGUAGGGUGAUGGGGAAGGACCAAAGGCUACCCCACGGAUCUUGAAACGGCCCUAGUGCGAACUCCCAUACGUGACGUAUAACGUCGUGCGCUAACAGCUUCAUUUCAUAAGCCGCAUAAGGGACGUGGUGAGUGAAUACAUAGGUGAGGAGUUUUUUAGCCCUUCGUGGACGACCGACGCAAAUUUCAAACAUGGCACAUGCGAAAGUAGCAUGUUUAUCACAUGGGACAAGUCGUUAAGCAUUGUAAUCGCUGAAUACAAUCUUCGCUCACUCACGGCAACUCUAAUGGCUUCGAAAUAAAUAGCUCGUGGAUUACAGGCGCCAAGACAACGCUCAAAGAAUGGGCGGUAAGGGCUCCUAGGGGAUACGUCGAGCGGUGAGUCAACCAAUCGAGAGAUGUCUGCAGACCGUAACACGUCGUCGGUGAACGCGAUGGCUCUUCCACGUUUUGCUGCGCGAAUAAAGGGGCCAAGAUGAUAGGAAUCAUCCUCAGCUAGUUUCUUUACUAUUAACCCUAAAACAUCAUCGUCUAAGUAGUGCAUUGUUGUUUCACUUUGGUGAAAAAUAAAUUUGAUUCGCUUUAUUUGUAGACAAGGUGGAUAGAUAUAUAAAUGUCCUAAUUCGUGGUUGGUAUACAGAUAAGAGCCACUUCAAUAACUGCUAAACUGACCCCAACACGUCGCACUACAUUAUAAAUGUAACUACUAGUUUCGGGCACUUUAAUAAAAGCGAACUGACCAUUAUUCUAAAAAAUUGGGGGUACAAAACGGUUAGGUGAAAUAUUUACUAAAAGGGAGUACACUAUUAUAUUAUUUUCAACCGUAUAAUAAAUUCUCCACCCUCCCAACCACACACCAGUGAAGUCCAUAUAUGAUGAUUUUGCUUUGUCUUACCAAAACUUGCCUCCUUUCCACCGAAAACAAACUCUAAACCAAACAUAACAAACCCUAAACCGAACAUGUCGCUCCCAGACUUGCAUGAUGAAAUUCUUAUCGAAAUCCUCAAAAGGCUCGGCAGUGAAGCAUUUUGCCGACUCGGACCAUUUGUGCGCGCUGGAAAGCGCACCCUCCGGCUUGUUUUCAUCGACGAUGUCCUCAAAGCUUCCAACAUUUAUGCCCUUUGCUGUGUCCCCAGCGACAUAUGCCCUGGAACGGAAAGACGCCCAUUCUUUCUGAAAUGUUUGGCGAGUGGAAACCCUGAGGCAAGAUACUGGGAAGCCCUGAGACUUGCAACCAGAGGCGCAGAUCUCAUUGCAAGUAGGACCAUGCUGGAACCAAAUGUUCCCACCGACGCUCUCUCGACCCUGGCGUCGGCCAUGUUCAGCGUUCGCUUGGGUGACCCUUGUUCCGCAAGCCAAACAUCGCAACUGUUGGCAACGCAUCACGGAAGUCUACAGUCAGAACGCGUGCGACAAUUAGGUGAGGAGUUAAUUCUUGAGAUUUCAUAUUACGGAACUGCAUACAUGGAUACGUACUCAAACUCAUUUUCAUAUCCAAACGACGACGUCAUCAAGCUGCCUGAUUGUGCAUUUGAUCAUUUCAAACCUGAGAUCCGAGUACUUUGCAAUGGUUGCUUCAUAUAUUGGUGUGCUAGGCGUAUCUGCGAAAUGCUUUAAAAAUAAGUUUAUGCUGUACACCUUUGGAAGUGUACACGAGUAUAUGUACACUUUAUGAAGUGUACACAUAUAUUUCCUUUUUAGUAUGUAAUGAACAAUCUUUCAAUUAAUAUUCGGUGACUUAUGUUUCAUGAAAUCGUUGAACAAUUUAUGCUUCGACAAUUUAUCAAAUCGUAAACAUAAAAACCAGAAAUUGAUAUUAAAAAGUUAAUAUGAAGUCAUAAACUUCCCAACAAACAAAAUAGAGGUCUUAUUAUUUUCCAAAACAAAAUACACAAUUCAACAAACAUAAUUAAAAGUACAAUUAAGGAGUUUAUGCUCCUCCGGCGUGCUCCACCGUCCACGCAAAUGCAGUGGUUUCAAAAGCAGCCCUGUCUUCCACGUAAAUCCUAGCAAUUUCUUCAACAAAAAAGUGUCCUUCCCCUAUUUGGGGGGCAGUUAACAUUUGGUGUAUUUCCGUCAGUACCUGAUUACAUAUACAUGUAAACACAGUUAAUCCCUUAUUUAAACGGAAUUAAUAUUAUAUUCCAUAAAACACAAUAACGAUUUAUUUCUUUGAUAUGUAAAAAUACAUCAUUGAUGCUGUUGUUGGUCCUGAAGUGAGUUGGGUUCAACAUCUUCAGAAAAAUGUUCCCAUAAAUAUUAACGUUUGGGUGAUACACUUUUGUUUUGAACAUCACCUGAAAAAAAUCAGUGUUAUUAGUAAUUGAAAUCUUUAUUGACUAAAUCCUAAACCCUAAAAAUACAGCAAUUUGAGAGAGAAAUGAUAUGCUUCAAUCCUUACCCUAGGAGGCGCGAAAGGGUAGUCAAGCGGAAAGUGAAUGUCUAGUUUGAAAACACCAUUCUCAUAGGGUGAACCUUUAGGGCCCGUUAUGAUAGCUUCCCAGUGAUACAAGUCCUCACCCACAGGUCCUAAUGAAAUCGGCAAAACACUAAUUAGGUAGACGAUGUAAAAGACCGAUCCUGAAAAACUAAAACUAAACUAAUCCCCUUUUUUCAAAUGAACCAUCAAAUACCUGUACUGAAACAUGGACUGUUUUUCCUCUCCACUUCCUUCAAUUGCAAUGAGAUCACUUUGGCAGAGUACAUGUUUAGAAAGUAAAUAUUAAGUUUCUGUGUAAUUAACUUUUGCUGUUAUUACCUUUUUCUGUCUCCGGAAACUUGUUUCACUAAAGAAGAAGGCAGGGGACAGUUUUUAUAGAAGACGACAGGAAAAACAUUAUAAAGUAAAGAAGGGAAACGAGUCGGUCAAACGGUGCAACAGGUUUCAAAAAAGGUACUUAAUUAGUUUUAGUAAUUUCCAAAUUGAUUUUUUUGGGUCGUGUUUAUUCCUCAUACACUGGUUUCAUUAAAGCAAUUUUCAAAAUCGUAAUGACUUGCUUUUUGAAAAAACCGUUUAUUCGACCUGUCCUGUCCUACAAUUUCAAUUCAAAGACACGAUCAUUGUCCGUUUUCUAUAUAAUGUUUUCUUUCUCUGCUAUAGAACCAUGUCUUUGAUAAUUAUUUUGAUCCAGAACCAUGUCUUUGAUAAUGUUUUCUUUCUCUGCUAUACUACCAUGUCUUUGAUAAUUCUUUUGAUCCAGAACCAUGUCUUUGAUAAUUAUUUUGAUACGUAAACCCUACAUCGUAAACCCUAAGCCCUAAACCCUAAACCCUAAACAUAACCCUAAACCCUAAACAUAACGUCCAUACACCUAAAUUUAUAUGCGUGACCAUAUAAAUGUAAAGUUAUAAAUAAGCCAUAAUGCAAAUACACUAUAUGAUGUAAACUGAUUGAUGUUGUCCACCAUCACAGUGUACACAAACUGUGUCCACUGUCAAGGGUGUACACCCUUGACCAGUAAACAUCAUCAAUUUCAUAGAUACGCCUAAUAUAACAUAGUUCAUGCCUUUCCAAGUUUAAAUAUAGGGAAACAUAGUGUACGCUAGAAACAAACCUGAAAAACAAAGCGAGAUCACAGUGUCCACAAACUGUGUCCACCGACAAGGGUGUACACACUGUGUACACCCUGUCCAGUAAACAUCAUAAAUUUCAUAACAAAUAUAACAUAGUUCAUGCCUUUCCAAGUUUAAAUAGAGGGAAACAUAGUGUACGCUAGAAACAAACCCGAAAAACAAAGCAACAUCCCCACAAAAAAAGCAACAAGAGACACACAAAAGCCACACCCGGUUAACCCAAUGGUUCCUUGCAUUUUGCCCGGUUAUGGCCGGGAUUUCCACAUCUCGAGCAUUUGUUUGGCUUCUUUUUUUUCGCAACCUGCAACAGCGUAUAUCAGUAAUCAGUAAUCAGUAAUCAUUAAUCAGUAGGACUAGGAAAAAAAUUAUAGUUUAGUGUACACUAACCUGAGGAUACUCUCCUGCUGAAAGUUUUCUCUUCGUCGUAGGCCUUCCUGAUGGACGUUUUGACUUAGGUGGCAUAAUAUUAAGGUCACGCACCUCUGCUGGGAUACGAAUGUCGUCAGGGUCGGGCACUGGUAGGAUUUUUCCACAAACUGUUGCACUCCAAAUUGAUUUCUUAAGAAUUGGAUCAACCAAACUGCUGUACUCCACUUGCCGAAGCCUAGCCGCGGCCAUCGCAUGUCGGCAAGGGUAUUUCAAUGUCUGAAACUCUAGACAUGAGCAUGUUUUGUUUAGGAGAUCAACAAGCCGCCGUACACCAAACUCAGAACUCACUUCAACCUCCCACAAAGAAAUGCCUUGAACCGAUAGUGCAGCAGAUUUUUCCUACUGAAGGUUCAUUAACUUGUCAACUUCUUCUGUGAUGUCACCAUCCAUCUUUUGAAUUUUCUCUCUUCUGCAUUCAAGCCACCUACUUAACAUUCGCCUGAUAAAUUCUAGCAUUGCAACGAUUGGACUGUCUCUUGCAGCGAAUAAUGCAUUGUUCAGAGACUCUGCAAUGUUACUGGAGGUCAUAUUAUACCUCUGACCAGAAAAGUGUGAUCUAGUCCACAGCGCAAGAGAGAUUUUUUCCAUGUACUCCCAAAAACCAUAAUCAACAUCCUUCAGCCUUGCGUAUAGUUUCUUGAAAUUAGAAACUGUGAACGCUUCUCCAGUCUUUCCGACCAACCCUUUCUGACCGGAACCUUUGUAUUUACCGUGAACAUUUCUCUGGAUAUGGACAAGACAUGCACUGUGGUGUGACUGUGGAUACCAUUUCUUUUUAGCUUUGGCAAUUCCACCGUGCCUAUCCGAGAUAAUAGUAAGAUCAGAGGAAUCUGGAAUAAUUUCUAACAACUUCUCAAAGAACCUCCUCCACGUCUUGUCAGACUCUGCAUCGACAACGGCGAACGCUAUUGGAAAUACCUGGUAAUUAGAAUCUUGUCCACUGGCCGUUAAUAGACAACCCUUAUACUUACCAGUCAGGUGAGUCCCAUCAACAACAACUACUUGUUUCAAAUGUUUCCAUCCAGAUAUACACGCAGCCAAUGCCAUAAAUACGGACUUAAACCUGGUAAUACAUUUUCCAUCUUUUUCAUCUCUCUCGCUCUCGGUUAUCAAAUGCGUUAUGGUGCCGGGGUUAGCAUACUUGAGCACAUGGAGGUAAAUCGGUAAUAAUUUGAAAGAAGUCUCCUCUGUUCCGUGAGCAGAGUAUAUAGCCAGCUCCUUAGCUUUCCAGCAUUUCCAGUAUGAGGCUGUAAUAUUAUAUUCGGAGAGAACAAUCGCAGGUAGCUGACUCGCACGUGGCCCAACUAUUGCAUUCACAUACUUAGACUUCAGCAGAGCCGCCAUGACUUUAGAAGUAGCAUGUUUAGAAAAUUUCUUUCUUGUAUCCGGGUGGCAUGUAUGCUUCAAACAUGCCUUCCUCACCUCAUACAACGCCGACUCGCCAACUUGACCCCCCAACACUCUCCAAUCACAUAUCUUUGAUGGACAUUCGGCGACUGUGUACUUCUUCGCAUGCUUUUUGAAUUCGAACGUCACUAUAUUCUUCAGCGCAUUGAUGGCCAACGUGAUUUUAAAGUGUUCCUUGUUCCUGAAAUUUUUUCCAACCCAUAUCUCUCCAUCUUCAUUUGACAAAUCAAGUUCAUCGAAAUCCCCUGCCAUUUCAUCAGAGACUGGUGCCACAUCCGGAAAUCCAUAUAGUUUUGUACGUUUAAUCGCUUUCUUCAGCUCUGCACCGCCAUUCUGACGCCCCCAACUGACAUCACCUGUCGGAGUCUGCACAAAAUCAUCAUCAUCUCCAUGGGGAGCCAGAACAUUCUCACAUACAGUCCUUUUUCUUCCAGGAAAAUGAAUAGGACUCUCCGUUAAGACAAUAGAGUUGUCCAUAUGGUUUGAAUCACUCGGCUCACUUCCGCGAGUACUUCCACAACCCCCUGAACUACCACAGUCAUUCUUAUCCUCAUCAAAUCCAGGUUUAGAAUGGAAACCCUUACCAUCUGCUAGUACGUAAUCAUUCCACCAGUCAAAAUCAUAAUCCGGAUCAUAAUCAUCAUCAGAGCCGUAUUCGGCAUCGUCAACAUCAUCAGCUUCCUUCUCUUCCGAAUCUCUCGCCUCGUCUGAUUCCUGGGACAUUUUUAAUUCCAACUCAGGGGUGUUAACAGAGACAGCGUGACUUGGAACAUCCGGUUUUACAUUAACGGAGGUGUUAGUGCUGGCCUCAGCCUGUACUUUCUCUGAUUCCUGGGACAUUUUUAAUCCCAUUUGAGGAUGGAUUACAUAGACAGCUUCAGGUUGUACACCUUUGGAGGUGUUCAUUGCGGCCUCUGCCUCUACUUUCUCCGCAUGUGAUAUCAGCAAACAAUCAUCGAUAUCUUCAUCAUCUGCUUCAUCAUCGGGUUGUCUAGACUCAGCCGAAGAAGAGGCAAUGAAGUUUGUUGGCCCUAAGGACUUUCGCCGUUCCCUCGCAAUUUGAACUUCAAGACUUUCCUUCCGUUUCAAUCUCACCAUUUCACCAUUUACUGACUCCUUGAAUGUGACAAAUAAAUUCACAGACUUGUCAGACUUAUGCAGCGAAAGGAAGAAUUUGAACUCUCGAGGAGUAACUAUUACACAUGGACAACUCCCAUCACCAUUAAGCUCAGCUAGAACAUCAUCAAACCAGUAGGAAAUCUCCACCGAAACAACUCUCGUGUCUAAUCCGAACUCAUGCGCAAUCAGAUUUCUCAAAUCAUCUGGUCCGGACACAUCUUUGCAAUUUAUGCACCUUCCACGACGAGAUAUGUCCAUUUUGAAAUCCCAUUCUCCUGUAUAGUACCUUAUCCACGUUCCCGCCAUAACAAGAAUGAACGCAUCCACUGCAAUUCGUGAACACCAUAUCUAUAAAACUAUUGGCAAAUAGCGAACACCAGACCGAAAAAAAAUUCGAAAAUAACAAUGACAAAUCUAUGGGUGUACAAUAAUAGGAUUAAGUAACUAACCGUGGUUGUUGUCCUCUUGAUCAUCGCAUAAUUUCCCCUUCAAUUUCAACAUCUUCUGGAAAGGGAAACUAGGGUUUCUAAUUUGGUUAGGAUACUUUGUUUCAUAUUUUUACCAAUUUAUCUCCAUUAUUGCUAAUUACCCACAAUUUUCCCGCCAAAAUUAAAAAGAGAAUGGGAAAGGAAGUUUUUCGUGUAAAUAGUUGGGUAGUUUCCGGCCCAUAACCGAGGCCCAGUAAGGUGGUUUUUGGGAAUUUCAUUCCAAAUUCGAAAUCAGGCCCAAAAAACGACCCAAUCACGCGUGUGAGUGCUCUCUUCCCGCCUGUUACGCGCCCGGACGUAGAUUUCACCUGGGACCCACGAUAUUUUCUGCGUCUAUCUCUCUCUAAGGAACAGACUGCACUGUCUCUCUCUCUCUCAGAAAGAAGGGUAAGUCUGCCAUUAUGAAAAUAUGUCCCUACCCCGACCAAUUAAAACUUAAAACUACCCUUUUCUCAAAUUAAAACUUAAAAACGUCCUUAUUUUCAAAACUACCCUCUAAAUAAUUUAGUUUAAAUAGUUUUGAGAUCUUUGGAUCACUUUUCUAUAUAUUUUAGAUCUAAUUUUUUGAAGUAUCAUAUGAACUUGUUCGAUUUUUAUCAUUGUUUUAUGUGUUUCAAACAUCACAAAUACCGUCAUUUCAUUAGUUAGAUAUUUUUUUUUUUUUUAACUUUUUAGUUAGAAUUUUUUUAAAAAUUUCAGUUUUUUUUGUUUUGAAACAACAUUCCAUUACUUUUUAAGUAGUUUCUAUUUUUUGUUUCUUUUAACAUUUGUGUUAGAUUUUUUCUAAAUUUUAGAAACAUAAGAAAUAGUAAACACGAUAUUUCUCCAAUGGUUGCCUCUAUUUUUUUCUCUAAAAUAGAGGAACUCUAAAAUAGAGAUGCAUUUGUCUCAAAUAGUUACCUCUAUUUUUCUCUCUAAAAAGGAAUAUUCUCAAUAUAUUUUUUUUGUUAUUUGUUAUUAACACCUUUUAUUAAUAAAAUUUAUGAAUUGACUCCACUUAUUUUUUUACAAAACUUUAUAUAAAUUAUAAUACUAACUUUGAUAAAUAAAAUUUGUGAAUUAAUCUUUUAUUUUACUUUUUAUAAAAGUUUUCAUAAAUUAUAGUAAUAGUAACCUUUGACUACUAAAUUUUUUAAAUUAAUCCCAUUUGUGUUACUUUUUUAUGAAAGUUUCAACAUAUUAUAAUAAUAUUAGAAGUUAAAAUUCAUAAAUUAAAAAAAAAAUUGCUGUUAUUUUUCGUUUAUUUUUAUGUAUUUUUAAUUUGCAAUUACUUUUUGUAGUUUAAUUUCAAUGAAAAUUUUUAUAUUUAAUAAUAUUAUAUGUUUUUUUAAAUUAUAACCAAAAUUAUCAUAUUUAUAUUCACAAAAAAUUAUACUUUUUGCAUAAAUAAAAAGAUUUAAAAGUUAAAAGAUUAUUUUACAAAUAAAAAAUUCCACUUCUAUUAUAGAGGGAAAAAAUAGAGUCCCUCUAUAUUUGGAGGAAAAAAUAGUAAUCUCUAUUUUAGAUGUGUAAAUAGAGGUGGGUUGGAGCAUAAUCUCUAUUUUCACCUCUAAAAUAGAGGUAGGUUGGAAAUGCCCUAAGAGAUAUAUAGAAUUUUAAAAACGGUUUGAUUGACUAUGAAAUUGAACAUUAAACCAUAAUAAUUUAGACCGGUUUGUUUUAUGUUUUUUUUUACACAUCAUUAGAUAAGAACCAAUAAAAAAAUGACAUGUAAUUGCAAAAUAGGGUUAAAUAGUCUUUUUAUAGCUGAAAUUCAUUCUGGAGCUAACACGUAAGCGAAACACUGUGAAAAUCGCUGUGAGCGGGACACAUCAUCAAAUCACUACACAAAUAAGUAUAUAAUAAUAAAUAUCCAUAUGUUCUUGAACUAGUGUAGAUUUUUAAAAAGUGUUUGGUUGUUGUUUUUCAUAAACUCAUUAAUCAAGUUUUGAAACAUUUAGUUUUCCUACAAUAAAAAAAAAUAUUCUUUUUAAAAAUUCAAUUCAAACAUUUGGAUUUAUGUUAAUCCUAAAAGCUUGUAAAUUUCUUUUUCUUAAUCAUUUUUAUGCAAAUACCAAAAACUAUAAGAAAGUCAAAACCAAAAUUUAUCAGAAAGUUUUUUCGUGUUAUAAUGAGAGAUUUUUGGUUCCACAUUUAUUGUUACCAGUCAUAUUAUUUGAGAGACAUCUUUUCAGAAAGUCUAAAAAAUAUAUAUUAAUAAAUUUAUCCCCCUUUAAUAACCCAUAUAAAAAAAACCUGUUAAGAAAAAAAAAACAUCACAACUUUACAUUAAUUUGAAACAAUGUGGUAAAAGAAGUAACAUAAGAAUGAAAUAAAAAGUAAUAAUUUGAGUUUAUUUAAUUUUAUAAUAACUUUUCCUUUCCCUCUUAUAUUUCCCUCAUAACUCUUCUUAAAUACGAUUAUAAGUUUUUACCAUUCACACCCCCUAACUAUAUCAGUUUUUAGUUACAACUAUAAACAACUCAUUUUGCGAUAAAUGUAUUUUUUAAUUUGCUGCAAAAAAUAAUUCUGCAAGUAUUUAAAGCAUUGAAAAUGUAUAAAUUCCAAAUCAUUGUUGGGUUAUUCACAUCUCUCUAAUAUAAAUUAUUGAGUUAGUUUAAUUAUUUUUAAUCACUAAAUUUUAUAAAAUUGUGUUUUAUACCUAUCAUUAUUUUAAAUUUAUGAAUAGUAGAUAAUUCAACUUGGUCAUCAUUGUACUACACAAUUUUGAAUUUUUGAUUGUCUUGACAAUAUAGAUACUAACUAUAAUUUAGAAAAAGAUUGAGUUUUCUCUUAAAAAAUAUCAGAUUAUUAAUCAGGACAUUUGUUGUAUACACCAAAUUCAAUUGCUGGUACCAAAAAUCAAAAUCAUCACUCUAGGAAUUUGUAAUUGUUAUGAGCAAAACAAUAGGAGGAUCCUGCAACAAAGGGCUUUUACUGGAUCAGAAAUGGCUUACUAAGAGGCCUGGAUCGGAGCCGGAUAUCCAAAAUUUUUAAAAUAUACGGAUCCGCUGGAUAAUCAAUUUUACUAUUCAGAUCCGGAUCCAAAAACUCUGGAUAUCCGAUUUGAACCGAAUAUUUAUAGAUAUCCGAUCGGAUAUCUGGUUUUAUUGAUUUAGAAAAAAAAAUCUUUAAUUUUUUAAAAUUAUAAUGAGAUAACGUAGAUAAUUAAAAUGUAUCAUCAUAACAAAAGUUACAAAUAACAAAAAUUAAAAAGCAUCUAAGUAGGAUUCAAAUAGCACAAAGUUUAAAAGUUUACAUAGCAAAAGAAAAAAUAGUAAUAAAAGAUUAAUUUAUCUCCAUAUCCAUGUGCUAUCCAUUUUCAUGUUCUUCUCUUACAAUCUGAAAUAAAAUAUUAUCAUACAAUAUGAAUUUCAAUCAUAUAUAAAGAAGUUUUAAAAAAAACAAUUUUCAAACAUAAUUAAAACAAAAAAUGAAUGCAUGUCUAAAGAUUUUUAAAUUGAUUUUUACCUCAUCCAAAUUUCACACUCAAAAAUAAAUAUUAUCAAAAAAUAAAUAAAUAUUUAACAAAUAAAUAACGGAUAACGGAUAUCCGGUUUCAAAAUUUUCUAUUAUUCAGAUCCAUAUCCAAAAUAACUGAAUACUUAAUUUUAUUAUCUGGAUCCGGAUUCGAACUACACAAAUAUUCAGUUUUUACGGAUCGAAUAGGAUCGGAAACCGAAUACCGGAUAAUAAUUUCAAGGCUACUAGAAGUCUUCUUGAACAUGUGAUAAAUCAAAUCUUGAGCAUGUUUAUAGGAGAAUUCAUACAAAAUUCUUAAAUAAUAUUUAAUUAUAAAUAAAAGAGUGGAGAAUUAAUGUUUUUUUAAUAGAGAUGAGUCAGAAAAGAGAUACAGAAAGAAGUAAAAAGAAAAGAAGAGAGAGAAAAGGUUUAGCGAACCAACACAUGUCAUUAGAAGAACCGAUUCUUCAAAUUCUGAAAUAAGGAUCGAUUAUUAUUUUAUUUUCUGUUUUUGAUUUAUUAUAACUCCAAUUAAUUUUAAGAAAUUCAUCAAGAACCCUGCAAUAAACAUGUUUUACGGAGGGUUUUUUUCUGACCCAAUUGGAUACAAACCCGAUCCGAACCACGUGGUUAUAAAAUCCGCCAAACAAGUCUCACCGUCUCCACAUUUUCCGAGGCCUCACUUUCACUUCCGUUUUUAUCAUUCGUCGUCACUCUCACUCCUCUUCUCUCACCUUUCUCUUUCUCUGUGAACAAAAAAAUGAGCUCCCAAAUCUGCAGAUCUGCUUCAAAAGCCGCGAGAUCUAUUCUUUCUUCAGCUAAAAAUGCUCGUUUCUUCUCCGGUACGUUCCGAUUCUCUCUCUGUUUUAUUGUUUUCUGUACAAAAUCUCGAAGAUAUAAGUUCAUGUGCUUUAGAUUCCUCGAUCGAUUGUCUGAUUAAUCUGUGGAAUCAUUCGCUAUUCAAAAUUUGAUUCUCGAAUCCGUUUCAAUUUAUGGAUUUGAUGAAAAUUAAUAUAAAAUCCUUUAUUAACAGUGUGAAGUUAAAUUUGGUGAAGAGUAAUUUAUUUGAUCUGAUGGAUUCAUUGCUCUGUGAUGAUUACAAAAGAACAAUCUGAAUUUGGGAUCUCAUACAUAGCAUACCUAAGUUGCUUAGCCAAAAUUAACCUUUUUAAGAUCUUGAAAUUGUUUUUCAGAAGGACGAGCCAUUGGUGCAGCAGCAGCGGUUUCUGCAUCUGGAAAGAUGCCUCUCUAUGCAUCUAACUUUGCAAGAUCAUCAGGUUCUGGUGUUGCUUCAAAGAGCUGGCUCACUGGACUCUUAGCUCUUCCUGCUGCAGGUUUUAACCAUUGUUAUUUGUAUAGAAACGGAAAAAAUUGUAGCCAAAAGAUUUCUCUCAAUCACAUUGAAUAGGAUACACACUCCAUUAGUUAAAAAAUCGUGUUUGUGGGGGAGAGUAUUGACACAUGCUUUCUUUUGAUUGUUUCUGGUAUAGCCUUGAUGCUUCAAGAUCAGGAGGUUCUUGCUGCUGAGGUAAAUAAUAAUCGUCCAUUUUCUAUGUAUAUGUUUUGCUCUAUGUUCUUCGUUGUUGAACCUUUUCUGCUCAAAUCAGAUGGAACGCACUUUCAUUGCUAUCAAACCUGAUGGAGUUCAACGAGGACUGGUAAUUAAAAAUAAAAAAGCUUGCUUUGCUGCUUAGUCUUGAUUGGUCUUCAUGUGUAUGUGUAGUUUUUUAUUCAUAUGUGCAAAUCUUGUCUCGUGAAUCACCAGAUAUCGGAAAUCGUUUCUCGAUUCGAGCGAAAGGGCUUCAAGCUUGUUGGUAUCAAAGUCGUCGUUCCUUCCAAAGAUUUCGCACAGAAGCAUUACCAUGAUCUCAAGGAAAGACCUUUCUUCAAUGGCUUGUGUGACUUCCUUAGCUCUGGUCCUGUUAUCGCCAUGGUAAGAGAAAAAACUCUCCACAUUCAGCUUUUUGAAUUUAACAACAAACUCUAAGCAAAUCGACUAAGAUGACUCGUUCGUUUUAGGUAUGGGAAGGAGAAGGAGUGAUCAGAUACGGACGUAAACUGAUUGGAGCCACCGAUCCUCAGAAGUCUGAGCCUGGAACAAUCCGAGGAGAUCUAGCAGUUGUUGUUGGAAGGUAAUGUUCUGUUUUUGUCUUUCUAAUAUUCGAGAUCGUGAAGAUUUGGUUUGGUUAUUGAAAUGUGAAAUUGCAGGAACAUAAUCCAUGGAAGUGAUGGACCAGAGACAGCAAAAGAUGAGAUCAAUCUGUGGUUUAAGCCUCAAGAACUUGUUUCUUACACCAAUAACGCUGAGAAGUGGAUCUAUGGCGACAACUAAAUCUCCUCUUUCUCUUGUCUUUCUUUUUAAAUCAAAUAACAUUGUUUUUUUUUCUUAGCUAAACAAUAAAAACGAGAAACAGUUAUUACGGAUACAAACACAUCCUGGGUUUUGAAUUUCCCGGGGAACUCAGUAAUCAGAGUGAUAUAAGAUCGGGGUAGUGGGGAUGGAUCCGAGUGAUUGGCCGAGAGGCUCUCUUCACUUAGAUGGAAAUAUGAUUGAGUGCGGAGAGAUGGAACCUAAGUAACUGGCCGAGAGGUUCUCUUUAUUUAGAUUAGCGAAUGAAUGUAGAACAAAAUGACCAAGGGAUCGAUGUGAAGCCACACAGCUGAUGGAGAGGCUGUGAUAAGUCGGUGAACUCAAGAACACAAGGGGAAACCACACAAAUGUUCAAGAACUUGGAGAGAGAGGCGGCUGCUCUAAGAAAUACGCUCUUUAUUGAUUUAGGGUAAAAAGUUGUGUCUUACAAUGCCGCAUGUGAGACUUUAUAAACAGUCCUUCGGCCUUGACCUUCUAGGGUCGACAGAGACUCAAGAAAAGGAAAGAAAACUUGCAACAGACUCUUGGAAAAGUAGAUAAAGCGAAAUGGAAACAUUAAUAAAGUUCUCGACUAAAAUUAAAGGAAAUAUAACUAAUAAGGACCUUAAAACAAAUUCUGCAAAACAAAAAGAGGGAAACUCGUUAGUUUAAAAUUAUAAUUAAACCAAACACUCACCUUGGUGUCGUUUUGACACUUAGUCGUUUGUAGCUUCAAUGGAGAAGAUCAUGCGAGCUCCUUGAGUCUUUAUUAGUGGCCAUUCCUCAGUUGGUGUAGACUUGAUGCUUGUAUCGCCAUGAUCUUGAUCUUCAAGCUUUAGUUCUUCCUCGCUCUGGUCCUUGUCUUGUAUGAAUAGCAUCUUGUCCUUCGUUAAACUCAUUGCUACUUGGUUGAGAAGCGGUUGCUCGAGGUCGAGUUGAGCAAUGCCUUUGGUGAUGUCUUCUAAGCUUCUUUGGUUGAUCAGGGUGUCCAUGGCAUUGUUGAACUCUUCUCUAAACUUUCUAAAUCCUGAUCUUGUCCUUGGAGGGUUCUUCAUGGUGAGAAAAGUAUCUUUAGGGGCCAUGUCCUCAUCACAGAGCACAAGCAAUAAGUGAUGAGAUGAUUGAACUAUGAAAGACUUGUUUGUUUUUAUCAUCUUGUUGGAUCUAAAUAUACAAAGGUUGAGAAUUCAUGGAUUUUUUUGCCGUACGUUUCUUUCCCUAUCCAUUACCAAAUUUUACAUGGAAGCUGCAGAUUCUAGAUAUUUAGCUUGAGUUUUGAGAAGAGAAAAUAAAAUGGCUAUGGUCAAUGCACAUAACACUUUUUAAACAAAACUACGGAAAUGGUUAUACAUAUAUAUAAUAGACCAUACCUCAAAUUUGAAAGGAUCUUGGAUUUAUAAAUUUGCUUUAUAUGGAAGGGAAUAAUUACCAGUCAAAGUAAUGCUAGAGAAAGAAGACGAAGAUGUUUGACACAAGAUCUUUAACGUCUUAGCUUGACGAAAAUCAGAGAGUAUAAUAACAAAUAAUCCUUAAGAUAACGAUUAAAGAACAAUGAAUUUUUAUCUCUCUCUCUCUCUCACAGAUCUUACCCACUCUUCUUUUUUUUUUUGGUCGUAGGCGGUGAAGACAACAGGUCCCCCCAUUUUAUUAAAGAAGUCUCAAACAAUUACAUUCGGACUCGUAGUGAAACCGUAGCUCCACUUAUAUCCCCUAACAAUAACAACUUAACAUCAUCUGGAACCAACUCCAUUAAAUGAAAACCCAGCGGUAAGGUAAACGCAUAGUUAACUAAUCCAUCAGCCAGACGGUUAGCCUCCCUAUACAAGUGAGAAAUACGGACAAUCCAGUCCCUCGAUAUGAAGCCGUGGCACAAGCGUACCAGAAAUGACAGCGGGUGUGAUGCACUAAUCCCUGUCGUCAGAAAACCCACUACAACCUCCGAAUCCACCUCCACCUCUAGUCGAGUAACUUUCCUCUCCCAAGCCACCACCAGCCCAUAGUAAACUCCCCAAAGUUCAGCUAACGGUGCCGAGCAUAUCCUUAUAUUCAAGGCAAAACCCACACACCAAGACCCAAUCUCAUCCCGUAGAACACCCCUAGAGGUUGCCAAACCAGGGUUACCCCGCGAAGCUCCAUCUGUGUUCAUCUUCAUCCAUUCCUCUCCUGGCCAAACCCAAGUAAUCAAUCUCUCAAUCCGGGGUAAAGAAACUUGCACUUUCUUCUUCUCCUUCAAAUGAGCUAGUGAAACUUUCCGUGCCAAGUCUUUCAAGAACCAAACUCAAUCACGACAUUUCCCAUAGCUCCCAAACACGUUCCCACAACGCCACUUCCAUCCCCACCAAAUACUCAUAGCGAACAAAGUUGACCAUGUACUCGCUCCCAAAACUGCAUCGUCCCCAAGGUUUCGAUAAAACCAUUUGAAAAGAGUCAUGGUAAAGAAAGCACCUCUCAACCUUUUGAUAACACCGGAUUUUGACCAUUUUUAUGGAUCACUUUAAUAUCUUUUACAGGUUUUUUUACUCCAUUUUCAAAGGUUUUCAAAGGAUUUCUAUGUUUCCGGAUUUUAAAAGACUUUUCAGGUAAUUUGGGAUAAAGAGGCACAAAAUGGAACAAAAAGACUCUUUUGGAUAAAUGCAGACCGUCAGAACUCUCAUGGAGAGACGAAGACCUUCUCACCGUCUGAUCACCCCCAAAAUUGGACAACUUAUAGAAGAAUCAACUUGCUUUCAAAUGCACUUGGUUUGGAGACAUUCCAACGGUUGGAUCUCAAGAUAAUCCAUUAGCCCCGAAGCCACGCGGAGUCGGCCAGCAGCUCACGCGACCGCGGCCAGCAACCUAUUUGCCGCGGUCAGAAGCUUCCCGACCGCGGGAAACAAGCCAAUUGCCGCGGUCACAGCACUCCCGACCGCGGCAUUCAAGCUCCGACUUAAAGCCCACUUAUCUGAAGCCCAAAGUCAUUCCCAGCCUCAAUUCCGGAACCCUAGAGACCAUGGAGCAUUGGAGACUAUAAAUACAUGUCAUUUUGGUCGUUUUUAGAGAGAGCUUUACACACUUUGCAGAAACCCUUUUUCCUUUAGCCGUUUUUAUGAGAUUUUUGUAGAAGAUUGUUCAAGUCCGAGUUCUUCAAUAGAGAAGCUUUCUUUAUCUCUUUUCUUUACUGUUUUUCAUUACUUUUAUUGAAACCAAUGAUGAUGUCGAACUCAGCCAUGUCUGAGUAGAUCCCGAGUUGGGCUUAGGGUUCCCGAAAGGGGCUCUCAUAAUCGAUUAAGACAUCUAGGUUUAUAGAUCUGGGAUUUCGACCUGUUCUCUGUUUAUUCUUGUUCUUAUUGCAUGUAUGCUUGAUUGAUCACCUAGUAUCUGAUCUAGAUAGUUAGUGUUGCGAAAGUUUUCAUUAAGUAUCAGCCCUAAAAUGAAACAGGCGAUUUUUCCGUAGGAGUGGAAACCUACCUGCGGCGAGAUUGUGAGUAUUGACGAGUCUUAUGCAGCUCUUGCGUUCUCUCCCUUCCAGGGCCAGAGUGGAAACCUACUGGUCAGGGUUGCGAGAAACAGUUGGUUAUGAUCACGACAGUGACGUAGUCAUACCGCCGUACUCUAGCUCUAGAACCCAUAUAUUGUUAUCCGUCAAUCCCAAUCUAUCUACCCUAAUGUUAAAACCGAUUAUGAUCCCUUAGAGUUCCCAAAAGCUCAGCGUUUUUAGCCAUAGUUUACAAUUUCCAUCGAUUUUUACAUGCUUUCUUAGACCUGCAUUUUAAUUUCCUUAGUUCGUUAUUUACUUGCUUUAUUUACAUUUCAUGCGAUAUUUUACUUGCCUUAUCUUUGUUUAGUUCGAUAUUCUACUUGUUCUACUGCCUUUCAUUCGAUUUCUUUACUUGCUUUUUAGGAUAGAUUUAUUUACUUUCUUUUGCUUUAGUUUAAAUUCGAGAAAAACAACCAACCUUUAAAACCAAUUUAGUCUAGACAUAAAGUUAAAAACCGUAGAAGAAUACCAGGCACAUAAAUCUCUGUGGAUUCGAUCCCUAAAUACUGCAACAGAUUAGCUGUGCACUUGCGGCUUUCUUUUGUUUUGUUAAGGGUAAAACUUGUUCCCUCACGUAGUUGACACACUCAGCACAACCGCAUCAAGGUUUUGGCGCCAUUGCCGGGGAUUUGUUUCGCUGCCUUUUGCUAUUUUUCUUGUUUUAACUUCUAUUCUAGACACCUGAUCUCUAGUUCUUUCUUAAAGUUUUUCUGAACUAUCUUUCCCUUCUUUUGUCUUUCUCUGAAUUGCAUGAAUACCAGGCGUAGACCUGCAGGACACAUUCCAAUUCUAGACGAGAUAGACAGACACGAAAGAGAACUUCGAAGACUUAGACGAACGCAAGGAAUGGCCAACGACGACCAGCCUGGAGAUCCUAUUAAUCGAAAUUUAAAUAUGGACCAAGAAGGGUCCGAACAUGGAGAAAACGAAGAGAAUGAUCACAUAGAAGGUGAUCAUGCUCGAGAGGAUGAAGAAGAGUCCAGAACCGAUGGAAAGAAAGAAGAAACCCCAAUCUUUGUACCUCUGUACAAGGAUAUCGAUCCCAAGCAGCCGCCGUUUAAGGUACCCGAACGAUCACCGUUUCAAAGGCUUACCAAAGCCGAUGAUCCGGGACGUUUUGUUUUCCAGUGUUUCAUUUCAGGAAUCAAGUUUACAGACUGCUUGUGCGAUUCCGGAGCCAAUGUCGACAUCAUAUCUAAGACAUUUGCCGAAAAAUUGGGCAUAAAAACCUUAAGGACAUCGACGGUUAAUGUUAUCUUUGGAGAUUCAUCUCAAAAAGAUACUGAAGGGGCGAUUCAUGAUCUACAAGUUCGAGUGGGAGAUAAGAUUGUUCCAGCAGAUUUCCAAGUUCUGGAGAUGGAUAAAGACAAGGAGAGGCCACUCAUUUUCGGGAGGCCAUUCCUAGCUACGGUGGGAGCAAUUAUCGAUCAUGCAAACCGGCACGCUGUUUUCCUCAAUGUGGACAGAAAAAUGUACUAUCCUACUAUCUUAGAUGAAUUUCCAAGCAAAGGAAACAGGCCAAAAGAGAAAGAAAAGGAGAAGCCGAAAGCUUUUGCAAAGAUCAAGAUCAUCAUUCCACCGAAUGCAACAGAAACUAGUGAAGACCAAAUCCAAGAGCUUAUCGAAAACACAAAAAGGGUUCUGAACAAUAUUAAGGUCCGAAAGAAGAUUAAAGGUAAGAAGACUCCUCUUCAAGGGGAAGAAGUAAAACCUCCACCAACCGGAAGUGAUAAAGGCACAUCAAAUGGAGUGCCAUUCAAAUCAGCCUGAUUCCUCAUGCUUACGUCGAGCUAAACGACUUAAAACAAAAGCGCUUAAUGGGAGGCAACCCAUUUAGGUACUCUUUCUUUUAGUUUUCUUUUCCAUUUUAGAAUUUAUGCUUUCUUUUUCUUUUUAAGUUUUAGGUAUUUUAUAAAACAAAAACACAAAAAAAUUAGAAAAUUAGAAAAACCAAAGAGAAAAAGGUAGGUCUUCAGCUGCUCGGCCCGGCAAAGACGAGAAGAUUGGACAAUAGGCCGCAGGAGGAAGAUCCGCGGUCACAACUGACGGGACCGCGACAAAUGGUGGAUCGACCGCGGCACCGUGAAUGCGACCGCGGCCGAGCCUUCAUCCACCGCGGUCGCGCGUCUUCUGACCGCGGCCGUUGGUCGUUGAGGUUGUGUCGCGGAUUUGUGACGUUUUUCGGUGAUUCCCGGUGUUUCCCGAAAUGUUCCCGGUAAAACCCGAAAAGAUCCUCCGUAAGUUUUAAACUUUCCUAAUGUGUAAACAAGAAAAGGUAAGUUCCCGUAAACUUAAAAAUUUCCAAAAAUUUUCCGUUUUUGCUUCAAAAACGCUUUUUAAAGAAAAAAAACAAAAUUUUUGGAUCAAAACUCUUUCUUCUCUUCUUCUCCAAAAGACUUAGAGAUUUAGGAGAAAGAACAGAUUUUUCAAUUCUUAAGCUUUUUAAAAGAUUCUUGGCUCAAACCUCACUCUUUUUCGAAGCUGAUUUCAAUUAUGCCAUCAAUUCUCUCUUUCCAGCAAGGUAUGAACCUCAAACUCACCAUUCUUACUCGAUUUUGAACUUAAGGUUUUCUUUAAAAACCCAAAAUCUUGGUCUAUUGAUGGUGGAAAUAGCUUAAGGAUGAUAGAUUAUCCAUUUAGGUUAUCUAAAAAUCGAUUUUAGCACCUAGAUUAAGAGGAAUUGAGAUUUUUGAAAUUUGGAUUCUUCAUGCUUCAUAAAAAUCGAAUUUGGAACAGCAAAAUUGAUGAAUUUGACUUAGUCUUGUGUGAUUAGUGAUUAGUAUUAGGUAAUCUUUAGAAUUCACAUGGAAAUUGCUCAUAAAAACUUAUUUUUAGAAGAUUUCUAUGUUGAGGACAUCAAAAAUCCGAAUUUAGUCAUGAACUACUUGAUUUCUCUGAUUUAAUAUCAAUUUUGUUUGCUAAUAGUUUUAAUUAAUCUCUUUAUACUAGCAUUAGUAUAACAGAUCUUAAUGUGUUAAAAUUUGCAACCCAAAUUCACUCUUUUUCCAAGAAUCAUUUCAUUUUGCAGAAAAUGGAUGAAACCAGAUCCCGAAGGAGCCGUCGAACUGGUGGCAGCUCCGAUGACAUUCCCGACGAUGCUACUCUAAGAGAGUACAUGCUGAACCAAGCCAGACCGAGAAGAAGAAGCUAUGUGAUGAGAUUGCUCCAGCACUCGAAGGAAACACGAGCACCUCCCGAACCACAACAAAUUCGAUACAUUGGGAGGGAGACAAACCCGAGAGUGGACUAUGCAAGGCGUUUCAAGAAGCUGAACAUCAAACCCACGCCUUGCAUUGAUUAUCAUACACUUGAGAUGCUUGGAAUCAGAGAGGAUGUGAUCUGGUACAUCGAUGCACUUAUGCUAAGACCCUACUUGGAGCUGAACCUUCCGACUUAUCCUGAGCUAGUCCGUGAGCUUCUAGCGACCGUUACACUCCACCACACGGGAAGGAGGAACCCAGAGCAUCAGAUGACAUCUUGUCAUUCUCUAUCCGCGGACAGCCUUAUUCUCUCACCAUUUCCGAGGUUUGUGAAGCUCUUAAGCUUCCAUACACUGAUGGCAUUUAUCUUGAAGAUGAACCUGAUCUGAACCUGUGGAGAGAGAUGGGUCAUGGAGCCUAUGAUAGUGGGAGAUCUAAGUCAGCCCUCCUUAGCCACCCAGCAGUGAGAGUUGUGCACAAACUCUUAGCGCACACGAUUUUCUUUAGAGCCAACAUGGGAGGCGUUUUGAAGACUGAGCUCAUUACACUUCAGAUUCCGUUUAUGGAUGAUCCACGACUUGCUUGCUUUGCCUGGAUCAUAGCGCAGAAUAUGGUGAAGGUAAAGCAUGAUUUACAUGGUUGCGAUGACGCUACUCCAGCCUUCGGGAGUGCUAUUACAGCGAUACUACAGGCUGUAGGAUUUGAUUUCUCAUCUGAUGAUCCACUUCCCGACGUCUGGUAUGAUCUACUUUAUCUCUCUCGCGAUCACACUAUCUCUCGUGCCGAUUUCGAUCCAGACAGGUUUGGUUACAAGUAUUGCACUGGCACUGAGGAGCACCGAGUCCGCUUACCUUCAGCAUCUAUCCCGAGAUUGAGUACCGGAGGACGCCCUUGAUGGACUCCAGAAUCCGAUGAUUUUCUGCCAUCCGUACCUCGUCUACCAUUCACCAUUGGCCAGUACAUAGUGGCCAAGGCGAGGCGUGAUGCAGCUGCGGCCCGUGCUCAUUUUCAGCCAUCCAUUCCGACCGGCCACACCUCAUCAUCUACAUCAUCCCACACUCAUUCCGACCUGGAGCGCAGGGUUGAGAGACAGGGACGACGCUUUGAGCGCGUUGUAACCUUCCUACAGGAGCAGCACCAGUUCGCAGACGACACUUCAGAGGAUGACUGAUUGAUCAGCACUUCACUACCAUCACGGUUCUAUCAUCAUUUUCUUUUCUUUUAUCUUAUUUCAUUUCGUUUUUAUUCACCAUCUUCUCACCAACUUUUUCACACUGGGGACAGUGUGAUUUAAGUCUGGGGGAGGAUGCCUAUCCGUACUAAUCAUUUUCCUGCUUUGCUUUUAAAUUUCAAGUACUUUUUAAAUUUUAAUAUGUAACCUAUUCGACAUUAAGUAUUUUUCAGGAAUGUUUGACGCAAAACUAUGAUGAUUUAGACCUGCACACUUCUACACUAUGCAUGAUAGCUCAUUUGUGGUUAGCACUAGACUAGGCAGUAGCUAGAGUACUUGCACUACGAACUCCCACCAGAGGACUUCUAUUCAUGGAGAUUCUUUCUGACAGGAUAUACUAGCUCAUUUUAUUUGAACUUAAUAUUGAUAUCUAAUUUUCUCAUCAUUGAUUUUAGGCAGGCAUCGACAUACACAUCUAGGACGUCUUUUACCAUCACUUUUACCACUCUUUGUCGUCCUAGAUGACCAGUUUAUCUUUAUCUGGUACCAUAUCCUAAACCCAAAACUCUUGUUUUCAAUCCUCAUGCAUUCUCUCUUUAGUUUAUAUCAGCAGAUAUGUGCAAAAACGUCGGAGAGAAGAGGAGCGAUGCAGUUUUCAGUCACUCACAAAGGAGACUGAAUGGAAUUGGGAAGGAGGAGUAUUAGAAACAUAAUAAAGCUUUACAAGACAGAUAUUAACUGGUAAAUUCGUGCUCUCUAAGACUCUAUAUCUAAAGGUGUUCCCUUUCUCUAAAAAAAAAAAAAAAAAAAAAAAAAAACGUGAAAAGAGAAAGAGAAACAUAAAGCCUAAUGAGUCUUAGAUUGUCGAAAUUUGUGGAGCAAUGAGCAACCACUAUUCGUUUAAGGAGCUAUUGUUUUGAAAGAUUUACAAAAAUCUAAGUCUGGGGGAGUUUGGAGAGAACCUGAGGAAGAAGACCAUGAAUCUAUGUUAAGAAAAAGUGACUGAAAACUGUGGAUACCAACAGCUUCACUCUCUCUUGCGGUUUUGCAUAAUGUCCUGCACCCUCCAGAUCUUCAGGUAACCCUUAAACACUUUAAGCCACACCCCCAAAAUAAUCCUUCCUUACACCUAGCCUAGAUUGCCUUGCCUAGAUUUUCUAUGAUGAGAACCACCGAAAUUUUAAUGAAUGUUAAGAGUUAGUUGACUGGAAGUUAGAUCUUAGUGCAUAGAUUUCUGCAUGACGGAUUAACGGACUAGUUAUGCCUGUAUUGCUAGUGAGAAUUUUCUAGGCUAUUCCCAAUUGAUGCAUACUGAUUGAUAUUGGUCUAGAAGUUUGGUCUCUGAGAUUUUGUUUAGUUCCUGCGUUUUCAAACCUCUCGCCGAGAUUAGCCUUUGUUUUGUUUGAGGACAAACAAAAGACUAAGUCUGGGGGAGUUGAUAACACCGGAUUUUGACCAUUUUUAUGGAUCAUUUUAAUAUCUUUUACAGGUGUUUUUACUCCAUUUUCAAAGGUUUUCAAAGGAUUUCUAUGUUUCCGGAUUUUAAAAGACUUUUCAGGUAAUUUGGGAUAAAGAGGCACAAAAUGGAACAAAAAGACUCUUUUGGAUAAAUGCAGACCGUCAGAACUCUCAUGGAGAGACGAAGACCUUCUCACCGUCUGAUCACCCCCAAAAUUGGACAACUUAUAGAAGAAUCAACCAGCUUUCAAAUGCACUUGGUUUGGAGACAUUCCAACGGUUGGAUCUCAAGAUAAUCCAUUAGCCCCGAAGCCACGCGGAGUCGGCCAGCAGCUCACGCGACCGCGGCCAGCAACCUAUUUGCCGCGGUCAGAAGCUUCCCGACCGCGGGAAACAAGCCAAUUGCCGCGGUCACAGCACUCCCGACCGCGGCAUUCAAGCUCCGACUUAAAGCCCACUUAUCUGAAGCCCAAAGUCAUUCCCAGCCUCAAUUCCGGAACCCUAGAGACCAUGGAGCAUUGGAGACUAUAAAUACAUGUCAUUUUGGUCGUUUUUAGAGAGAGCUUUACACACUUUGCAGAAACCCUUUUUCCUUUAGCCGUUUUUAUGAGAUUUUUGUAGAAGAUUGUUCAAGUCCGAGUUCUUCAAUAGAGAAGCUUUCUUUAUCUCUUUUCUUUACUGUUUUUCAUUACUUUUAUUGAAACCAAUGAUGAUGUCGAACUCAGCCAUGUCUGAGUAGAUCCCGAGUUGGGCUUAGGGUUCCCGAAAGGGGCUCUCAUAAUCGAUUAAGACAUCUAGGUUUAUAGAUCUGGGAUUUCGACCUGUUCUCUGUUUAUUCUUGUUCUUAUUGCAUGUAUGCUUGAUUGAUCACCUAGUAUCUGAUCUAGAUAGUUAGUGUUGCGAAAGUUUUCAUUAAGUAUCAGCCCUAGAAUGAAACAGGCGAUUUUUCCGUAGGAGUGGAAACCUACCUGCGGUGAGAUCGUGAGUAUUGACGAGUCUUAUGCAGCUCUUGCGUUCUCUCCCUUCCAGGGCCAGAGUGGAAACCUACUGGUCAGGGUUGCGAGAAACAGUUGGUUAUGAUCACGACAGUGACGUAGUCAUACCGCCGUACUCUAGCUCUAGAACCCAUAUAUUGUUAUCCGUCAAUCCCAAUCUAUCUACCCUAAUGUUAAAACCGAUUAUGAUCCCUUAGAGUUCCCAAAAGCUCAGCGUUUUUAGCCAUAGUUUACAAUUUCCAUCGAUUUUUACAUGCUUUCUUAGACCUGCAUUUUAAUUUCCUUAGUUCGUUAUUUACUUGCUUUAUUUACAUUUCAUGCGAUAUUUUACUUGCCUUAUCUUUGUUUAGUUCGAUAUUCUACUUGUUCUACUGCCUUUCAUUCGAUUUCUUUACUUGCUUUUUAGGAUAGAUUUAUUUACUUUCUUUUGCUUUAGUUUAAAUUCGAGAAAAACAACCAACCUUUAAAACCAAUUUAGUCUAGACAUAAAGUUAAAAACCGUAGAAGAAUACCAGGCACACAAAUCUCUGUGGAUUCGAUCCCUAAAUACUGCAACAGAUUAGCUGUGCACUUGCGGCUUUCUUUUGUUUUGUUAAGGGUAAAACUUGUUCCCUCACGUAGUUGACACACUCAGCACAACCGCAUCACCUUUGCGGGAUCAAUCUCCUCCAGAUGCCUUCCAUUGCUGGACAAUCACGCAAAAUGUGCAUAAUCGUUUCGUCGCCACUCUUACAUACCUGACAUAAACCCGAGUCACUAAGAUGUCUCCUUUGACGCUCAACAUUCGUCAUCAACACUUGGUGAACACCCAACCAAACAAAGCUCCGCACUCUCUCCGGUACAACCAAGUUCCAAAUCUGCUGAAACAGAGAGCUCAAAUUCGGUCUCGGUGUAUCAUCCGUAGUCAACUUCGAAUAAGACGACUUCACUGUGAAAAGCCCAUCAGAAUUUCCUCCCCAAGCCAUCAUAUCUUCCAAUGCAGCUACAUUAUCAAUCACCACCGAACCAAGCUGUAGAAGGACAUCCACGGAUACAUACGGCCUGAUAUUUUGAGUCAACCCGUCCCAUGCUGCCAUAAAUCACAAGCCCGCAGUUCUUCUGAACCAGCCGGUAAUGGCAUAAUAGUUACCUCCCGUAGGGGUUUCUUCAACAACCAUGCGUCCUCCCAAAGUCGAAUCUUCUUACCAUCGCCGAUAGCCCAGCUCAUUCCCGGGAUCACCACCUCUCGUAGCCCCACGUUCACACUUCUCCAUGUCGAAGACCAAUUACUUUAGGAACCCUCCAAGAUGGAUCAUGAACAUCCUUCACCUUGUAUUUGCAUCUUAUAACUCUUGCCCACAAGCUUUGACGAUCAUUUAAUAAUCUCCAUCCUAGCUUGGCAAUAAGAGAUUUAUUCAUGUCAGACGCCGCUCUGAUCCCUAAGCCCCCUUCACACUUCGGCCGACACACCUUCUUCCAACUCAAUAAAUGUUGAUUUCUUUUCCCAUUCUCGCUUCCCCAAAGAAAAUUCCUCGAAGCUUUCUCCAAACUUUCUAACAUCGAUUUCGGUAAUAGAAUCGUGCUCAUGGUAUGAACCGGAAUCGAUGAAAGAACCGAUUUAGUCAUCGUAAUUCUCCCCGCGAGACUCAAGCAUCUACCUUUCCAACCCGCCAACCUUGAAGAGACCCUCUCCAAAACAUCUCCAAACGUGGUUUUAUUGAUCCGUUUCUGCAAGAUAGGCAUCCCGAGAUAUUUCCCCAACUCCCGCGUCGACCUAAUACCACUCUCAUCACUUAUUGCUUUCCCUAAAUCACGGCUAACAUUGCUCGAGAAAAAGAUUUUUGACUUCUCCAAACUAAUCUUUUGAACCGAAGCAACACAAAACCUCUCCAACACUCGCCGGAUAACCCUUAUUUGCGCAACCGAGGCUUCAGCAAACAAGAUGAGAUCAUCCGCAAAGCAUACAUGAGAAAGCUUAGGACCCCCUCGAGACAAGGUGAUCGGUUUCCAACCACCCGAACCUAUCUCCUGAUCAAUCAAGUGACACAGCCUCUCAAGACACAAGACAAAGAGGUACGGUGAAAGCGGGUCACCCUGUCUUAAACCCCUCAUCGGUUUGAAUGACUCUGAUUUCUCCCCAUUCCAAAGUACGUUCAUAGACGGGCCCGUGACGCAUUUCAUGAUCCAGGAAAUCCACUUCUCAGGAAACCUCGCUGCAACUAAUGUAUCUACUAAGAAAUCCCAACGGAUUCGAUCAUAUGCUUUCUCGAGAUCCAGCUUAAGCAACAUCCAUCCUUUACGCCCUUUCUUCCUCCGCAUCGAGUGAACCGCUUCCUGAACAAUAAUAAUGUUAUCAGAGCUUAACCGACCCGGUAUAAAGCUGGAUUGAGCAGGUCCUAUAAGCUGCGGCAUCACCACUUUCAUUCUCGUCACCAACACUUUAGUUAUGAUUUUAAAGAGCACAUUACACAAGCUGAUCGGCCGAAAUUGUGUAAUAGUUUCUGGUUUUCCCACUUUCGGAAUCAAAACAAGCAGCGCAUCAUUUAAUCCUUCCUGCAAAAUUCCCUUCUCAAAAAUUCCAACACAAACCUCUCCACCGAGCUACCAACAACAUCCCAACACUCUUGAUAGAACCCCUGUUGAAAUCCAUCCGGUCCAGGAGCCUUAAACUUCCCCAUACUCCUUAAUGCCUCCUGAACUUCCAAACAAGUAAAUGGCCUAUUCAAACCAUGAGAAUCAUGCCGAGCCAACACCGCAAAACCCGCGGAUGGUAACAACUCCACCACCGGUUCAACAUCAACCAUAGAGUAAAGCCUUUUGUAAUACUCCACCGCCAUAUUCUCUAGCUCUUCCGGAUUUGAAAUCCACCUCCCAUCAUUACCUUUCAACAUCUCAAUUCGAUUUCGCCCCCUCCGAAUAAUCGUUGUAGUGUGAAAGAACUUCGUGUUGCGAUCUCCAAGGGCUAUCCCUUUCUCUCUUGAUUUUUGAAACCAAAGGAUUUUCUCUUGUUCUAAAACCAAAUCGAGCUCCUUAAUUAACUCACUCUCCCUUUCCAGCAACUCUGUGGUUUGAAUAAUAUCAAUCUGGUCUUGAACUUGCUUCACUUCCGCAAGUAAAUCAUCCUUACGUUUAUGCACGUUUCCAAACACAUCCCGGUUCCAUCUUUUAAGCUUGUCUCGCAACCUUUUCAAAGCUUGUGGCGUUGAUAUAUCAGGAUUCCAAGAAUUUCACAGCAACUCCUUAAAACUCUUAUGUGUUAUCCAAGCCGCUUCAAAGCGGAAGGGCCUCCUCUUCUUCUAACUAACGCAUAUAAUCUCUCCCUUCUCACUCCUCUCUUAUAGAUAGAGCAAAACCGGUACAACUUGAGCCAACUAAACCAUAACCAAUGAACCAUUGGUUUUCGGCUGAAUCUUUGUAUCAAUGAACAUAACCAAACCGGUUCUGUUGAAUAAACUAAUGUUGCUUAUCAGUUAUCACAACACUUUGAUUAUCAAUAAAACAUUAAACAUAUCCAGUUUUCGUUGAUUCAAAUAAUAACCAAACGCGGAAUUUUUCUUGAAGAUCUUUGAUUAUAUCAAGAGAGAAAGAAGAACUCAAAGUUGUAAAUUCAUUCAAUAUCAAAAUCAAAUUAAAUGCUCCUCCUCUUCACGACUUUAAUUAACAAAAACAAAGAUCUUUACUAUAUUCAAUAUCAAAGUUGUAAAUAUUUUAUUUAACACAAAAGUUACAAUGGACAUAGUCUUGAUAUGUUGAUAAUCAAAGACUCAAUAGAGAAAGAAGAAGUCAAAGUUGUAAAUUCAUUCAUUAAAAUACAAAUAUAAUUAAAAUAAUAAUUACUGCUUCUGCUAAUAAAACAGCAGUCGCCGUGGUGCAGGCGCGCCACAUUAAAGGAAGGUGAAGAUCCGAUUCACUAGAUGAGCUGAAGCAGCUCGCCGGGAAGUCCACUUGGCGCAGGCGACGUUUAUCAUCAUCGAAUUGACGCCCAGUAACAUACAGCAUGGUUGCCCAAAAAAGUGGGAGUGCAAUAAUGAUGAAGACCUUGAAGAAACGUCCAGAUCCGCCAGGUGAUUUCGGGAAUAUUUUGGUGUAUGAUGAUAAAAGAGCAACACAUAAAGCCAACGUUGCGCUAUUGAUGAACUUCCACAUGGGGAGUCCAAUUAUGAGGAGUGUGAUCACAUAUAUAGAAAAAAAGAAGGCCAACCCGUUGAUGCCUAGAAAAAUGAAGGCAGGGUAGAAAGACAUAGUCAUCUCCCCAGCCUUGUGUAUAUUUGGAUAGGUAGCGUUGCGUUCGGAAUUCUCCUGCCAAAGUCCGCCUGGAGGACUGAGACCAGCCUGGUAUGUAGCUGUUGCUAUCAGUACAGCCACCACAAGUAUUGCAUCGUGGCGUUUGCUAGUCUUUAGAGAUCCUUCACUAGUCAUGCUCGCAUUGCUCAGCCCCAAGAGAAUUUCAUGUUCCUCAAUAAACGAUAGAUCUUGGCUCAAAUAUCCCGCAAGAGUCUUUGUGGGAUAUUUUGGAGUUUUUGAAGUUUGGAGUAUGUCCAUGGCGGUUUUGCCAUCCAAGUUCUUGGCUUCUACUUUAACGGUUUUACGCAGCAACUUUAUGACCUGCAAAAAUCAAGCACACCUCACGCAUAGUUAUUAGGAUAAAGAAUCCAACAUUGAUAACUGAUCAGAAUAUGAGACAUAAUUAAAGAAAUAUAUACUAGGGUCAAGGAAUAUCCUCCUACUUAUGAACACAGAAACCCAUAUAAUUUCACAAAAUAAAUCGAAGAAAGCAUAGAGAGGAUAUCUCUCUAUUUUAAUGUACAACCAGCUAUGUCUGAACAAGGAUUUUGAGGAAAAGCAGAAACUAAAUGAUAAGAGAGACAUUUACCUCAGUUUGAUUCAUUGAUGCAGCAAUAUGGAAGACUGUGUUACCAUCUUCAUCCUUCCAGUCCAAGACUUUCUUCCUGUCUUCUCUCUUGACCCAUCCAUACAGAACCUUAAAUGCCAAAAGCUGCUGAUUCUUCACGGCAAUGUGCACAGCUGUCUCACACUUAGUCGUCAAAUCUUCUAUGGAAGAAGGACAAGCGAACAAGAACUCACUCAACAACUCUGCAUCGCCUGUUUGAGCCACAUGAUGCAAAGGAGUAAUCCUUCCUUCCCCCUUGAUCCUGAUUAAGCUGCUGUCAAUUGCCACAAACCCUCUCACCAUUCGAGUGUGCUUGUUUUGCAGGGCUAAAUGCAACGGGCUGAAACCUGACACGUUCAGCUUCGAAGCAAAUGAUGGCUUAAGGGUCACUAACUCCAUGGCAAAAUGAGUUUGCCCUCUUUCAGCUGCAAUGUGUAGUGGCGUCUCACAAAAGGGCGCUUUAUCAAAGUGAGCUAGAAUGUCUGGAUCUUCUGCUAUCAACUGGUAGAGUCUUUUUACAUCUCCAUCUUGAGCCGCCUUCUUCAAUUUCUCAUAGAUAUUUUCACCAUGAGCGCUCGUACUUGAUCUUCCACUCCGAUUUGCAUCUUUAGCUACCAAUUCUGCUGCUCCAUUAAUAUCAACAACAAACGACAUAACUUCACUCUUCACCACUUAGGCUUUUGCUGCCUCAGUUUUCUUUUUGUUUUCUUUUUUUCUUUCUUAAUUUUUGCCUUCUGCAACACAUGCUUAAAUAGAAACACGCGAAGUCUCCAAUCGAGUAUGUUACGUAAGAUAUGUGACGUAAGAUAUGUUACGUGAGAAAGAGCUUGAUUAUUCUAAUCUCAGACCACUCAUUGUCCUCAUGAGAUGUUUGUGAUAAGAAUGUAGUGACUGGUGAAAAUUUUAAGCAAAGACUUUGAUUAUUCUAAGUCUCCGAUCCACAUGCAUAUGUCCUCACUCAUAAGCUCAGCUUUUGUCGUGAAGUUUACCCCCACGGGUUUUUGUGGGAUUGGUUUGGUCCCCAAUUCCUAUCAUGUGGGCUAUUCUAAUCUCAGAACACUUAUUUUCCAAUUGAAAAGACUUUGAUUGGUCGUAGUUUACGUCAAAUAAAGUCCGUAGGGCCAUCUAUUUCUGGCAAUAUUAGACCAACUACGUAGAUAUGGAUUAAUGGCAUUUCAAAAUGAGCGAUGGAGGUUUCGCAAGUUAGAUUUUUAGAUAGGUUCCACACAUCAGAUUUAUACAAACCCAUCAAGUCUAUAAUAACCAGGAAAUCAAAUACUACAAAAGAAAUUAACAAGGCCAAAAACUGAAUACCUAUGAAUUUCAUUUUCUAACAGAGCGAUGGAGGUAUGGAUAUGAACAUAUAAAUUAUGAACAGUCAAAAUAUUGUGCCCAUACAAAACACAAAAGAAAUGAUAUCAUUACAUCUACCAUUGCUGAUAUGAACACAUUUUUUUUUCAUCAGGGAAUGCAAAAGUAAAAGACUAACAGUAACUAGAGUUUACCUCAAUAGAGAGUGUCUAUGUCCAUUGUAAUUUCUUAUUCUUAUAAGAUUUUGGGUCAUCUUUCUCUCUUCACUCGUCUUAGUACCAACGGGUCCAUGAAAAAUGUAGUUUCACUGGGACAUUUCGUCGAACACUAUACUUGCAUAGGUCAAAAACUUGUGACUUUAGACAAAAGUAACACAACAUAGAUUCCAGUCUGAUUGCAAAUGUCUCCCUUUAUAAUUCCACAUAGCCAUCAUAAGAAUUUCAAGUUUCAAUCCGUGCAUUCGCCAUUGACUCGAGAGGAACCUGAUCUCCUGAGUCCACUUGUUGCGUUUAUUACCACGAAUCAAUUCCCAAAAACGCCCCAAAAACAUGCUUCUAACACUUGAAUUUCACACCCUCUAUGGACGUCACGAGUUUGCGAUCGAAGAAACAGAGAAUGUAACGGAGAUUAACGCAGAGAUAGAGACAAUAAUGCAAGAGGAAGAAGAAGAAGUUUGACAGAGGAUAUUUAACGUCUUGAAUCAGAGAAUAGAAUCCUUAAGAGAAUGAUUAAAAAACAAUGAAUCACUCCCUCUCUGUCUCUCUCUUGGAUUUUACCCUCUCUUCUUCCACUACCUUAACUAAUAGGCACGUGCAAUGGGAGAGACCUUCAUGAGUCUUUUAACCAUUUUUAUAUUAUUAAGAUAGGUUUAGAGAUCUAAUCAAGAAACUUGCAUUUUAAGGGAGUCCAAUGGGAGAAAUUUAAUUGGUUUUUUUAAAUAAACUUAUAAUAAUAAUUUAACGAAGGAUUUAUAAUAAAAACUUUUAUUAAUACAGAUUUAAUACAAAAACAUAUAAUACAAAAUUUUAUAAAAAACUUAUAAUAAUAAUUUCAUUAAUACAGACUUAAUACAAAAACAUUAUAACAAAUAAAACAUAAAUUAUUACAUAAAUUUUCAGUUUUUAUUUUAUUAAACUGUAUAUAAUACAUGAAAAAAAUAAGGGAAAAAUUCUUUUAUUUCACCAUUUGUAAAAAUACAAAGAGUAUAAAAGUUUAAUGUAAUAAUGUUUUUGAAACCAGAAAAAAGGCAAUCAAGCCUGAGGAGAAGACAAAUGUUUUCAGAACAUAGCUCUCCAUGAAUACCACUUGAAUUUAUACUGAAACCAAAGUGGAGAAACACCAAAAACUCCUCUCUGAAUCCUCAGAUCAAACACAUCGAAAUGUACUUUACUUAACGAAUAAAGAAGAACUUGUACCGGCACAGAAUGAAGCAGGACCGGUUUAGCUUCUGCAGGAACUUUUCCCGCAAGUUCACGGGCUUUCAAGAGAUGUACAUUGGCAACAGAUGCAAUCUCAAACACUACAUUGCAGAAUCCUUCUCUUGAGUUCACAUCCAGAAGGAUCUCUGAUCGUCCUCCUUGUUUCACAAGCAACCCGUGCUUCUCAGCGAGAUUCGCAGGGAUGUAACUUUGUUACUCUGUUCACGGUUUCUUGUACAGUGGUAAGAUAACAAUUUCAGUAGCGAGACAAGACCACUGGCUUUACCGAUGUGGGAAGCUGCAUGAUCCACUGCUGUUGAACUGAUUCCGCCUGCUUGGAGUGUAUUGUACAGAAGCGUGGAAACCGUAUCCUCUGCAUAUCUCUCAAGCUCCUCGAUACUCUCGGGUAUAUCCUCAACUUCUCUUUGAGCAUCACGGAUGCUUCUUGAUGUAGAGCUUGUCGAUUGCUUCUUGCCACCAAAGUAAACGCAUCGAGCCGAUUUCGGGAUCAGGUGCAACAUCCAUGGCUCUUGCGGUUUCUACGUUGAAAGCUCGGAGAGCAAAUGCGGCUUUACGCAUCUCGGGUGGGAGCUCAAGUAGACAGAGGUAGUGAUGAUAGCCGUAGUUUCGUACUUGUUGUACACAGUAGGAUAAUGCUGAACGCAAACUCUUCGAGCCUCCUCCAUUCAUCAGAUUUUCUCAAUCUCUGCUUCGUUCUAUUCUCGUGCAACCAUAUAAACCACAAAAACAAAGCUUCAAUCCAUCCAUACUCGUCGAUUCCACCACGUAGAUGAUGAGAAGAAAUCGCCGCCUCCGUCUGAAACACUCGGCGAUGAAGGAUCCCGAUGGCAUCGAUGAGUAGCGGUUCGACGGAGAGAACGAAGUAAGGAGAGCGAAAAACAUUUCGAGUAAAAAAAAAAAGAAUGAGGACCCAAAACAUAAUUUUUUUCCCCUUGUUUUUUAGCCCAAUGAAUUUUUGACACGUGCAACUUAAAAGACGUUUCUCCCGACUCUAAAUUUAGAAACGUCUCUGGCCAUUUUUUAUGUUUUUCAUUUAAUUAAUUAACCUAAAAAUGGGAGAGACGCUGGUUAAGAGCAUCCGCAAUGCAGAGAUUCAUUUUAAUCUCUUAUUUAAAAUUUUUAAUAUUUAAAGUAGGGAAGAAAUUUAUUAAAGAGAUCCACUAAUUUUGCAUGGUCCAAUGGAAAAAAUUGUAUAGGAUUUCUUCAAAAAAAAAUUUGUCUUCUUUAAUUUUAUCCCAAUUUAGCCUAAUCAAUUGAGAUGUUACACAUGGCAGGGAGAAGAAGGAAAAAACGUUUCUUCCUGUUCUCAAAUAAGAGACGUUUUUAAGCUUGAGUCUCCUCUUUUGAUUAUUUUUAAUAUAAAUAAUUGAAAGAAACGGUCUUAAAUAUCGCGUUGCGAAUGCUCUAAAUACUUUGUUGCCCUUACUCUAACAAACUACCGGUACAACUUGAGACAACUAAACCAGAACCAAUUAACUUCGGCUGACUCUUUGUACCAAUACCAAACCGGUUCAGCUGAAUAACUAAUGUUUGCUUGCUUCUCACACUUCGAUUGUCAACAUAAGUCGGACUAAUACUACUAUACUAGAGGAUCGUUGAUCCCAUACUAUAUUAUUAUUUGUGAGGUUAAAAAUCUAAUGUAUCGUCUCCACAUUGAUUGUCUUUCGUGUAAAUAUCUAUAACAUUGUUUUUUUCUUAAUUAUGGGUCAUUGAUUUUUACUUUCAGAUUCAUGAUAAUUUUUGUCUUGUAUCAUAUUAUUUAUGUUAACGGUUAAUUAAUUUUUAAUGAUUAUACCUUACUUUUUUCAAUCAAAGGGAAUACAAUUUUCUAUUUUAUUUAGUUUCACUCUCAUUAUAUAUAUUUUCUAUGGAAUACAGAGAAAGCAAGAUAGUUAAAAUUUUAGCUACUUUAAUCAAUACAAAUUUUCAGUUUAAUUUACAAAUGAAAAAGCAAACUAAUAAUCACAAAUCUUACUCUCGUAACUAAGAAAAAAUUAGUUUUUGAACCCAAAACAAAACUAAUUAUGGAAUGAACACUAAAACAACUUAAUAAUAAAAAAAACCGACAAAAUAAAUAUGCUUUUUUGUUUACCUGAAAAAUCUAGAAAUCGUAAUUUAUCCGGUAACAUAUAUUAAAUGCAUUCACGAUCUUAUGUAAUUUCAAUUAAGUAAUUUCAGCUUUUAUAUAACUUUGAGUCCCGUAUGUGUUAAAAAUCAAAGCUAGAAGAUUCCACACGAGGUCUUUUGCGGCAAGUGGUUGCAGUCACUCCUCCUUGUGAUGAAGCUUACUGAUUGUAAUCAGAUGCUGUUUGAUCAGCUAAUUGUUAUCAUUGUGGUUCAAAUUGGGUUUUUAAAACCUGGUCAAAUUUCAUGUUAUUCCAAAGAAUAUUCCUCGAAUACCUCAGUCUCCUCCGCCUUAAUGGUGAAACUUCUUUCUCUAUUUUCAGUGCUUUAUUUUUCAAAAGUGUUGAGUAUCAAUUACUUCACAUGUUUCUCGGAUUGUUUGGAACUUAUCCUUCUUCUCAAAUACGGUGGCCAACCUUUGGAGAAUUAAGGUCUCUUUUUCGACAUUAAAGCGGCUUGUAGUGACUUGUCUAUAUCUCCUUUCAUCAUAAUCCUUUUUAGGUAAUAGUUUAUUGGAUAGUUAAGCCAAGUUGGCUCUUUUACGUUGUAAUAACUCAUUCCUUAGUGAAAACUAACUCUAUUCUUUUAUUUUUUUAUUUUAGUUGAAAUGGUUGCACACACACACACACUAAUUUUUUUUAUAGUUAUAUGACAAAAAAUUUAGAUGAUAAUGUAGGAGUCUCUAAAUAUACGUGUAUAUGUAAAAAAACAAAUAACUAUUAUAUUUGUUCUUAAUUAUUUAUAUAAUUUUCUUACUUUAAUAUUAUUUAGUUUUUUUUAUUAAUAUAAAUUUUAUACAUAAUUUUCUCUCAAAUAUUUUUUUAAGAAAAUAAUCAAAUUUGGAAACUUUUUUAUUUUUCAAUAUUGUGGUGGACCAAUGAAAAUUUGAUACAUAAUUUUCUUAUUGUUUUCUAUUUUUUAUUAACAAUAAUAUUAAUUUUUGGAAACUUUCUUAAUUUUCGAUGUUGAUGUGGACCAAUAAAAUUGCCUUUUUUUAAUCCUAUGUGGACACCUUUAGAGGAAAAAAUCUGAUGUGUCGUUUCCACAGCGAUUGUCCUACGUAUCAUUAUAAAAAAAAAUUAUGUCGUAUUUUAAUUAGUUCUGAUAGGUCGAUAAUUAAUCUUACGUGUAAAUUCCUUUGACAUGAUUUUUUUCUCGAUUAUGCGCUAUCGAUUUUGUUUAUGGGCCACCGAUCUCGAAGUCGGCCCUAGCCAAUGGGUCACCGAUAUCAAAGUUGGUACUAACCUAAACUCUAGCGUAUCCAUCAUGCUAUAUAUAUACUCGUCUCAGUUUUCAUGUUUUCUUAUAUACAAUAUCCGUCUUCUAAGAUCUAGUAUCUUUUUAAAAAAUUCAUACAUGUUUUUUUUUAAACAUCAAUAUAUACUAUUAUUUAUGCAUUCGCCGAUUGAAUAUUUCAUCUCUCGCCUUACAAUAAUAUCACCAGGUAAAUAAAAAUUUCUGUUUUUUUAAUUUUAAUUUGUGCUUUAAAUUUUUUUUCUGCUUCUAGAUGUUCUUCUUAUGUAAUCUAUUGCCUAAUAGUUAUUUCCUUCAAAAAAAUUAUGAAUUUUCUGUAGCGACUAGCAAUCGUCCCCGCCGUGAUCCUCAGAUUUUGCCAUAUCAUCUGCCUCCAUCUCAAAUAAUUUUUACAGAAGAUGAACAUUUUUCUGCUGAUGUUUACAACGAUAAAUUUACAGGUUGGUUGAAGUGUAAUUAUGAAUAUCAUUAAGCCAUAUUGUAUAUGUAUUCUGAAUUUCCAACCCUUUGGGUUUGGGAUAAUAAAAACGUCAAUGGCAUUCCCCUCUUUGUGGCAACUCCAAACUGAGUAUUAUAGCCAAAGAGGAAUAAGAAGUAGAGAAUAAAGAAGGCUAAUAAAGAUUGAAAAAGAAGAAGAACUGAGAGAAUAAAAAGAUGAUGAAGAAGAAGAAGUCAAAGACAAUGAUGAAGAUGAAAGAUAAGGGUGAGAAAUAAGAAAAUCAAAAGAUAUAUAAGAGGAAGAAGAAAAAAAAGUACAAGUCAAAAGACGAUGAAGAAGAAGAAGAAGAAGGAAAAUAUGAGGAAAAAGAAGAUGAAAACAAAAAAAGUACAAGUCAAAGAUGAUGAAGAAGAAGAAGAAAAAUAUGAGGAAAAAUAAGAUGAAGAAUUUGGACAGAAAAAAAAAGACAAACCUUAAAAUUGGAGACUGAGAAGAGACAAUAAAACAAAAAUAAAAAAAUUAGAAAAAUACAAAGAAGAAUUAAACCAAAAGAUAAAGAACAGGAAAAAGAGUAGAAAAAAAGAGGAAGAAGAAGAAGAAGACAAAUCUGAAGAGAGAAAUGAAAUAGAAGUUGUAGUACGAUGAAGAAGAGGAAAGAAAAGAUAAGGAAAAAAAAUUGACGUCGAUGAUAAAGAAUAAUUAAAUGAUGAAGAAAAAGACAAAAAAAAAUCAUAAUAAGAAAAAUUAGAUGCUUCAGGGAAAUGUAGAUGGAGAGAUAGAGAGAGUGUGAGGGAGAGAAAUACAAAGAGAGAGAAAGAGAGAGAGAGAGAGAGAGAGAGAGAGAGAAAUGGUAGGGAGAGUUAAACCUUAUAAGUACAUAAUAAAUCUAUGUUAGUUCGUAUUCUGUGUUCCUAUUUUUUUAUAUUUGAAACACUUUUACUUUAAAUGUGAUUAUCUAAAUCGUAUGAUAUACAAUUUAGGACGAGGAGGGAAGGGAGAGAAUGAGAGAAUGAUAGGGAAGGACGCAUGGAGGGGGGGAGAGAGAGAGAGUUAAAGUUUUCAAGAACAUGUAUUUGAUUGAUAUAAAAGGCGAAGAAAAAUAAGAAGAAUAAGAAGUCGGAGAGAACGAAGAAGACAAAGGUUAUGAAAAAGAAGUAGAAAUAGAAUAGGAAGAAAAUGAAGAAAAAAUGUGGAAAACAGCGAAGAAGAAGAAGAUGUGACAAAAAAAAACUUAAAGAAUAAGAAGUAAGAAAAGAAAUAUAAAAUGAAGAAGAAGAGGAAAAAUAAAUAAAAAGAAAAUGAAAGAAAACUAAGAAGAAGACGUGAGAGAAGAAUGAUAGAUAAAGAUGGAAAUAUAUGAAGAAAUAUAAGGAAAGACGAUAAAGAAGAAAAAUUAAAAGAUAAAUAAGAGAAAAAAUAAGAAGAUGAAAAACAAUUAUGUAGAGAAGAAAAACUAAUUUUUGUCUUAGUUCAAUUGAUUUGCGAGUUCAAUACAUUUAUUUAGUAAAUAUUUUUGUUUUUAAUUUUUGAUAAUGUUUACUUUUUGGGUUUGCUUUAUUUCAUCAUGUAUGUCUUAAAUAGUUGUUUUAAUUCUUUUCAGCUUUUGGUUUAUAACAUUGAAAUCUCUAUGCUCGCACAAGGUGCAGGCUAAACGCCUAGUAAAUACUGAUAAUCAAGAGAGAAGGAAGAACCAAAUUCUUUUUUUAAAACAGUUUUAUUAGAUGUAAAAAAAAAACUAGUUUUAACGGAUGAGUAUGCAACAUGUGUUGAAGAAUUUAUGAAGUUUGCGACAAACAAUAUCGAGAGAUUGGAAAAUAGUAAACUCUAUUAUCCUUGUAAUAAAUGUUAGAAUAAUAGAUUAAGUUCUAUUAUAGGACUAUGGAAUCACUUAUAUAGGAAUGAGUUUAUGCCGGAUUACAAGAUUUUGUAUAUGCACGGAGAAAAUGAUUCAAUGGUACACUAUUAUAGCAGCUUCAGGUAGAAUAGAGAAAUCAACACCAGAAGUUUAGAUGGUGAAAUGAUGCAAAAGUAGGUAGUACUGUUCAUAUGGUGAAUGAUGCGUUUUGGGAAAACAUAGCAUUGUAUGUUCAGGAUGGUUAUAGAAUAGAAGAACCUGAUUUAGAAGCCAGAAAUUUUUUUGAUAUGCUAGAUGCGGCUAACCAACCUUUAUAUGGAGGAUGUAGAGAGGGUAUAUCGCAUUUAUCAAUUGUAAGCAGGUUGAUGACUAUAAAGACGGAUUUUAACUUGGUCAAGGAUUGUGUGGAUGUGAUAGCUGAUUUUGUGAAAGAUAUUUUACCUGAAGAUAAUAUUUUACCGGCUUCAUAUUACAAGAUUCAGAAACUUGUAGGCGGGUUUGGAUUACCAUAUGAAAUGAUAAAUGUUUGCUUUGACAAUUGUUUGAUAUUCUGGAGGACGGACGAAAAUCGCUUGAAAUGCAAGUUUUGUAACAAACCUCGGUAUCAGGAAACAAAUGGUAGAGUACCCUGUUCCACAUAAAAAGAUGUGGUAUUUUCCAUUAACGGAGAGGUUGAAAAGGUUAUAUCAAUCCAAGCGAGCAGCAGCAGCAAUGAGAUGACAUGCACAACACAACCCAGAUGGAGAGAUUGAGCAUCCUUCAAUGUAGAAGCGUGAAAAUAUUUUCAAGAUAUCUAUCCUACUUUUGCGUAUGAGCCAAGGAAGUUCUACUUUGGGUUAUCUACAAAUGGAUUCAACCCUUUUGGUAAGCAUGGGAGACAACGUUUUUUUGGAUAGAAAUUGUCACACCUUAUAAUUUCCACCUAGUUUGUGCAUGAAACGAGAGUUUUUACUCCUCACGAUUCUCGUCCCUAGACCAGAGCAUCCAAGAGAUCUCUUGAUAUUUUCUCUUUUGCAGCCAUUAAUUUAUGAGUUGAAGUUGUUAUGGAAAUAUGGCAUUGAAGCGUUCGAUAUUUCUCUACAACAUAAUUUUGUAAUGCGAGCGGUUCUUAUGUGGAUGAUAAGUGAUUUUCCAGCAUACGAUAUGCUAUUUGGAUGGUCCACUCACGGAAGUUUAGCAUAUCCCUACUGUCAAGAUAACACUGAUGCAUUCCAAUUAUGACACGGACGAAAGAAUUCUUGGUUCGAUUAUCAUUGGUGAUUUCUAUCAUCAGAUCAUCGUUAUCGAUGGAGCACGACAUUGUUUAGGAAGAACAAAAAAAAUGGAUGCUCCACCUCUAGAGGCUACAGGUUUAAAUAUUUUCAGACAGUUGAGAGAUUUUGGUGCUGACAAGACAGUUUCAUAUAGUGGUAAUGGUCAUGUUCCUGUUCAAUGGUGUGGAGAGUACCACAAUUCGUACAACAAAAGUAUUUUCUUUGAUUUGCCAUAUUGGAAGGAUCAUCUACUUUGGCAUAAUCAUGAUGUAAUGCACAUUGAGAAAAGCUUUUUCGAUAACAACAUGAACACUAUACAUAAUGUGAAAGGCAAGACGAAAGAUAAUCUGAAGGCAAGAUUAGACUUACUGGGUAUUUGUUCCCGUAAAGAUCUACACGUAAUGGCAAACGGCAAAUCAUUGCCCCCCAACUUUCCGAUUAGAUGUGUUUUCAAAAGAAGAGUCUUUGACUGGAUUAAGUAAAGUGUCAAAUUCUCCGAUGGAUAUGCGUCUAACCUACAUAAUUUCGUUAAUACUGCAGAAGGAAAGUUUUGUGAGAUGAAGAGUCGUGAUUGCCACGUUUUUACGCAACGCCUCCUUCCAAUUUCCUUUGCCAGUCUUCUACUAAAAACAUUCAUGGAGCUAUCGCAGAUAAAUUUAAUAACUAGUAUAAUUUUUAACUAUAAUUAAAUGAUUAUAUAUACAUAUAAUAAUUAUCUUACGUACUUUUGUAUCCAUUAUGCAGGUAUCAAUGUGUUUUUCUAAGAUCUGUUUACGAGAUAUUUUACAGUAGGCGGUAUUCGGAAUCUAAAGAAAAAGAUACCUGUUAUCGUUUGCAAUCUUGAGAAAUAUUUCCACCAGCCUUUUUUGAUGUUAUGGAACAUCUUCUUAUCCAUCUCCCUGGGGAAGCAGCAUUUGAAGGGCCAGUUUAGUAUCAGUGGAUGUACCUUUUUGAAUGAUAUAUGUUCCACCUAGAGAAAAAGGUGAAAAAUCUUGCAAGAGUUGAAGGUUUUAUUGUCGCACAGAACAUUAAUGAAGAGACAUCAAACUUUUCUGGCUAUUACUUUUCAUCUUCAUUCAAAACUAAAAUUAACUAAAAGUAGACGAACAGUACGAUGAUGAUGGAGGAGUUCCACCAACUUAUCCAGUUUUUGUCCUAAAAAUAUUUACACAAAUUGGAAAGAUUAGUGGAAAAGGGGAGCCUUGACGACUAACCGAAGAGGAACAACGAGACCGCUAUACAUAUAUUUUAUCAACCUGAACUGAAACUUUGGAAUAUGAAAGGUAUACAGUCUUAAUAUUCUAUAUUUGAUUAAAAGGAAUUUUCAUAACGUAAUUUUUUAAAUAAUGCAUAUAUAUAUAUAUGGUAAAUAAUAAGAUGUAUAUAGCUACGCGAAUAGUUUCCAAGUUAUUCAAAGGAUGAGAUUAUGAUCCAUAAAUGGAAAGACUUUGCGGGAUGGUUAAAAUGACACGUAAGUACGACAAACAAGCUUAAAUAAGUUCAAUUACAUGAGUUUAUUUUUCUUUUAUAACAAACAUAUAUAGUCGAGCAGAACGAAGAGCUCAAGAGAAAAGCAGCGGGUUUGGAGCUGAAGCUAGACGCAACGCAAGAAGAGUUUACUAUGACCAAAUCAGAAGUCGCAACUAUGGCGAGUUGGAUGAAGGCAAGGUUCCCUGAUUUACCGGUAAUGGGAACCGGAAGUUCAGGAAUGGGAAAUUUGGAAAACGAAAAUUAGUUUUUUUUUAUUUUUGUAAUUUGGAUAAUUAUUAUUUGUAAAAAUAUUUUAAUUUUGUUUAUUUUUUUUUUUUUUUGAAAAAAGUCAUAUUCUGAAAUACUUACAUUUUCGGAGCCCGCGAUUUCCGGAGGAGGCGAUAUUCUGUGCGAUUGGGGUUUCUAGCUUCGAACUCAAGCGAACUCUCCGGUCAUGGCGGCGCCGGGGCAGGAGGCCCUCCCGCCACCGGAAAACGGAGGAAACGGUGGGGAGGAGACGACUAUGGUGGUGACUCAGCAAGCUGUGGAGAAGAACAACCCUUCACAGGCGGUGAUCGAUCGGGGUUCAUCUCUGUUUACAUGGAACGAGGAGAAAACGGAUGGUGUGCAAGAGAUACAGGAUUUGGGAGUUGCGAAAAUUGACAAACAGGUCGGGGGUACGAAGUGGACUGAGGUAGUAAAGAAGAAAGAACAAUUGCAACAAUUCAGCAUGGAAGCUGAUGAGAUCGAAGGGGUUAAAGUCUUUCGAGUUCCGGAAGCAAUCCUAAACGAAGCUCCAAUGUGGGAUGACUGUGUGUUGGGGAAAUUUCUCAAGAAAGCUCCUCAUGUCGGAUCGAUACAUAUGACAGUGAACCGAAUCUGGACUGUGGGAAACACCGAGGCGAAAAUCGACGUGUUUGUGGUCAAUGAGACGACAGUAAAAUUUCGAAUUGCUGACAGGAAGAUGAGGGAGAGGGUGCUUCGACGGAAGAUGUGGAAUAUAAAGGACGUCCCCAUGCUGGUUUCAAAAUGGAGUCCUAAAGAGGAGGAGGUUCAACCGAUUCUGCAAUCAGUCCCCUUGUGGGUUGUUAUGAAAAAUGUGCCCAGGAAGCUGUAUAACUGGAAGGGAUUGAGCUUCCUAGCAAGCCCUAUUGGGGUUCCUAAACAACUUCAUCCUGACACACUUUGGGUAAAAGAUUUUGAAGUGGCCAAGAUCUCAGUGGAGGUUGACUUGACGAAGACGUUACCAAAGUUUCACUGUUUUGAGAUUCAGGGGAAAACAGUUGAAAUUCAGUAUGAAUUCCCCUGGUUACCCCCCUAUUGUACGAAUUGUGAUGGAUGGGGGCAUGUCGCAGCUGACUGCAGAAGAGAGCAGAACCCUGUACGUAUUCUGAAGAGGGGGAGCGACUUUACAACUCCAGCUAAAUCACACGCGUCUGUUGGUGAAGGACCGAUGAUGAAGAAACCUACACAUUCGAACACAGUGAAAGCCACUCUACCAGUGGAGACAGCGAUGUCAAACUUAUUGUCCUCAAUGACAAAGGAAAAUGGGAAGGGAAUAAGUGGACCAGGCGACAAAGUACAAGCAGUUGAUACAACCGCCACUACGCUCGACUUGGGAAAGCAAGUGACCCAGCCUGAGAACACAAGUGAAGGAACGGAGUGGAUCUCGCCAACGAAAGUAUUUCGUCGAACUCAACUCGACGAAUGCCAGCGGGAGAUUCUUUCUACAGCAUCACGUUUCUCUGAUCUAAUGGACGUUGGAGAAGAGGGGGAGAUAAGGGAGGGGUGUGAUGGGCUUGAGGAAGAGAUGGAAGCUGGGGAGAAGCAAGGACUUGAUGUGGAUACAGCUGGGAAAAGCGAACUAGAUACAAAUGCGAUGCAGGGGAAUGCGGGUAAAACUGAAGGGCCAACAAAUAGUGUCAUGAACCCUGAGGGGAGCCGAGCAAAAUUGAAGAGAGCGGCCAAAACAGCGCACCGAUACGGUGCAGAAACUUUGAGGAACCGACCUGCGACUACCAAUCGUGGAUCAGUGGCUGAGAAGCAAGCGAAUAACAAAAAAACCCUUUCUCAAUGACAGGUUUUUUUUGGAAUAUACGAGGUUUUAAUAAAAAAUGCAAGCAUUCAGUUGUCAAGGACUGGGUGCGUGGUAAUUCUUUUCAGUUUGGUGGUAUUUUGGAAACGAGAGUGAAGGAAACUCGAAGUGCACAUAUAGCUUCAUUGGUAUUUCCGGGCUGGUCUAUGGUCUCAAACUAUGAGUACAAUAGAUUAGGCAGAAUCUGGGUGGUAUGGAAUAAGGAUGUGCAAUUAACAGUGGUUCAAAAGAGUGCUCAGAUGAUCACUUGUUUGAUAUCGACAUCAGAGCAAGAUGGGGAGUUUGUCUGUUCUUUUAUUUAUGCGGCGAAUUUCAGCGCAGAACGCAGGGCACUGUGGGAAGAGAUGAAGCAGCUGCAUGAUUCUGGAAUAUAUAAGGGCAAACGUUGGAUGCUGUGUGGUGACUAUAACGAGAUUCUUUCAAGUGAUGACCACUCGAACACUGGCUCAAGGGUCAUUACGCAGGGAUCUCAGGAUUUUCAGGAAGCAAUUCAACAUUGUUCUCUUGUGGAUAUGGGCUCUCAUGGACCGUGGUUCACAUGGAGCAACAAAAGAAGCGAAGGACUAGUGCACAAGAAGCUAGACAGAGUCCUAAUAAAUGAGGAAUGGCUCACUCAACAGCCACGUUCUUACUGUGCUUACGAAGCUGGAGGAUGCUAGGAUCACUUGCGGGGGCGCAUUCAUAUGGAUAUCAACUCGCACCAUCUUAAACGGCCUUUUAAAUUUAUCAAUUCGAUGGCUAAAAUGCCAGAGUUUAUGCCAGCUGUCACAGAGUAUUGGAGAACGACGGCAGACCUCUUUGUUUCGACGUCGGCGAUGCACCGCCUAUCUAAGAAACUCAAGGAUCUCAAGCCUACGUUGAGGAGACUAGCGAAGAGCAGAUUUGGGGAUCUAUCAAAACGUACGAAGGAAGCGUAUGAAGAUCUGUGCAUGAAACAAGAGGCAGUGAUCCUGAAUCCCACGCAAUCAGGGCAAGAAGCUGAAACUCGCGCUUUCAUGAGAUGGGAACAACUUUCUGAGUUGGAAGAAGGUUUUCUAAAGCAGAAAUCGAAGCUCCAUUGGCUGAAUGUCGGCGAUAAAUGCAAUAAAGUGUUCUUUAGAGCUGCCUGUAUGCGAGAAUCGCGAAAUACUAUUCGGGAGAUUGUGGAUAGUCAGGGUACGGUGCUGAAAGAUAUAUCUGAGAUAAAAAUGGAGGCAGAAAGACACUUCCAGGAUUUUCUUUCUCAUGUUCCGUCGGAUUAUCAAGGAACAGAGAUCUCUUUUCUGGAGGAUUUAUUGGGGCACAGAUGCACUGCAGCGGAGAAUGAGCUACUGAUCUGCGAGGUCUCUGCAGAGGAAGUGCAAAAGGUUGUCUUUGCCAUGCCAAGCGACAAGUCUCCUGGUCCGGAUGGGUAUACGACGGAGUUUUUUAAAGAAGCUUGGACUGUUAUUGGACGAGAUGUGAUAGCUGCUGUUCAAUCGUUCUUUAAGUUGGGUUUCCUUCCUAAAGGAGUAAACUCGACGAUUCUUGCUCUGAUCCCAAAGAAGAACAACGCAAAAACAAUGAAAGAUUACCGACCCAUUUCGUGUUGCAACGUACUGUACAAGAUCAUCUCAAAGAUUCUUGCCAAUCGUCUCAAAUGUGUUCUGCCAAGCGUUAUAUUACCUAACCAGUCUGCUUUCGUCCAUGAUCGUCUCCUUGUGGAGAAUGUCCUGCUUGCUUCGGAGCUGGUCCAUGACUAUCAUAGGGAACAAGGCCCCCCGCGAUGUGCUAUGAUGAUCGACAUAGCAAAAGCUUUUGAUACAGUCCAAUGGAACUUUCUGCUCACCGUUCUUGCGGCUUUGGGAAUGCCUCAACAGUUUAUUGCUUGGAUUAGCACAUGUAUCUCCACUGCCUCUUUCUCUGUUCAAGUAAAUGGAGAAUUAGUGGGAUACUUCCAGAGUAGGCGGGGCCUAAGACAAGGAUGUGCUCUUUCGCCUUACCUCUUUGUCUUGUGCAUGAAUGUUCUCUCCUGUAUGUUGGACAGAGCUGCUUUGGCGAAGCGUUUUGGAUACCACCGAGAUUGUGCAAAACUAAAUCUAACCCAUUUAUGUUUUGCCGAUGAUCUAAUGGUUUUCUGCGAUGGUAAACUGAGGUCAAUAGCAGCGAUCAAGGGUGUGUUUGAUGAGUUCGCCGUUAUCUCGGGACUACAGAUCAGUAUGGAGAAAUCCACCAUUUUCAUGGCUGGGAUCAAAGCUUAUGAUCGGGAUUUGAUAAUGCAGGACUUUACUUUUGCAGCUGGUGAGCUGCCUGUGCGGUACUUGGGUCUCCCUUUGAUGACAAAGAGAAUGACAACUGAUGAUUACGCCCCCUUAAUAGCAGGGAUCAGGCAACGUAUUGGGAGUUGGACGGCUCGCCAUCUUUCAUAUGCAGGUCGAUUGCAGCUAUUAGUUUCGGUGAUUGCGGGGUUUACAAAUUUUUGGAGUGCUGCUUUUCAACUCCCCAGUAGCUGUAUCAAGGAAGUGGAAUCCAUUUGUAAUGCGUUCCUUUGGUCUGGGCCUAUUCUUAGCACAAAAAAGACAAAAGUGUCUUGGAUGGAUGUCUGCAAACCGAAAAUAGAGGGAGGAUUGGGUAUUCGCUCGUUAAAAGAAGCCAAUUUAGUCUGUAAGCUCAAGCUUCUUUGGAGACUCUUAUCGAACAAAACCUCUCUUUGGGUGAGGUGGGUCCGAAUAUACCUACUUCGGGGUAAAUCCAUAUGGACUGUAAGUGAGACGCAGAUGCGGGGUUCUUGGAUUUGGCGACGAUUACUGAAGACAAGGGCUGUGGCUAGAGGUCUGCAUCGCAUUAAGGUGAAUAAUGGGGAAGAAACCUCUUUUUGGUAUGAUGAUUGGUGCCCAAUGGGUCGCUUAAUAGACCUAACUGAGCCAAGUCGAUUUAUAACUCUGGGGGUCGGUAUGCACGCAUCACUCGCCUCUGUUUGGAGAUCUCAUCGCCGAAAGCGACAUCGCCUUAAUGUCUACAAUCUCAUUGAGCAUGAGAUCUUUUCUGCAGCAGCAAAGCGAAAUCACCAUGAAGAUCAAUCGCUCUGGACCACUAAGACUGGUGUUUUUGUAUCCAAAUUCUCAUCGCGACACACUUGGCAUGUUACAAGACAGUCCAAUCCUCGCAAAUCGUGGAGCUCAGCCGUCUGGUUCAAGAACGCGACGCCAAAGUAUGGGUUUAUAACAUGGCUGACAAUGUUAAACCGUUUAACUACUGGAGACAGGAUGCAACAAUGGGGUGGUGGUAUAUCGACAGCUUGCAGUUUCUAUCAGGAUCCUUUGGAAACAAGAACACAUCUGUUCUACGAGUGCAGCUACUCUCAACAGAUCUGGUACGAAUUGGCUGGUCGACUAUUCGGGAAUGCGUAUUCAAAUGAGUUGGAAACUAUCACCACUCUCCUCUCAUCUAAUAGUUUUGACAGAACAAAGCUAUUUAUCCUGCGAUAUGUGUUCCAAGCAUCUGUAUCUCGGAUCUGGAGAGAACGAAAUGCGAGACGUCAUGGUGAUGUCCCAAACCCACCUCAGCGGCUUAUCUCUGAUCUGGACAAGAUGGUACGCAAUCGUCUCAGCUCGUUAUGCAGGGCAGGGGACUACAGCUACGCUGAUGGUCUCGAAAUCUGGUUCGGAACCAGAAGCUAAGUCGGACGAAAAAUCAUCUCUGCUCAAUCUUAUUAUAAAAACAGUUCGUGCUCUGUUUUUGUUUCUUUUCAUUUUCAAAUAACGAUUAUGUAAAGAAAUCUGUUUUUUUGGAAUAUAAUUUAACAUAAUUUCAAAAAAAAAAAAAAUUUGGUUUUUGAAUUAAAUAUAAAUUUCUAGUUUUCUAAUUUUUUUUUAAUUUUAAUAUAAAUACGGUCAGAAAUCGGUCGAAAAUGUAAAAAACAAAUUGAUCAGAAAUCCGUCUGGAUUUCAAACUUUAGAAAUUUCUUAUUUUAUUUUAAUAUCGGGGCUUUGAGAAAUUGGUCGGAAAAUUGUCAAACCAUUAUCCAUUGGAAAUCCGUUUGGAUAUACACGGCUUUCAUCGGUGUCAGAUAUUCGUUGAGAAUUGUCUGUCAACAUUUUCAUCGGUGUUCCGUCAGAAAAACAUGUGCUCCCGAUGAAAUGAGAAUGAUCGGGAGUUCCUUGGUAUACUUAUCCAGAGAAUCUGUCCGAAAUCUGUCGGAAAUCUGUCGGAAAGUAUCCAUCCUCAGGAAUCUGUCGAAAAUUUCCAAUGAAUUUCCGACGGAUUUUUUUCCCGACCAGAUGAUUCAAAUAACAUGUUUUCGCCGGAAAUCUGGAAGGCGUAUCCCGACGGAUAUGGUUGUGUGGAAUCGACUCUUUUAUUGUAGUGUAAGAUACUAGUAGAUAUCAAAGAAGAGGUUUAAAGACUUAAAUAGAGUUCUUCAAACCAAAGUAAUACAUAAAACAUAAACUGCAAAUACCAACGUAAAACAAAGGCCAAUAAAUUUUAUAAAAGAUAGUGAGGAAACGAUGCAUCACAUGAGCUGAAGCAUGUGUAGAACGCACCUUCAUCGGUAUCAAGCCCGAUGGAGUUCAACGAGGACUGGUAAUUAAAAAAAAAAAGCCUUCCUUUUCUGCUUAGUCAUGAUUGGUCUUCAUGUGCAUGUGUAACUUCUUAUUCAUAUGUUCAUAGCUUGUCUAUAAGAAAUCGUUUUCCUCAGAUUCGAACGCAACGGCUUCAAGCUUGUUGGUAUCGAAGGAAUCCUUCCAAAGAUUUUGCAAUGGCGGCUCAUGAAUUUAUUGGACCCUGUACAAUAAUAUAAUUUUGUAGAUAUAAUAUGCAAAAUAUAUAUAUAUUUUUUUUAAAGCCCUAAAGUCUUUACUAAAUUUGUAAGAAAAAAUCAACACCUAGUGCAAAUGCACCUUCAGCUUCAGAACAUGCCAAGAGCCGGCACAAUCCGAGGAGAUCUUGCAGCUGUUGUUGGGAGGUAAUGUUCUGUUUUUUUGCUUUUAAUAUUCGAUAUUAGGACAUUAUGAAGAUUUGGUUUUGGUUAUCGAAAUGUGAAAAAUGCAGGAACAUAAUCCAUGGAAAUGAUGGACCAGAGACAGCAAAAGAUGAAAUCAAUAUGUGGUUUAAGCCUCAAGAACUUGUUACUUACACCAAUAACGCUGAGAAGUGGAUCUAUGGCAACAACUAAAUGUCCUUAUCUUUCUUUUAUUACGGAUGAUACAAACACUUCCUAGAUGAUUGGAUUAUGAAAUUCUUGUUUGUUUUGUCGUCUUGUUGGACCUUAAAUAUACAAAGGUUGAGAAAUAAUGGAUUCUUGCCGUACGUUUCUUUUUCCAAUCCAUUACCAAAAGUUGCAGAUUCUAAAUAUUUAGCUUGAGUUUUGAGAAGCCAUUCAAAAACAAAAUGGCUAUGUACAUGGAUUAGUAUUUUUUUUACAACAUUUUACAUGAACCCCAUUCCUACAAAGACUCGUUCAUAGCUACUAACACUUUUUAACAAAACAACGGAAAUUAUAGAAAACCUCCAUAAAUAAUAGACACAAAAUUCCAUGGAAAUUUUGGAAGCAGACCUGAUCAGGUGAUGAUGGCACAUUGUAAAUGUAAAUGUUCUUCUUUUUUUUGGUCAAAUAGAUUUUUAUAUUUAUCACUUACUCUCCAACAAAGGAGAAAAAGUUCAAAGCAAAUAACAAAGCCAAACCGGAUAAAAUAACCGCUCCUACCAUAGCCAGACGGGAAACAUACAUAACAAGGAUAUAUGAGAGCAACCAUAACACUUAAACAACUAGAGGCGGAGAGGAGUUGUCAAGUCUCGCACCAAUAGUGCUAAGAGGUGAAAUAAGGCCAUGGGAAUUAUAGAACACAAUCAGUGAUCCUAUACCUGGGAUUGAAAUCGCAACAUGUGCAAAUUUAAAAAUUAGAAAUUCAGCUAUAAACGCAAAGAUGACAAUGCACCAGAUUGCUGAGCCCUUGGAUAGAACAAGCUUCGAAGCGUUUGCAACCUUCGAUAUCAACCUCCCUACAACAAUGUAAGACCGCAAAAAUCCGACUGAAAUUACGAAUGAAAAAUAGCAAUAUUAUAAACGAUAAGUUAAGGUAAAAGAUUAAAACGAGAGUUUUAAAAACUGAUUGAAAACAGACGAAAAACACGGAGUCGAGAUAUGAUCUCUUUCCUUAACUCAAUAAAUCGCCCGUAAUGUGUGAUGGUUUGCUGCGAUUUUUGAAUCCCAGAAUAUAACCGUGAAGAGACUAUUAUGCAACACCCAUAAUAAAAUCUGCGAACUGAAAUAAUACUACGUUAUACCUCUCGAGACACUUACGAUGUUAAGACGAGAGGGAUUUGCUGGAAAGAAUCAUUUGCUGUGUGUUUGGUAUAUUCAAGAAUUCGAUGAUUUAAAAUGAGAGAAGAGAGCGACUAUUUAUACUGGAAGGUUCAGCUUGAUCUGCAAGGAAUAAGCUUUGGCGAAAAGGAAUAUUCGCGAGAUAUUCUCCUUUUCCCACAAGUAAAAGGAUUCAGAAAUCUUCCGUUAUUAUCUGAACAUAAUUUUUUAUUUCCUACGACUUAUCCUUUCAUUAUGCAAAAAUUAUUUCGUAGAAACUGAGAAGCCGACUACCCACGCCCAGCUAUAUAGAGCCCAAGAGCCCUAAGAGCCAACUAAAAAUGCAAUGAGCAAUGAGCAAUGAGCAAUGAGCACAAGCCCAGCACCAGCACCAGCACCCGCGACGGCGACGGCGGCACGCGUAGGUGUUUUUACAUAAUGCCAUUUUACUCUACAAAGCUGUUUGACCCUUAUUAUGAGAAUGUCAUAUAUAUGCAAGAGAUUUCUCUCCUUGGUGAGCAAUGUGGGACAAUUACACUUCCACUUUUAGUUAUAGCCAAUAGGAACAAUUCAUUUCCAUAGGCUCAAACCCAAAUCUCAAAUGAAUUUAUAAGGCCCAAAAGCUUAUUAAACUUUAUUUCUUAUUCACACACAAACUCAAUAAUACAAGUCCAAAUGCUUAUUAAUAUUGGAUUCCAACAAUCCCCCACAUGAAUAGAAAUGACUCUAUACAUAUGCAGACUCGAUAGACUAUACAGACUAGACUCAAACUAGACUACAGACUCGACAGCGGAAUUUUCGAGAGUAUAAGCGAAAACUAAAUGUGUCUGAGGAAGUAGCGUUUUUCAGCCUUGAACCACUCAUUGUUAAUAUAUGUCGGAUUUACUCUCCAAGAAGUGAACAUGAUGUCUUGAACCACCCGGAUUUUUGUGUAAACCAGGUCAACAGAUAUAACCCAGCUUCGUCUUCUCGUAGCGUUCAGUUCUCUAUUGUGUUCAUUGUGGCCUUGAACGUGCCUAGUUAUCAUGAGUGAACUUGGAGAGUAUAGCCUUCUCUUCAUCCUCCUAGAAACGGCCUCAUUUCACACUCACUAUAUGAUUGCCAAAUGUACCUGUCAUAUACAUAGAAAGUAUCCUGUUAUACUCUAUAUACAUGUAUAUGAAGGCUACGGUCUUAUCUCAUUAAAAUCCAUAAAGCUUAACCUUACAUAAUUACAGAAAGCACUGUUUAUCAUCAUAGAAAUUGAGCAUUUUAUAGUGUUUUUCUCAGAUUCUGCUUGAUUUAGUUGUCCCUUUGAACCAACCUCUUGGGAUCUCCAAUCACGUAGGAGGGGUUUCCAUCAAACAUCCUCUUUCGUGAUAGGCAAUAAACCCAUUCCCUUAGAUGAUUUAAUGAUUUGAUCUCGCGGCAAGCUUUUGGUGAACCACUACAAGAAUACACGAAUUUAGUGACAGCAGAAAACGUCGGAAAGUAGUCGUAAAUCGGCAAUUUACGUCUGAUUAGCAACUGAAAGAUGUAGUCGCUAAUCCUUAGUCGCUAAUUAACGCAGUCGUGAAAUAGUUGUAAUUUUGCGACUAAAUUACGACUAAAUUGUGUGUGAUAUAAAUUGACGUAAACCAGCCGUAAUUUCGUCGGUAUUUUUAGUGACUAUUUUACGACUAAUUUUGCGACUCUCUUACGACUAAAAUGCAUUCGUACUCUUAAUAUCAUAUAAGUAGCUAUUUAGUCGUUAAAUAUUUAGUCGUUAUUUAGUCGUUAAUUAAACGACCAUUUUACGACUGUUUUGUGACAUAUUUACCUACUUAUUUGCGACUGUUUCGCUAUUGUUGUCAAUAAAUGAACAGUACUUUGUUGCACUUUUACGACUGAAUUGUGACUGAUCUGUGACCUUUUUCCGACAAAUUUAAAACUGCUUUGUGACUAUUUUGAGCAUCGUUUUUGCAAUUUGGUAUUUGCUAUUUAGAAACCCCCAAUUUUGAAAACCUGUUUAUAAACAGUGCUAUAAAAGGCAAAUUUGAAUACUAAAACCAUGAUCAAUAUUUAAAAAGCCAAAAACCAAUACAUUCAUCAUCAUACUACAUUCAUUUAAACCCAAAAAAUCUCAAAUGGUUUCUAUAUACAACCAUUAUAGAGAAGUACAAAAUGAGAAGAGACAUACUCUUCUAAGAUUUCUGAGACAUUAAAAAGAGUCCUAAGGUUCCGAGACAUUAAAAAAAAAGUGAGAAGAGACCUACUCAUCUAAGGUGGUACUUGAUGUUUGAGUUACAUGUGUUGUCGGAGCAGCAGGCGGAUCAGCAGGUGUUGGAGUGGUAGACUUCGCAGCAGGAAUGGUUGAUGGAGGAGUUUGACUAGCCAAAAAAUCAUUGAACCAUGGAUCAGUUUGAGUCAAGUACCUUUCAACCAUGGUGAGCUUCUCGAGCUUGGCUUCUUGCGCAGCUGAAGCUUUGGCAAACCCUGCUUCACGCCUUGCAUUCUCAGCCGCUUGGAGCUCUAUUUGGUGUUGAGCUUGUUGAAGCUGUUCCUGCAGAGUGGCGUAGGAUGCAGAGCUUCCUGGGUACUUCCUCUUGCCAUUGACGUACAAGUGAGAGAGGCUACCAACUCCAUAAGGUACACCUCUUUCACUCAUAAUAGUCGACUGUGAAUACAAAAAAAAAGAGUCAGACAUAUGAUUCAUUAAACUAAAACCAUGUUAGAAUCAAAGGACAAGCAAGAAAAAUAAAUAAGAAUAGAGAACCUUACCUAUAAAAAAAAGUCGUUCUGCUCUUCCACAGUUAGCUCUCAACGAGGUGAUGUACCCUCAGGAUUGUCUGAGCUUUCAGGGUUUAGGGCAGACAACUUGGCUUCCAAGUUUUCCUGGUAAGUCUCAGCCACUCUGCGUUUCCAUCCACAUAACUCCCAUCCUUUUUUGUGUGAGUCCUGAUGAAUACCUCACCAAGACUCACCGGUCUACCUAAUUCCUCUUCCUGAAAUUAUAAACCAAAUUAUGUCAGCGGGUAAGUUAUUAAUAAUAUUCCUAAAACUAACACUUAUUGAAUAAUAACAGAAUAGAAAGUUACCAUUUCUUGCUGGAUUUGCAGAUAGGAUUUUUGACCUGAGAAGACAACCGAGCAGCUGAAGUGGUUGAACUCUUAUCUUUGGAUUUUUCUGCGUCCCAAUGGGCAGUCAUUUGUUCCCAGAGUGUAUCCCCGAUCCAGUUAGGUUGCACUCUUGAUGUCCUUACGGUGCUGACCAUAUCCUUCAUCCAGCUUUUGCAAAUGCUCUCAAAUUUUUCUUGAACCACACCAGUGAUCAAGGGAUCCCAGGUGUGGGUUUUCUACAACAACAAGAGACAAAGAGAUGAAGUUAGAAUAAGACAUAGUUACAAAAACAAUAACAAAACCAUGUAAAUGAAAAAGGAGGAGAUCUUACCGCGAAUUCAAUGAAGUAACGCUCUUGUCUAUCACAAGGCACACGACUCCAACUGUAGAAAGGGCCAUCAAACUUGUUGGUGAAGACCUUGGUAAUCUUCCGGGUAAGAUAGGACUUGUCACGACCAAACCUGGAUACAAAGAAAACAAAGCAAGCAGUCAUCGAGCCAUCAUUUGAAGAAUGAAACAAAUGAAGCUAGAGUUUAGAAGACUUACCACGUUGUACCCGGUUUCUCUAUGGGAGACAGUACCAUAGUAUAAGCCUCUCUCCCAGGCUUCGUGAGCAAGGCAUUUAGAGCUUCAGAGAGAUUAACAUCACUGUAUUCUUCAUCUGAAGGUUCUUGAAAUGCAGCUUCUUCACCGUCAUAAUGAGCUUGUUGAGAGUGUGGAGAAUUACCGCCUUCUUGAGAUAAUGGAGAGGCUCGGUUUUGAGAGAAAGAAGAAGCUCCAAAAGCUCCUUGAUGCUGCGAUUGAGGUGAUGCAGAAUGCUGCCGAUGAGAUUGCAUAAGGGAGUCACGGCUGCUCCUCCUCGUGCUCCUCUGCGUUUCUUCCUUCCACGGCAACCCAUCGGAAUCCAGGAGAGGCUUAGGAUCGAUGCUCGUCGAGAGUUUCGGGAUGGGUUUUUUGAAGAAGGAAACUGAUCGAUUCAGGCUUUAUCGGGAGGAUUAAGGGAAUAUCGGUCGAUUUAGGAGGGGUUAGUAUCGAUUAUCGGUUGAUUUGGGUCGAAAUUGGGGAAGAUCGAUUGAUAGUUUAGGGUUUGGGGAAGAUCAGAACGAAAUUGGGGAAUUUCUGGGAAAUUAGGGUUCAGGUUAUGAGAAUCGAUUUGGAGAUUUUUCGGGAUUAAGGUGUAAUCGGCUAAGUAUUAGUGGGCUUCGUCUAAAUAAUGGGCCUGAUAAUGGGAUUAGAGGUGGGCUUAUUUUGCGGGUUAAAUUUUGGGCCAUUAGUAGUAUUAAAGUUGGAAAUCAGACGUAAAAUUUUUAAUUUUUGUAAAAAAAACCAACACAGUUUAUCCUACAAUACAACAAUUUCAUUCUGCAAUUUUAUUCAUAAACAGACACAUAAUAGUAAGGAUCCUCUUCAUCUUCAUCAUCAUCAUCAGAUGAUGAUGAUAAAUUACACCUAAAUUCAUCUUCUGGUUCUGCAUCUCUGACAUCGUAAUCGAGAUUUAUUGGGUUUACCCUGUGUACUCGAUUUUCAACAAUGAUAUCUUCAUUUGUGGUUAGCAUAACACCAUCAUCAUUAUCUUGUUGCAAGAGAGUUGAUUCUUUGUCUUCAUAUUGUCCUGAAAUAUUCCCACUUGGAUUCACUUUUACAACGUUUAGCCACAGCUGCUUUUGUUUUUUCCGGUAUGGAUAUGGAAUAUAACAAACUUGAUCUGCUUGCGAGGCUGUAGAAUACAAAUAUAAUUUCAAAAAUAAAUUCAUUACAUUUAUUGAUUUAUAUAUUUUUAUAUCAUUUAAUUUUACCUAGAAUAAAUGGUUCAUAUUUGUUGUACUUUCUUGAUGAAAGAACGUCAACGAGACCACCAUUGCUCCUUCGAGUGCCUCUACCAAUAACAGGGUCAUACCACUCACAUUUGAAAAGUGUGAUUUUCAGAUUUGUCAUCCCCUCAUACUCGAGUUGUAUGAUAUCAGUUAAGAUCCCGUAAAAAUCAGCUUCAUCAGAUGCAUCAGUGUAGUUUUCUCCUUUAACACACACUCCAAAGUUACAUGUCUUCCGUCCCAUGCCAUGGUACCGUGUAUGAAACAAAUAUCCUCUCGUAAAGUAAAUCGGCCAGGUUUUGGCUUUAUUGACUGGUCUGUGAACUAUAUCCUGAACCCAAAAAGGAAAAAGGAUUUGUAGUGUUCCACUAAGUAACCUGCACAUGUAAAUAUGGAUUGAUUAUUAAUCCGUUGAUGGAAAACGUCCAUGGUUAGUAAAACUAUAGAAAACAUACGUAAUCUUUCACCCAUGAAGGAUAUUCAUCAGCUCUUUUUGCAGAAUUUCUUUAUCAGAGAGUUGUGGAUAUUUUGUGCAAAUGUAAUCUUCGAACAUCCUGUACACCACAAACAUAUAUUAUACAAGAAAUGAUACUAGAUUAUAUAUCUGACAAUGAUGAAAUUCGAUAUACCUCUCAAAUGGUUGAAAGUAAUCGCAAUUUCGCAAAUCAUAUGCAUGUGCAAUUUUGUGAUCUUUUUCUGAAAGCCAUAUUUCAUGCAAUUGCCCACUUGGCCGACCUACGUGAGUAAAUAUAUCAGGAACUCUGGGGACAUCAUAUACAGGGAAUUCACCUUCGUCAAAUCUUGUUAACCUGUCCCAUUACAUCAUAAUAAAUAUAAAUUACCAUGUGGCCAAUAUUGACUUAUAAAUAUGAAUUCACCCAUUUGGAGUUUACCUCGAUUUUGUUUGUAUAUGAUCGGAAAAGUAGUGCUCCGUAAAAUAAGCAAUCUCGUCGUUGAUAUAUGAUUCAACAAUCGAUCCUAAUGCAUAUCUUUUGUUUUUCGCUUUUGCUUUCAGUUUUUUGAAAAAUCUUUCAAAAGGAUACAUCCACCUAUACUGCACAGGACCUCCUAAUUCAGCUUCAUAAGGAAGAUGUAUAGGCAAGUGCUCCAUUACGUCGAAAAAUGAUGGUGGAAAAAACUUCUCCAAAUUGCAUAAGAUUAGGACUAUGUUUUGUUUUAGGAUUUGGACCCUGUUUUUUUGCAAAGUUCUUGAACAUAAGUCACGAAAGAAUCCUCCAACACCUCUAUAUAUAUAUAUAUAUAUAUAUAUAUAUUAAAGUUCAAUUAUAAAUAAAUUACUAUAAUCAGAAAUUUUACAUGUACUAUUAAAUAGACUAUAAAGUACCUGAUAAUGCAAGGUGGACGUUACGGUCCAAGAGUUCUGCAAAGAUAAAUGGAAGUAGCCGUUCCAUAAAAACAUGACAGUCAUGACUCUUCAUGCCGGCAAGCUUUCCUUUUCAAUAUCAACACAAGCAGCUAAGUCUGACGCAUAACCGUCUGGAAAUUGUACUGCUUUCACACAUUCUUUUAUCAGCUUCUUCCAAUGUGUAUACCGGAAAAGGAGCUUGCCCAUUUUCAUCAAGAUGUAAGUGUGCCCGAUCACAGAAUCAUUCUAUAUCCAAUCUUGACUUUAUAGUGUCUUUCGAUUUACCUGUCACACUCAUUAGAGUAUUCAUGAUGUUAUCAAAGAAAUUCUUCUCUAUAUGCAUCACAUCAAGAUUAUGUCGGAGAUUGAGGUCCUUCCAGUAAGGUAACUCCCAAAAUAUACUUUCUUUGUGCCAGUUAUGCCACUUCCCAUAUCCAGGCAUCUUUUUUCAUGACCGUUUCCACCACAGUCAGACGUUUUUGCAGGAUUGACAGUUUCUAUGCGCUCACUAUAACCUUGGUCACUUGUCAAAGACUCUGGUGGUGACUCAUUAGCUUGUCUACCCUUCAAAAAGUUUUUUCUGUUCUUUUGUAAUGGAUGACCAUGAGGGAGAAACCUUCUAUGACAAUCAAACCAACACGUCUUUCUUCCAUUAGGCAGAUAUAAUGCCUUUGUAUCGUCCAAACAAAUUGGACAAGCCAAUCUACCAUGGGUCGUCCAUCCUGACAACAUGCCAUACGCGGGAAAGUCGCUUAUCGUCCACAUCAGCACAGCCUUUAAUUUGAAAUUCUGCUGCAAAGAUACAUCGUAUACAUCGAUCCCAGUUCACCAUAACUCUUUUAAAUCCUCGAUAAGAGGCCAGAGGAAGAUAUCGAGACUAGCACGCGGAUGAUUUGGCCCAGAAUUCAGUAUUGUGAGGAACAAGUACUCAGUCUUCAUGCACAUACCAGGGGGUAAAUUAUAAGGAGUCAAGAUCACAGGCCAUAACGAAUGAUUACGAGACAUGCCAAAUGGAUAGAAUCCAUCUGUACAUAAUCCAAGAUACACGUUACGGGGUUCUUCAGCAAACCAAGGAUGUAAAUCUUGAAAAUAUUUCCACUCUGCCGAAUCAGAGGGAUGACACAUUUCACCCUCCUUUGCUUGGUGCUCAGCAUGCCAUCUCAUUGCCGCUGCAGUCUUCUGGCUCUGAUACAUCCUCUUCAAUCUAUCACCAAUAGGUAAAUACCACAUACGACUAUAUGGUAUUCUGGUUCGUGAACGUCGUCCUUCGUUAGGCUUAUAUCUUGGUGACUGGCAGAAUUUACACUCCUCCCACAUUUCAUCUUCUUUCCAGAAGAUCAUACAAUUGUUAAUACAAACAUCAAUUUUUGUGAAAUGGAAGCCCCAAAUUUCCCAUCAAUUUCUCUGUCUCGUAAUGUGACUUGGUUGACUGAUUUCCUUCUGGUAAAUACUCUGUAAACAAAGAUGCCCACGAAUCCACACACUUUUCACUCAUAUUAUAAUCUAGUUUAUUUUUCAUGAACCGAGCAGCUAAAGAUAACUGUGAGUGACCUUCAUGACAACCAUCAUAUAAUGGUUUUUUCUCAGCUUCUAACAAGUCGUAAAAUUGUUGAGGAUGGUUACGCACCGGUUCUUAUACAUUCUGAUAACUAUCUUCUUGAUGAUAAUUAUCAUGAAAUGCAUCAUUCACCAUAUCCACAUAUCUAUCUCCUACUACAUUACCCACAUCUUCUUCACUCCAAUUUAAAUGAGUUGUAUUACCAUAACUAGUUUCAUAAUCCAUAGUAAUUUCUUCUCCAUGCUUAUACCAAAUAAAGUAAUCUGGCAUGAACCCUUUACUAAAGAGAUGGUUCCAAAUUUUUUUUCCUGGCAAAAAUUUAUUAUUUUUGCAAACACUACAAGGACAGUAAAAUUUACCGCCAUUACUCUGCGUUAGCGUCUGGUUGUUCGCAAAAUUCAUAAAUUGUUCUACUCCGGAUACAAAUUCCGAAUGGAAAUUUCCCGUCUCUUCGUCGAUCCGUUUAUACAUCCACUCUCAAUUAUAAUUAUUAUUACUGAAAUUUCCAGACAUUAUAUCUAGAAACGCUCUCCAGAAUUUUGGAGCUUAUAGAUUAUGAUUGUGAGUGAAUGGAAAGAAGAUGUGUGGUCUGUAUAUAUAGAAAAUUUUACGACUAAAUUGCUACUGGUUUGCGUCUAAAUAGCGACUGCGGUUUUUUAGUCGUUAAAAAUCAGUACACCUACCACAAAAGUUAAAACACGUGUUUUUUAUUAAGCGACUCGACAAAUAAGUCGUAAAUUGGUCGGGACUUAACGACUAAAGUACGACUGUUUGUAUUUGCUAUUAUGUAGCGACUGUUUGACGACUAACUGUAAUCAGUCACUAUUUCGUCGGGGUGUAGUCGUGAAACAGUCAUAAAACUUAACGACUGUUUUAAUAGUCGUAAAAUGCAGUUGCCAGUUUCAUGCUUUUUUGUAGUGAACGGAUUCGCUAAAUUGUCCGCUGACUUGAUGUAAUUGACUGUGAGUACACCACUUUAGAUCAGAUGCGUAAUGGUCUUAUGUCGUCUUCGUAUGUGAUGAAACUUGCCAUUGUAUAGAUUAUUCAGUGCAAGGGAGAUAGCUGACUGGCUAUCACAGUGUACACGUAAUGCUGAGACUGGUUUUUCCCACAUCGGGAUAUCUUCCAGAAUGUUCUGAAGCCACUCUGCUUCUUCUGCUGCUUUGUCUAAAGUUAUGAACUCAGACUCCAUGGUUGAUUGGGCCAGGAGUGUCUGUUUAGAAGAUUUCCAGGAUACUGCUGCUCCAGCGAGUGUAAAGACAAAUCCACUUGUGAAUUUGAAAUUUCUAGAAUCUAAAAUCCAAUUGGCAUCACUGUACCCUUCUAACACUGCUGGUUCUUUACCAAAGUGCAGCCCAUAACUCUUAGUGUAUCGCAAAUAGUUCAACACUCUAGUUAUUGCUUUCCAAUGAGUAUGACCAUUUGUAGUAGAUGCAUUUAUCACAUUCAUUAAUGCUGAAACCAUUUGAUAUCAUCACAUUGUCAAACUUUUCGUGCCAUUGUUUUGGAGCUUGUUUCAGUCCACACAAUGAUUUCACGAGUCUACACAUUUUGUGUUCUUGACCCUUAACUUCGAAACCUUCGGGUUGUUUCACGUAUAACUCUUCUUCUAAAUCUCCAUUUAGAAAGGUAGUUUUAACAUCCAUCUGAUGUAUUUCCAAACCUCGCAAGGCUGCUACACCAAUCAAUAUUCUGAUCGAAGUUAUUCUCGUAACUUGAGAAUAGGUGUCAAAGAAAUCUAGACCUUCUUUUUGUCUGAAUCCUUGCACCACAAGGCGUGCCUUGUACUUAUCUAUAGAACCAUCAGCUUUUAGCUUGGUCUUGAAGAUCCAUUUACACCCUAGUGCUUUGAGGUAAGUCAGUUAUCUCAUAGGUAUGAUUCUGCAUUAUAGAACUCAUCUCACUAUUGACAGAAUCCUUGCAAUAAGGAGCUUCUGGUGUAGACAUGACUUCUGUGUAAAAUCUCGGUUCAUUCUCAACAAGAAAGAGCAUCAUGAAAUCUUCACCAAAAGAUUUUUUCUUACUUGCUCUUUUGCUUUGUCUCGGUUCAUCUUCAACCUGUUUUACUUUCAUUUCAUUCAUAGAAGUAGUUGCAUUUCUCUCUUCACGAGUGCGUUUAGUAGUUUUUUUUUAUCCCUAUAUGGAAAUAUGUGUUCAAAGAAAGAAGCAUUCCUUGAUUCCAUGAUAGUAUUCACUUGGACAUUUACAUCUGACUUAUGUACCAGAAAUCGAUAAGCACUACUAUUGUGAGCAUUUCCGAUAAAGAUACAGUCCACAGUCUUAGGUCCAAUUGUGACCUUCUUAGGAGGUGGCACUGCGACUUUUGCUAAGCACCCCCAUACUUUCAGGUAUUUGUACGAAGGUACAUUACCUUUUCAAAGUUCAUACGGUGUUUUGCCAGUUACCUUAUGAGGUAUUUUGUUGAGGAUAUAAUUUGUGGUGAGCAGUGCUUCCACCCCACAGAUUUUGGGGUGUCCUAGAUUCCUGAAACAUUGCAUUCAUCAUCUCCUUUAGAGUUUUUGUUCUUUUAUUCCGCAACUCCAUUGGAUUCAGGUGAAUAGGGGACUGUAGUUUGAUGGAUAAUUCCGUUUAUCUAACAAAACUCAUUGAAAAGUCCAUCAUAUUCUCCACCCCUGUCACUUCUGACCAUUUUGAUGGUCUUUGCCAGUUGUUUUUCAACUUCGAGUUUGUACCCUUUGAAUUUGUCCAAGACUUCAUCUUUACUACGCAGCAAAUACACGUAGCAGUACCUUGUACAAUUAUCUAUGAAAAUCACAAAAUACUUUUUACCACCUCUUGAUGGUAGAUAUUUUAAAUCGCACAGAUCAGUGUGGAUUAAUCCAAGAGGUUCGGUUGUUCGUUCAACAUGAGGUGAUGGUGUUUUUGUGAGUUUUGCUUGGACACAAAUUUCACAUUUGUCUUUGCUAAUUUUGUAUUUUGGAAUCAUGUUCAAAUUCAUUUGUCUUUGAAUAGACUUGUAAUUAACAUGUCCUAAAUGUUUAUGCCAAAUAUUAGAAGACUCAACCACAUAAGCAACUGGAUUCUUAUUAAUUAAAUCUUCGGAAUCAGUUAUAACUUUGUUUUUCUUCAGGAUUGUCAUUAUAGACAUUUUGAUCAAUCCUGACUUAACAUAACCUUUUCCUAUGAAAAUACAAUUCUUCCUAAGUAUCAGCUGGUCAAACUCAAAGUUGAUUGCAAAUCCAUGCUUGCUCAUCAGAGUACCAGAGAUCAGGUUAUUCCUCAUGUCUUGAACAUGCUUCACGUUGUUGAGAGUAACCUCCAUGCCUGAAGUCAUUUUCAACACAACUUUUCCUGUACCUUCAAUCUUGGAUUGGGAGAUGUUUCUCAUAUUCAUUUGAUCAUCAGUCUUUCACUUCUGAUAGGUACUGAACAUCUCUCUGUCAAUACAGAUGUGUGUGGUAGCACCUGUGUCAUACCACCACGCCUUGGGGUUCUCUUCCACUAAGUUAGCCUCUGUAACCAUUGCACACAGGUCUGCUUCGGUCAAGUGAGAUUGGCUGUUCUCAGACUUAGCCUUUCGGCGACACUUUGAAGACUUAUGUCCAAGCUUGUUGCAGUAGUUGCACUUUCCAUUGAACCUGUUCUUUAUGGGUGCUUGACCUUGCUUCUUGAAGCUAGUGUUGUUUCGUGGAGGAAACUUGUUAGGCACAGCCUUGUUGGAUGGUUUGUCUACGCCCUUUUUUCUUGUAUUCAGCCACGUUAGCAUCAUGGGUCAUGAUCUGACCGUCUUCUUUUCCAACUCUGUCACGUUUUAGUAACUCAUUCUGGAAUCUGGAGAUCAAAUUUUCCAGAGACAGGGCCUUUUCCUUGUAAGCAAGAUAGUUCUGGAAGUCUGCCCAACUUGGAGGUAGCUUCUCAAUGAAGCAGUUCACUGUGAAUGUCUAACACAGCUUCAUUCUUUCAGUCCUAAUCUCUUGAAAGAUUAGUUCCAGCUCAUGCACUUGUGGCAUGAUGGGACGAGAAUCCACCAUCUCAAACUUGAGGAGUUUCGCUGUAGCGAAUUUUCCAGAGCCAACAUUGUACGACUUGUACUUCUUUUCCAAAGCAUCCCAAAGUUCUUUGGAAGUUUUGACAUCGCUGUACACAUCGAACAGCUGGUCCACCAGACGAUUUUUGAUGUGCCCUUUGCAUAAGAAGUCUGAAUGCUUCCACGCUUCAACGGUAGCCAGAAUCGUAGCAUCUUUGUUUCCUUCUGGCGCCUCUGGGGGAUUCUCUGUGAGGUACUUGUUCACCUGCAUUGACGACAGAAAGAAGUGCAUCCUUUCUUGCCACUGCUUGAAGUUCGAACCAUCAAACUUGUCGGGCUGAAAUCUCGCGGUUAUCGAUGCUGGCAUCCUGGCUUCACCCAAGUUUCUAUUUGUAGUCAUGUUGACAUCACCGUUAGUCAUAGUUGAAUCUGUUUACAGAAAAUAACCGAAGUUAGUAUCGAGAACCAAGAUUCAGAUCAACGAUUAAAACGUUUAAGUCGCUAUGAACAGCGUUUUUUCCAAAAAAGAUUCACUUUGAGUUUCCAUAGAUAUUACCAAUAGGUAUUCUUGGAACUCAAAAAUAGGUGUUCCCAAGAAUCGUCUUUUGAAGACGUUCUUAAACCCUACCACGUUUUGCGGUCCUGUCUAUGACUGCCGCAUAAACCGUUUUAGAAGAUUCGUCUUUAACAUAUCAAAAGUUCUACGAAAUAGCUAAGAAACUUUUGUAGAGACUUUGUAGAUCGAUUUUAAAAACUCAUUUUGCCAAAAUCGUUUAUAAAAACUGAUUCGCAAUAUUCAAUCUGAUUCAAGCGAUAAGCAGGAAGCGGAUUUAUUGAGUUAAGAUUGUAAGACCGCAAAAAUCCGAUUGAAAUUACGAAUGAAAAAUAGCAAUAUUAUAAACGAUACGUUAAGGUAAGAGAUUAAAACGAGAGUUUAAAAACUGAUUGAAAACAGACGAAAAACACAGAGUCGAGAUAUGAUCUCUUUCCUUAACUCAAAUCGCCCGUAAUGUGUGACGGUUUGUUGUGAUUUUUGAAUCCCAGGAUAUAACCGUGAAGAGACUAUUAUGCAACACCCAUAAUAGAAUCUGUGAACUGAAAUAAUACUACGUUAUAGCUCUCGAGACACUUACGAUAUUAAGCCGAGAGGGAUUUGCUUGAAAGAAUUAUUUGCUGUGUGUUUGGUGUAUUCAAAAAUUCGAUGAUUUAGAAUGAGAGAAGAGGGCGCCUAUUUAUACUGGAAGGUUCAGCUUGAUCUGCACGGAAUAAGCUUUGGCAAAAAGGAAUAUUUGCGAGAUAUUCUCCUUUUUCCACAAGUAAAAGGAUUUGGAAAUCUUUCGUUAUUAUCUGAACGCAAUCUUUUAUUUCCUAAGAUUUAUCCUUUCAUUAUGCAAAAAUUAUUUCGUAGGAACUGAGAAGUCCACGACCCACACCCAGCUUUAUAGAGCCCAAGAACCCUAAGAGCCAACUAAAAAUACAAUGAGCAAUGAGCAAUGAGCACAAGCACGGGCCUGGCACCAGCACCGGCAUCGGCGACGGCGGCGUGCGUAGGUGUUUUUGCACAAUGUCCUUUUACUCCACAAAGCUGUUUGACCCUUAUUAUGAGAAGGUCAUAUAUAUGCAAGAUAUUUCUCUCCUUGGUGAGCAAUGUGGGACAAUUACACUUCCACUUUUAUUCAUAGCCAAUAGGAACAAUUCAUUUUCAUAGGCUCAAACCCAAAUCUUAAAUGAAUUUAUAAGGCCUAUUUGCUUAUUAAACUUCAUUUCUUAUUCACACACAAACUCAAUAAUACAAAUCCAAAUGCAUAUUAAUAUUGGGUUCCAACAAACAAUACCACUCAAACCAAGUGGAAAUUUUGGGAGAAAAACAAACUCCAUAAAGGAGAAAUCAACCAGCAUCACCAGAGAAAUAGGUAUACUAAUGAAAGUCAUUCCAAUCUGCCACAAAGGAACUGAAACUAACAUAUUACCAAUAUCCAGAACUAGACCGGGAAAAGUACUGCAUACCGCCGGAAAGGGACUGCAUACUGCAGUAAAGGAUCGCACAAAGGCGAAAGAGGCUGGCAUAUGGAUACAAACCAAAGUAGUCCAUGAAGAUAUAGAGACUGAAGGAGCAAAAUACAGAUGCAUAACCUGAAAAAUCAGAAAAGAAAGAGAGCUUGAGGUGAUAUCCACUGAGCAAGUCACUCUUAACUCUAAAGCCUCGGCAGCAACCUGCAGAUCACACAGCAGGGAGACUGGCAUUUCUGAAAACUCUGGCGGAGGAGAUCCAGCGUUGGGAGCAGCUAUUGUGAUGGUCGGGUAGAGGAGAGCUUCACGUUUCAAAGGAAUGUGUUCUUAAUUCAAUGAAUAGCCAAACAAGGAAUCAUACUUAAAGAUCGUUGAUUCCAUAUAAUACAUUACUGAUAAUCAUGAGAGAAAGAAAGAACUCAAAGUUCUGAAUUACUUCAACAUAUCAACCAAAUUAAGACCUAAAACAUAUACUGCAAACCCCAACAUUAAACAAAGCCCGAUAAACAAUAGAAGAAAGUGACGGAGCGAUGCAUCACAUGAGCUGAAGCAGCUCGCCUGGAAGUCCACUCGGUGCCGGCGAUAUUUAUCAACAAUGAAUGCCAUGACAGUAACAACCAACAUAAUUACUAUAAUCGAUGGGAAUCCAAAGGUGAGGACGACCGUUGAUAUAUCUUCGAGUUGGCCAUUUGAAUUGGGGAGUAUAGUGCGGUAUGAUGCUAUCAUUGCGGUACUUAAAACGGCCGUUGAGCCAUAGAUGAACUUCCACAGAGGGAGUCCAAUUAUGAGGAUUAUGAUCACAUAUAAAGAUGAUAAAAAGGCAAACCCGUUGAGGACAUUAAAAAAUAAGGCAGAAUCGAAAUCCAUAGUCAUCUCCUGGAUUUGAAUUUUCCAGCCAAAUUCCGCCGGGAGGACUGAGACCAGCCUGGUAUGUAGCUGUUGCUAUCAGUACCGCCACCACAAGAAUUGCAUCGUAGCGGUUGCUAGUGUUUAGAGACAUGUCUCCGGUCAUGCUUAAAUUUCUCAGCCCCAAGCGAAUGUUACGUCUCUCUAUAAACGUUAGAUUUUUGCUCAUAUAUCCCGCAAGACUCGUUGUGGAAUGACCAAGUAGUCUUUCUUUAGCACUGUGGAGAAGUCUUCUUGCUUUGAGGAAUCCAGGAGAUUGGUGACUUUGAAGUAUGUCCAUCGCGGUUUUGCCAUCCAAGUUCUUGGCUUUUACCUUAACCGUUUUACGCAGAAAUUUCAUAACCUAUAUUAAGAGAGCAAAUUCUGGGAACCAACAAGAGAUUAAGAGAAAUUGAUCCCGAAGAAAAACGGUGGGUUUUAUUAACAAGGCGAGAAAAAGUGCGAUCUAGGGUUUUCUAACUUCCUCGACAAGAUGCUGCCGCCGGCGGCCUCUCCGCCACCGCAGGACGUGAUCACAGGGUCGGGGAUCGAACCAAGCUCUCUGGGAACAUCUCUGGGGGAAGCGAACGUGGUUGAGAAGGAGUUGGGUAGGAGUCCGAAGGAGAAUUCAGCGUUAGCGGUACAAAACAAGUCAGAAGAAAACAAGAGUCCGAUCGGUUCGUGGGUUGCUGUAGUGCAAAACAAGCCUUUGAUGCAGAGUUACGAAUACACAGUCGACGACAUUGAUGGAUCUCAAACCAUCAAAGUUCCGAAAUAAAUUUUGGAGAAUUCUCCACCACUAUGGAAUGAUCUCCUUGUGGGAAAAUUCCUGGACACGGCACCGUAUGUCAGGAAGAUUCACGUGCUAGUUAACAAUAUCUGGUCUCUAUCAGAUAAGUCGGUGAAGAUAUAUGUGUACGUCGUUGACAAGACAACGAUGAAAUUCAGGAUCAGAGACGAAGGGGUUAGAAACAGAGUGUUGAAACGAAGAAUGUGGAACUUGUGCGAUGUGCCGGUCAUAGUUUCUAAAUGGAGUCCAGUUGCAGAGGAAAUGCAACCGGAGAUGAGAUCUGUACCAGUGUGGGUGGUGGUAAAAAACGUUCCGCGAUCAAUGUUUGCCUGGAAAGGACUAUCUUUCCUUACUAGUCCAAUUGGAGAGCCAAAACACUUGCACCCGGAUACGGAAUUGUGCAAAAGUUUUGAAGUUGCUUGUGUGUUUGUCGAAGUGGAUCUCACAAAGCCCCUGCCAAAGUCUUACAAUUUCAUGAUGGAAAACGGUCAGGUUGUCAGUUUCUCCUAUGAAUAUCCAUGGCUGCCAGCCAAAUGCACAAACUGUGAGAAGUGGGGACAUAAACAAGCUGAAUGUGUGAUGCAAAAGGUUCCAGGCCCUCCAAAUGUAACUUCUCCGACUUUGGAGAGCAAAACAGUAAAUGUUCAAAACUCGGUGCAAAACAAAGUGCAAGAAACAGAGUCCAGUGGAAAAAGUGGAAAGCAGGAAAAAUCUGAUAAGGGGGGUGAGGUAGAAAUACCAUCACACCAGACAUCAGAGAGAGAAGAUGGAGAGUGGUCCACCCCAAAUCGGAUAGCCAAAUCUCCACAGCGGGUAACAAAAGAAUCCAAAUUUGGAGAAGUGAGUAUCCUUGCAAACUCAAGAUUCCUAGCUCUUAGUGAUAAGGGGGAGAAUGGAGAAGAGCUCAGCGAUAUGAGUAACAUCGGAGUCAGACAAAACCAGGGCAAAUCAGAGGAGGUGCAAGAGAUCAAUGAUAGUAACCCAGGGGAAGAAGACAUAAGCUCCCAAACAACACACGAGACUAGUAAGGAAACUGAGCACACAACGCGGCAAUCUCAAAGACUUGCAGCGAAAGGUAAUCAGAGGAAACUCGUACCUGAACCGAUGGGAAAUUCCGAGGCACCUCGUCCCGGGUUUCAGAAGAAAAGCUCCUUCCCUAAAAAUCUUUGAUGUAAGGAUUUUUUUGGAACAUAAGGAGACUUAACAAAAAAAGUAAACAAGUUGUAGUGAAGGACUGGGUAAACCGUGGAGGAUUUGAAUUUGGUUGUCUUAUUGAAACAAAGGUUACAGAGAGGAAGGCGAACAAGAUCAUUUCAGAGGUGUUCCGUGAUUGGUCGUGGAUGGGUAAUUACGAGCACCACAGGCUGGGGAGAGUAUGGGUGGUUUGGAAGCAGAACGUGCGUGUCUCUCCUAUUUUCAAAUCACCACAAAUGAUCUCAUGUUCGAUACUGUUAGAAGGGAAAGAUGAGGAAAUGUUCUUUUCAUUCAUUUAUGCUAUGAAUACUGCAGAGGAGAGAAAGGAGCUGUGGGAGGAUCUGCGAAAUCACCAGGAUUCAGGUCUUUAUCAAGGAAAACCAUGGAUCAUAUGUGGAGACUUUAACGAGAUUCUCGACAGCGAAGAACACUCGCUGUAUGAAAAUCUGCCAGUCAUCACUCCAGGAAUGAGGGACUUUCAAGAGAUUGUUGGGUAUUGCGAGUUUUUGGAUUUGAGCUACCUUGGUCCGAGAUACACUUGGUGUAAUCGGAGAGAUGAGGGUUUGAUUAGCAAAAAGCUGGACAGAGUUCUGGUUAAUAGCGAAUAGAUGGCAAGAAACACACAAUCAUAUUGUGUUUUUGAAUCAGGAGGCUGUUCAGAUCACCUGCGUUGCCGCAUACAAAUUCAGAGUAAAGAGCCGCCAAAAAGAAGACCUUUUAAAUUCACCAACGCUAUGACUACUAGCUCAGAGUUUACUACGUGUGUGGAGAAUAACUGGAGAAGAACAGACCCUCUGUUCCACUCGACAUCUGCUUUAUACAGAUUUAGCAAGAAACUCAAAGGGCUCAAACCCUCUCUGCGGAGCAUUGGAAAAAACAUGCUCAGUGACAUCACAAAAAAAACCAGAGAGGCAUAUCAAAAACUUUGUGAUCUUCAAGAGAUCACGAUGCACACUUCCACGAGCCAAGCUGUUGAUAAUGAGAGAGUAGCCUGGGAAAGAUGGAGCCACCUUGCUUCUAUUGAGGAGAAGUAUUUGAAACAAAAGGCAAAACUGUUUUGGCUAAAGGUUGGUGACCAAAACUCCAAAGUCUUUUUCAAUGCCAUUAAAAAGCGAACACUAAGGAACAAGAUCGGAGAGAUAGUUCGCCCUGAUGGAACAAAAGCCACUAGUGACGACGAUAUAAAAACUGAGGCUGUACGUCACUUUGAGGAAUUUCUCAAUGAUAAGCCAGCUGACUUUGCUCCCUAGGAGGUUGAGGAACUUCGGAAUAUCGUGGGAUUUACGUGUUCUGAUGCCGACAAAACACUACUGACUCAUGAAGUAUCUGCUGAGGAAAUUAGGAGAGUCUUAUUCUCUAUGCCUAAGGAAAAGUCUCUAGGACCUGAUGGUUUUACCAUAGAAUUCUACAGAGCAACAUGGCCGAUCGUUGGAAAGGAUUUGGUAAUAGCUAUUCAAUCCUUUUUUAAGAUGGGGUUCCUUCCAAAGGGAAUUAACUCUACCAUCUUGGCUCUCAUACCGAAGAAAAAAGAAGUUGUGACCAUGAAAGACUAUAGGCCAAUCUCCUGCUGCAAUGUGAUCUAUAAGAUCAUCUCAAAAAUCAUUGCAAACCGCCUCAAGAUCAUCCUCCCAAAGUUCAUCACACCAAACCAAUCUGCUUUUGUUAAAAACAGAUUGCUCAUGGAGAACCUGCUUCUUGCCACUGAGCUUGUUAAAGACUACCACAAAGAGAACAUUUCAGCAAGAUGUGCUAUGAAGAUAGACAUCUCCAAAGCUUUUGACUCAGUCCAGUGGGGUUUUCUGAUCAACACAUUGCAUGCGAUGGACUUUCCAAAGGAGUAUAUUCAUUGGAUUUUUUUAUGUAUCUCUUCGGCCUCUUUCUCUGUCCAAGUCAAUGGCGACUUAGCCGGUUACUUUGGUAGCUCAAGAGGUUUGCGACAAGGAUGUGCCCUAUCGCCGUACCUCUUUGUUAUUUGUAUGAACGUACUCUCUAAAAGACUGGAUCGAGCCGCGGCUGAAGGAAGGAUUCAAUAUCACCCGGAAUGCUCAGCAUUGUUGCUUACACACUUAUGCUUCGCGGAUGACCUGAUGGUCUUUGUUGCUGGAGAGAAACAGUCUAUAGUUGGUAUUCUAGAGGUGUUUACUGAGUUUGCAACUCACUCGGGUUUGCGCAUAAGUAUUGACAAAAUCUACAGUCUACAUGGCUGGUCUAACCGAGGAGCUGCGGGGGGAAAUCCUCCAAGAAUUCCCAUUUGAACAUGGUACCUUGCCAGUAAAGUAUUUGGGCCUCCCUUUACUCACCCGACGUAUGACUAAGGCAGAUUAUUCCCCUCUGAUGGAAAGGAUUCAAUCUCAGGUAAACUCAUGGACAGUGAAGCAUAUCUCAUUUGGUGGACGGCUUCAAUUGCUCAAAUCGGUCAUCUUCAGCUUAAUAAACUUUUGGAUGGCUGCCUUUAGACUUCCAAAAGCUUGUUUGGCUGAGAUUGAUAGAAUAUGUGCAAGUUUUUUAUGGUCAGGGCAAGCAGACAAUGGGAAAAAAGCAAAGGUAUCAUGGGAUAUGGUGUGCACCCCAAAGACAGAGGGCGGCCUGGGUUUAAAAUCCCUUGAGGCAGUCAACAAGGUCUGUAUUCUAAAGCUCAUCUGGAGAUUACUUACCGCCAAAGACUCUCUGUGGGUAAACUGGGUCAAAAAACAUUUAAUCCGAACAAGAUCUCUCUGGUCAGUAAAGGACUCUACAUCGCUAGGCUCCUGGAUAUGGAAAAAAAUCCUGAAAUACAGAGAACUGGCUCACAGCUUUUACAGAGUGGAGGUCGGAAGUGGCUCGAUGACUUCUUUCUGGUUUGAUAAAUGGAGUUCUCUUGGUCCACUGAUGGAGGUUUUUGGUCCAAGAGGUUGCAUUGACAUGGGCAUAUCAGCAAACUCAACGCUGGCUGCUGUUAUGGCCACAAAUCAAAGGAGGACACAUCGCAACCCGCUGCUAAAUAAAGUGGAGGAGGAAAUUAAGCAACAAAAGGACAAACGGGUUCAGGGAGAACAAGACAAAAUGCUGUGGCGUGGAAAAGGAGGGAACUACAAAAAUAUUUUUGUGUCUCAGGAAAUUGGGAUCAGAUUCGUGGACAGAAGGUUCCCUGGAACUUGCAUAAAGGGAUCUGGUUUUCCUUUGCAACACCGAAAUACUCUGUCAUCACCUGGCUUGCCGCGAAAAAUAGACUUUCGACCGGCGAAAGAAUGGUCAAAUGGAACCUAAAUACAGCUCCUGGUUGUACUCUCUGUGCAGAGCCUCUAGAGACACGGCGACACCUCUUCUUUGAAUGCCCUUAUACAGAGAAGAUAUGGAAGGAAUUGGUUGGUGGGAUUAUGAAUGCCGAGUACACUGCCAAGUGGGAGGAGAUUCUGGAAUUCAUAACAAAGCCGGCGACAAACACGACGAAGGAAUUUAUUAUCAGGUACACCUUCCAAGCUUCGCUUCACACAAUUUGGUGCGAACGGAACAACAGGAGACACGGAGAACCACAUGUUCCAGGAGACAUCCUUGCCAAGCGCCUCGAUGUGAUGCUCCGAAAUAGACUCAGCACAAUACGCAGAGAGGGAGUGAAGAAAUAUGAAGACGGACUGCAAACUUGGUUUGCUACAAGGAUUCCAUAAUUCAUCACAAAUUAUAGGUUGCAGAACUUUGGGAUUAUGUAAGAAAAGGUCAAGAGAAAAGUUGUAAAACAGUUGUAUUUUUCUUUUGAAUAUAAUUUAACAUUUUAUUCAAAAAAAAGAGAGCAAAUUCUGUGUUCAUGAGAGCAUAACUAUCCAUUUUUAUGGUCAAACAGAAAUGUCUGAACAUAUUUUCGAGGAAAAGGAAAAACUAAAUAAUAAGAGAGACAUUUACCUCAUUCUGAUUCAUUGAUGCAGCAAUAUGGAAGACUGUGUUACCAUCUUCAUCCUUCCAGUCCAAGAUUUUCUUCCUGUUUUCUCUCUUGACCCAUCCAUAUAGAACCUUAAAUGCCAAAAUCUGCUGGUUCUUCACGGCAAUGUGCACAGCUGUCUCACACUUAAUCGUCAAAUCUUCUAUGGAAGAAGGACAAGCGAACAAGAACUCACUCAACAACUCUGCAUCGCCAAUUUGAGCCACAUGAUGCAAAGGAGUAAUCAUUCCUUCUCCCUUGAUGCUCACCAAGCCGCUGUUAAUUGCCACAAUCCCUCUCACCAUUCGAGUAUGCUUGUUUUGCAGGGCUAAAUGCAACGGGCUGAAACCUGACACGUUCAGCUUCAAAGCAAAUGAUGGCUUAAGGUUCAUCAACUCCAUGGCAAAAUGAGUUUGCCCUCUUUCAGCUGCAAUGUGUAGUGGCGUCUCACAAAAGGGCAGUUUAUCAAAGUGACCUAGAAUGUCUGGAUCUUCUGCUAUCAACUGGUAGAGUCUUUUUAUAUCUCCAUCCUGAGCCGCCUUCUUCAAUUUCUCAUAGAUAUUUUCACCAUGAGUGCUCGUACUUGAACUUCCACUCCGAUUUGCAUCUUUAGAUACCAUAUCUGAUACUCCUGUGACAUCCACAACAAUCGACAUAACUUCACUAGUCACCUAGGCUUCUGCUGCCUCCACAAACUAUUUUUUAUUGGCUUCUGAAACAUUUCGUGGUGACGCAAAUCAAAUAAUGCAUAUCAAGCAUUAUAAGUACCGAUCAAGCAUAUUGUUUAAAACAAAUACAGAUCAAACAAAUCUAGCGAGUCAUCCUAUUUGACUGAAUAGUGGAAAACAUAAAAAUGAUGCAAAUGUAAUAUGUAAAAAGAAUAUAUAAAGAAGCUAUAUUAUCGAUGAUGCCUCAACAUGCAGUUAUUGUAAGUAAUUAUAUAUAAUUAUGAAGAUGCAAGAUAAAUAUACAUAUAUAAUUUUCUUUAGAUCUAAACAAUGUUAUGUUUAUUGAUAAUAAUUGAAGAUAAUCAAUACGAAAUAUGUAUAAUAUAUGUCUCACUAAAUGAAAAUAUUCUUUUCAAAUAAAAAUUAUUACGCAAAAAAUAUAUAGAGAUCAUACCUUAAACUUACGAGGAUUUUGGAUUGGUAGAAUUGCUUUAAGUGAAUAUUUUGUUAAGAAACUUAAUAUAUUAUAAGCAAUUAAAAGUACAAAAAAAUGAUUUUGAAGUACAAAAAAAAAGAACCUUAUAUGUCCAACACAUUUCUACUUUUGUGUGCAUGUCAGACUUUUUUAAAUCACUUUAUUCUGCAUGCAUAACACAUUUUUUAAAAAAAGUUUAUUCUGCUGCAUAACACAUUUUUUUGUCCUGUGUCAAUCAAUUUUACCAAAAAAAAAAAAGUCUCCAAUCAACUAUGAUGUUCCACAUACUUUCCACGGCAAAUUAUUCUAAGACAUGGGGAAUAAAAGUUAAUUAGGUCCCACGUCAGAGUAAUUAAAAACCAUAUGAAAACGACAAGAAGCACCAUUGAAAUUUGAAAAAACGUUAUGCAAACUAGUUAUGCAAAGAAUACCUUAUUGAACAACCAACGUUUGUCUCCAUACCAAACAUACCAUUCCAUCAGAUAAUACAAAUAAAAUGUUGUAACGUCGACGCACGGGAGGGUAGUUUCGUAAGUAUUGAAGGAGAGACUCCGAGAUUCUUGAUUAAUAGAGUUUGAGCUUGACAAAAAGAAAGAUGAGCUUAUCGAAGUGAAUGAUCGAGCUGAUUGAUUGAGUAGGCGCGAAGUGAUAUCAAGUUCACAGUUUAGCGAGGUAAAAGAUUAUUCGCAAAUUGAUUAUUAAAGAAUAUCGAGUUUAUAGCAUUUAUGGUAGAUUACGGAUCCCAUAAUAAAUAAGCUUACAAGGCUAUUUAUAGUAACAAAAUUAGGUUAAUAUUUGGUCAGGUAGGUCGAACUGUCGGGCAGCUAGACUUGACCGACCGUCUUUCGAAACCUCGCGGUGGCGAACUGCUCCACCAUUUGCAAAGCCUCGAUUAAAACGACUUUGUUCCAUUCGCUUAUCUGGCCUUUAAUAAUCCUCGGCCUUGUUGGGCUUUAAAAGACGGAUCUUGGGUCGGGUCGGGUUGAAAUGGGGCUGUGCUCAGACCACCUCCAACAAUCUCCCCCUCCCUAAGUUUGUUGGAAGAGAUGUUCUAUCGAUAUUCCACGCCUCGGCGUGUUGGUUUUUUGCCGCGAGCCCCAACUUGGCUUUGAGUGAUGUCCUUUGGCGAGCUAAUUGUUCUUCGGAGAUGCGCUGCUUGUGUUGAGGAGAAUAAGCGCGUUUAGACAGUUGUUCAAAAAGACGUGCAUGAUUGUUGGUGUCGAGAUCGAAAAGGCGCAUAAACGGUGGCUGGGAAGUUGAAGAGGCGCAUGUUGGGAUUUGGAUUAUCGAACACGUGGAAUCCGGGUAGCAAUGAAUUCGAUGGGAAGCAUCCGAACCAUGAUUAUUCUCCUCGGUAACCACUGCUUUUAUUCUAUGUAACUUGAGAAUUCCAUCCCCUCAUCAUUCUCUUCUCUCUCACUUAUAAAAAGAUAAUUUCUCUCUCCCUUCUCUUUAAAAUUCGAUUUCUGCUUAAUUUCUCCCUCUAGGAUUUGUUUUUGCUCCGUCGCCUUUAUCUUUGUUCUUGAGGCUUGAUUUCUCCGAUCACUAUCUUCUUCUGUUUUGGCGGUAAUCUCGCGCAUCACCUUCAUAAACUUCGCACUUCAAUCAUGAGGAAGGCCUGAAUCGAAUCGAGUGAAGAAUUUGGAUCUUAAUCUGAAGAGGUCGCCGAGGAGAGUGGAGAUUCAUCUCCUCAAUUAUUGUCAGGUCCAGAAGUCAGUCGGAUAAAUGGACGUCGCCAGAAGAUGAGUUGGCAGAGCGGCUUCAUCCGGAUGGGGCUGUUUCCAGUUUGGCACAAGGCUGAAAUGAGGUCCUUCAAUCAAAUGACAUCAAAACGGGCUCUCGUGACGCCGAUGCCGAGGUACACAAUGAUGCCAAGCUGGACAAUGCAAAUGUCGAGGAGGAAAAAGACAAAGAAGAAGAAGUUAAGCCUCGCAGGAAGGGAUUCAAAUGCAAGGGUCCGACUGAGAAUCGCUUGAAGAAGAUCUCGUCGUAAAUGACGACAUGCGGACUAGGUUUGGUUUUUUGCUGGAAAUCAUUCUUAGAUUGCCGGGCCCCGAGGAUCAACCAUGGCAGGCUCCGGAGGGCUGGGUAACUCUUUACGAGGCCUGGUUCACUUGUGGCUUCCUCUCCCUAAAUUACUGACUGACUACGUUGACUGGCAAGGCAUCGCAUUCUCUUAGCUUCUUCCAGCGGGGAUAUGCUUUAUGGUCGCCGUUUUGGUAUUUGGAGAUGAAUACGGGGUCAGUGUCGACUGGCGCUUCUUCGAGAAGAUGUCGAACGUUCAGAAAAACAACUCGAUCCCUGGUACUUAGAUGAUAAAAGCCAGAUCGGGGUGCUCAUUGUUUCAUCUGGUCAAUAAAAUGCUUAAUUGGGAGCCAUCCUUCUUCUUCGCCAAGAUCAAUGAGGCGCUGGUUGUAGACACCACCAAAAAUAUUAGGAAUGAGUGGAGCGAACGCAUCUGUAGACUAUGCAUUCAACCGAGCUCAUACUUGCUCACUAUACCUCGUCUCUAAUGCUUUUGUGUUGUUCUUGCAGGUCGGAUCAUCAACUUUGGCGCUUAUCCGGACAACUACUUCAACGAUUUAGCUAAGCUCCAAGCUUUUGGAAUUCGAAAUUGGCCAGACAUACAUCACCAAAGAGUUCAAGCAGCCAUUACCCGCAUCACAAACGGUGGGUAGAUCGCUCUUAAAAUUUCCCUUGAUUUCCAACAUCGAUAAGGUCAAGGAAAUCGAUUGGAGCUUCACAUUUGAUUACGGGAGAAGGGAGAACCCUUCGUUAACAACGUGGAUAAAUGUGCCGAGCUAUUCGGUUUGAUAAGGGGGUCGACCUUAGAAGUCUCUGCUAGCGAGAACGUGGUCUUCAAAUACAUGGCAAGCUUCGCCUUUAAGGUACGUUAUGGUUGCUGUUUGUUAAUCUGCGCCUUAGUUCAAUCAUCAGUAACAUCUCCUCUCUUUUUUCUUUCAGUUUAUCGCGAGCUGCAACCGCAGGCUUCAAUGUGCUGAAACAAAGCUGCGGAAUGCUCAGUCUGCAGGCCAGAGAGUCGUUGAGCUAUGCGACGCCGCGAUCACUGAGCGGAAAGUUGCCGAGGAGAACAGGCAGGCCAAGAAGAAAAGGGUGGUGCAGCUCGAGGCGGGGAUCAAAUAGUUGACUUAGAAGGUCAAGGCAAUGAAGCUAGAAAACCAAGACCUGAUCAAUGAAUCUUCAAUUCGUGAACGACGUGAAGAUUCAAGUUGAAAAGUCAAUUGCUGCCGAGGUCUCAUGUGUGCAGCAGCACGCUAAGGAGAGGAUCAAAGCUGAGAGCACCAGGAUAUGGAUGGAGGCUGAGGCCGAAUUCUCGGGUCAUAUUGGUCGUCUAAGGGCCUAUAUCGCUGAGCUAGAGGCGGCCGAAAUGGUGAAGCUUGAUCUCGUUCAAGCUAGAGGUAUUCUUGAGUGCCUUGAUCUUCUGAAGGACGACUCAAAAAUAACCAAGGACGAGCUGUGGGUCGAGCUCAAGAAGACCAAGAUCGAUUGUGAGCAGAAGCUUGCAGGCCUUAGCCUUGCGGAUUGAGAGGAAGGUGAUCUGCCACCACCGUUCCCUGCUACUCCUGGUAUGGAGUCAGACCACGACAAGACCAGUAGUCCCGAAAUUCUCGAAGGUGACGGUCAGCCUGGAGAGUAUAUCGCCUAUCUCUUAGCUUUCAUCGAUGUUGGAUUUCUCUUUUCUUGUCGCACUUUUCUUUUGGCUCUCUUUGAUCUCGAUUUUAAUGAACCCUUUUUUAUUAAUGAAAUCACUUUUUCUAAGUAAUGACUUGUUUGUGCCUUUUCUUUUGAUAGUUCAUAUUUUUUUUGCUUUAAAUAAUCGAACUAUGGGUACGAGUUAAUAACUCGGCUUAUCCUGUUUUUCUUUACGAGUUUGGGCUCGGUUCACUAAGCUAUUAGGUGUGAGUAUUAGCUCGGCCGACCUGUUAGCUUCUCAGAUUGGAUCCGAAUAGCAAAAAUGUGUUCAGCGUAUUUAUUCGGGCGAUCUAAGAAAUAGUGCGAGAUUAGCCCCGGCUUAUUCUCUAUAGUCAUAAGGUUUUUGUCCCUUAGGAUUAUAAAGAGAUUGCAUUAUGAGGAAUGCGUUAUUAUAGAUGGCACAUCUAGCUAGGAUGUCGAUGUCAAAGACGUCGAGCAAUGAGUUGGUAAAAAAGAUAGAAUUUUAGUUAACGGCUGUACCUUAAAAGAGGUUGUCUACGUACCCAACAAGCUGGGAUCAAGCCGAUCAUAGUUCACAUUUACAAAGUAAGAUAUAGCUCGAUGAGUGUAGCUCGGCGAGCUUCCUUUUUUUGGUUUUUUAGUAGUAGUAUCUUUUGAGGUUCAUCGAGUUCCACGACCUUGGGAUCACCUCGCCUCGCAUUGUCAUGACCUCGUACACUCCUUGCUUGACGUCCUUGAUGAUUUGAUAAGGACCUUCCCAGUUCUCAUCUAGUUUCCUGCUCCUUCCUCUUGCAUGUUCUCGAAUACCUUACGAAGGAUGAGGUUGCCAAUUACAAAGUGUCUUCCUUUGAAAAUUUUGUUAUAACAUCGAGCAGCCUGUUUUUAGUAGUUCUGCAUUUGGAGUAAAGUGUGGUCACGUUCCUCUUCGAGCAUGUCAAAGUUAUCCUUAAUCAUUGCCCUGUUGAUUUCGGCGUCUUGUGUCAGCAUUGUUUGGUAGAGAAUUGGUAGAUCGACCUCAGAUGGAGCGAAAUCCUCCAUCCCUUGUGAUAGUGAGAAAAGGGUUUUAUUUGUAGAUCGUCGCGGCGUGGUUCUAUGCGACCAGAGCACUCCAUCUAGUUCGUCGACCCAUAGGCCCUUCUUGGCUUCCAGUCUCUUUUUGAUACCUCAACUUUCUCGUUUCUCUUUGAUGGUUUUGUCGUUCGCCUCGGCUUGCUCGUUGCCUUGUGGAUACCUCGGUGUCGACUUGCUGAGUCUGAUUUUCCACACGGCGCAGAAAUUCUCAAAUGUGUUGGAAAUGAACUGAGGAACGUUGUCCGCGACGAUCUCGUAUGGGAAACCCUGGCGACAAAUUAUAUGUUUCCAUAUGAAGUUCUUGACAUUGCUGGCAUGGACUUUGGGGUAGGAUUCUGCCUCGACCCAUUUUGUAAAGUAAUCGGUGACAAAUAGCAUAAAAAGCUUCUGAUGGGAUCGAGGAAGUGGACCGACGAUGUCCAUCGUCCAUCGCAUGAACGGAUAAGGUGGUGAUGAAGCCGCGAGAAGCUCUGCCGGGGCAUGGAUCAUCGGCGCGUGCCUUUGGCAUUGCUCGCAGUGAGCAACAAAUCUGUUGUAGUCUGCCAACAUCGUUGGGCAGAAAUGUCUGUGGUUUUUAAUUUCAAAACCAAGGCUCGACAAUUCGAGUGAUUUUCGCACGCGCCUUCAUGUAUUUCCUGCAUGACAUCGAACAUUUCUCCACCAUAUAAGAAAAUGAGUAGAGCUCCCAUCGAGCUCCAUCGAUAGAGAUUUCCGUGGGAUUGGAUAUACUUGGCACUGCGAGCUUUGAGACGUAUUACUACCCAUCGAUCUGGGGGUACCUUGCCAUCUAUGAUGUAGAGUAGUAUCUCGGCCCUCUAGUCGUUGUUGGAGGGUUCUUUCUCGGCUGGCUCAUCUAUCACAUCGGGGAGUGGUGCACCGGUGUUCCCCGGCUGGAGUUCUUUAAGUGUACAUAUUCCAUUAGGGAGUUCAAUACUAGGUGCAUCGAUGCUUUCAACAAGAAUAACACGUCGUUGCUGGGCUCAGACGUCGAUGCAAGGACCGCUAAGGCGUCGGCGGAUAUGUUAUCGCUUCUCAGGAUUCUAUUGAGGGAGAAAGCCUAGAACUCUUCAGUGAGUUUCUUGAUGGCUUGGAGAUACAGGUCCAUUCGGUCGUUCCUGAUAUUGUAAUCGCCGCUAUAUUGGCUGGCGACGAGCUGAGAGUCGCAUAAAGCUUCAAUUUUUCUGACCCCAAUUCCGAGGGCUAGGCGAAGACCAGCGAGAAAUGCUUUGUAUUUUUGCUUCAUUAUUCGAUGCCGAGAAUUCCAGGCGGAACGAUAGUUCUAGAAUCUCUUUUGGUUCGAGACUCCAAACGAAUUCCUACUCCUGCUUCUCGUGAGGAUGAUGAUUCGUCGACGUAUAAAGACCAUCUUUCAUCGAGAAGGUCAGUAUGUACAAGUUCUGGAGGGAGCUGGAUUAGGAAAUCCGCAAGGACUUGGGAUUUGACGCUUGUCGUAUUGCGAUACUUUAUAUCGUAUUCCGUGAGCUCGACUGCCAACUUCGCCAUACGACCGGACUGGCUCGGGCUGUGAAGUAUCGUUCUCAGCAGUUAAUUAGUGGGGACCACAAUUGAAUGAGACUGGAAAUACGGGCAAAGCUUCCUUGCAGACAUAAUAACUGCCAGGGCAAGCUUUCCAGAGAUAGAUAUCUCUUUUCAGCGUCAUCCAAGAUUUAACUGACGUAAAAAAUUGACGUAAAAGAUUGGCUUUUGUUCGCCUUUGACUAGCACCCCGCUGACCACGGAACUAGAGACCGCGAUGUACAGUUAUAGAGUUUCUCCUAUUUCUGGUUUUGUUAGGAUUGGUGGCGUUGACAGAUAUUUGUUAAAUUGAUUGAAGGCGGUUUUGCAUUUCUCGUCUCAUUCGAAACAUUUGUUAGUGCGCAGGAGUUGGUAGAAUGUGAGACACUUAUCUGUUGACCUUGAUAUGAACCUAUUGAAAGCUGCAAUCCGCCGGUGAGUCACUAUACCUCUUGGGUGUUUCGAGGAGUGCGGAGGUCAAUCAGUGCAUCGAUCUCCCUUUUGGUGAUGAUGUACCCGAGGAACUAGCCAGAAGUUACGCCGAACGUGCAUUUGAACGGGUUCAAUUUCAUUUUGUACUGGUUUAAGAUGGUGAAACAGGUUUGCAGAUGGCCGAUGUGGAUGCCGGCAGUAAGAAAUUUGACCAACAUAUCGUCAAUGUAGAUUUCCAUCGUUUGCCCUAAUUUAUCAGCUAACAUAUGGUUUACCAACCUUUGAUAAGUCGCUCAUGCGUUUUUUGUCUAAAGGGCAUGACCUUAUAGCAAUACGUUCCUCGAUCGUUGAGGUGCAUCACGAUCUGAUUGUAUCGUGAAACCGCAUCCAUGAAGGACAUGAGCUCGUUUCCAGCAGUUGCCUCGACAAGUCGAUUUAUAUGUGGCAAGGGGAAGCUAUCUUUGGGACAAGCCUAGUUCAGGUCGGUGAAAUCUACGCAUAUUCUCCAUUUACCGCUUUUUAUUUUUAACGACCACCGGAUUGGCUAGCCACUCUGGGUAUUUUACCUCGGUGAUUGAUCCGGCCGUGGAUAGGCGUUCAACCUCGUCGUUGACGGCUUUGACCUUUUCCGAGCCAAGCUUCUUCUUCUUCUUCUGCUUGAUUGGUUUGAAGGUGGGAUCGGCAAUCAGCUCGUGGCAAGAUAUUGUGGGAUCGAUUCACAGCAUGUCGCUUGUCGACCAGGCGAAGGUUGGAACGUUUCGACAGAGGAUUCUGAUGAGCUCCUUUCUGAUCUCCUCUUUCAGAUCGGCUUUGAUGCCUACGCAUCGCUCAGGGUUGGUUUUGUCAAUGUUAACCUGGACUAUAAGCUCGCACUUUACUCCCUCCUAAGGCGGGAGAUCGACCUGAAUUGUGGGUUUGACUGUGAGGUAUGCCUUUGUUGAGAUUUGUAGCUUAUGCUUGGUUGCGAAGCAGAGCCUCAAAAUUUCUUGAGAUACCUUGAUAGUUAUCAUCCCGAAUGUCGUCGGGAACUUGAGGCAUUGAUGAUAAGUCGCUUGGAUUGCUUUCAUCGAUUGCAGCCAAGGUGUGCCCAAGAGCACAUUGUAGAUUACGGGUUUGUUGAUGACGAUGAAUUUGACGAAUUGGGUCGUCUUGGCGGUGUAGACUGGGAGUUUGAUCGUUCCUAUUGAGUAGACUGUAUCUCCGCCGACUCCGGUAAGAGGCUUCACAGAGGAUUUGAGGUGAUGGUUUGUCAUUUCCAUCUUGUCCAAUGUCUCUUUGAAAAUCAGGUCCACUGAGCUCCCCGUGUCGAUCAGGAUUCCCGUGUCCAUGCAGCUCGAUCACGAGCGGUUCUUUGAUAACAUUUGCCUUGGGAGCUUUUACUUGCCACUUCUGAGCGAGCAUGACCUUUCGGCCAUACUUUUUGAUUGAUUGGACGAAAACGUUGCACGAUGACAGACCGCCCGUUAUCAUGAAUACUUUCUUCUUGAAGAUUGACAUUGUGUCGCCCCUGGGUUGAUUACCUUGAUCCUUUUUGUGGGAUCAUCGUUAGCUUGUUGGACCAUUGGAGGAGGUGGUAGGAGUCGCUCGGCAAGUGCCGCCUGCUGAUUGGUAUUUCCACAUGGAUCAGCGCUACUGGGUUGGCUCGUACCUGCGAUCUCCCUUGCGAUAUUAUGCGAGAAGAUAUUCUUGUAACAGGUGGCACAUCGGGGUUGGAUGGCCGUAUUAGUUAUGAAAAUCGCAAAAAGGCCUCGUCUCUCCGUGCUCACCACGCUGCCAUGGGUUUUUUAUUGCUUGGUAAUGGUGAUUUGGGGGCGGGGGGUGGCACGUUUAUGUUAUACACUGUUCCUUGCCUGUUAUUGCCUUGGUGGAAUGCAUCUUCUAAAGUUUCCGGCGUGUCGAGUUUGAGGCUGUCUCAGAACUUGGUAUCGAACCGAAGAGCGUUUCUAAGAGCUGGUAUCAAGUCCUUGUCGGUUAUGGUGAUGCGAGGGACUAUCGCGUUGAACCUGUCAAUGAAAGAACGGAGGGAUUCCUUCUCGCCUUGUCUGAUUUGGAAGAGAUCGGCACUGGGCACCGCGUCCUGUAUGUACAUUAUGUAUCACUUGAGGAAAACCGUCUAAAAUGCUUAAUAAUUAUCGAUCGAGUUGGCUUUCAGAUUGGAAACCAGACGAGGGCUGCACCGCUCAGGUUUUCGACAAAAAACUGGCAAAACCUGCGUCUUUCUCCUCGGGUGUGAAUCGAGCUCGCCCCAUUUGGAUGCUGAACGCGCUCAUAUACUAGCUAGGAUACGAGUUGUCGGUGUACAUUGGUAGGUUGAAUUUGACCUGGUUGCGUAUCGGGAUAUCGGUGAUUCGAGAUGUGAACAGAGUGCUUUGACUUUUUUUAGUACACGAUCAAUCUCUGGAGCUGAACUGGUCGCCUGAUGGACUAGCGAGGUCAUGGCCUGCAGCCUUGCUCUCAUUUCGUUCGUUUCCUCAUCUCGCCCAACGUCCUUGGCUCGUAGUAAUCGCCCCUCGUGAUCUGGUGUCCGUGUGUUGGUUUCGUCACAAUUUGAAGCUGGUCGGUUUUCAGUCGUUGGGGGCGUCAGUGAGUCACCGAAUAGGACACGCUGCAGGCGCUGAGUUUCUUGUGCUUGUCGCUCCAGAACUUGGGUCUCGGAUGAAUGCAGCACACUGGCUUGAUCUUGGCAUGAGAGCUGCGCUGUGGCCAGCUUGUUGAGAUGUACGCUCAUCUGGCGAUUUGAUUCUUCCAUUCGACCCAUCAUGGUCUCGACCAGGGUUGCGACAUUGGUGUGGUCGGGCGUCGUUUAAUUGAUGUUUGGUGCUUCCAGGGUUGGGAUUGCAAUGUUCUCUAUUGGAUACGACGACGACAGUUUUUGGUUCAGGGUCGCCAGGUCGUUGAUGUGCGAUGUCGUGGUUACUUUCUCUGCGGCUAUUGAGGUCUGCGGUCCAGUCUUUGAUUUGGUUGGUAUUUCUGACAUUAUCAAGCUACUCUUUGCGUAGAAAGAAAUCUCUGAGCCCCACAGUAGGCGCCAAUUGUUGUAAUGUUAUGCACGGGAGGGUAGUUUGGUAAGUAUUGAAAGAGAGACUCGGAGAUUCUUGAUUAAUAGAGUUUGAGCUUGACAAGAAAAAGAUGAGCUUAUCAAAGUGAAUGAUCGAGCUGAUUGAUUGAGUAGGCGCGAGGCGAUAUCGAGUUCAUGGUUUAGCGAGGUAAAAGAUUAUUCGCAAAUUGAUUAUUAAGGAGUAUCGAGCUUAUAGCAUUUAUGGCAGAUUACAGAUCCCUUAGUAAAUAAAUUUACAAAGCUAUUUAUAGUAACAAAAUUAGGUUAAUACUCGGUCAGGAUAGGUCAAACAGGUCUAGCUGCCUGUCCUUCGAAACAUCGCGGUGGCGAGGUGCUUCCACUGUUUGCAAAGAUUCGAUUAAAACGACCUCAUUCCAUUCGUUUCUUGGGCCUUUAAUGAUCCUCGGCCUUGUUGGACUUUAAAAGACGGAUCUUGGGCCGGGCGGAUUAAAAAGAAACUUUGCUCAGCCCACCUAUAAUAUAAAAUACCAACUAAAACUAGAUUUUAUAAUGUAGUUUUCAGAAGAAAAAGGGAUCCCGAAUAAAAAACAAGAAAAUAUCAGAUUUGUUAUGUUCCAAACCUUGUAAUCAAUACAAAAAAAGAGACAAGAUGCACACAUGAACUUAAAAAAAUUAGAGAAGACUACUAAAGAGGGUUGCUUUGUUGAAUUUCAUUUUCUAACAGAGCGAUGGAGGUGUGGAGAUGAACAUAUAAAUUAUGAUCAGUCAAAUUUGCACGUACCAAACACCAAAUGAACAGACAUAUGAUGUAUCAUUACAUCUACGAUUGCUGAUAUAAACACGUUUUUUUUUUUAUUAGAGAAUGUAAAAGGAAAAGACCAACAGGAACUAGCUAGGGUUUACCUUAAUUUGAGAGUAGCUAUGACCAUUGUUAUUCUUAUGCUUAUAAGCUUUUCGGGUCUUACAUGAAUAAUGGCCCCUUCUCUCUUCACUCGUCUUAGUAAAUUGGGUCCAUGGCUGUUCCACUCGGAUAGUACUUUUCUGGGACAUUUCGUCGAAGAAUACUUGCAUUAGCCAUAUUCAUCAAAAACUUGUGAGUUAGACAUCAGUAACACAACGCAUAGAUUCCAGUCUGAUUCCAAAUGUCUCCCGUGAUGAUUCCAAAACAUGCUUCUCAUACAUGAAUCUUACACCCUUAAGAACACAAAUUUCGAACGAAGAAACAGAGAAUGUAACAGAGAUAGACGCCGAUAUAGAGACAGAAGAAACAGAGUAAUGCGUGAGGACGAAGAAGAAAGAAGAAGUUUGACACGAGAUCUUUAACGUCUUGGCUUAAAGAAUUAGAGAGUACAAAUUACAAAGAAUCCUUAAGAAAAUGAUCAAAGAACAAUGAAUCUCUCUCACUCUCUCUCUCUCUCUCUCUCUCUCUCUCUUUCUCACUCUCUCUCUCUCUCUCGGAAUUUACCCUGAGAAAAUUGUUGUAUGGAUAGUUUUAAGUUUUUAAUUUGAGAAAUGGGUAGUUUUAAAAUCACACAAAGGAUUUGAUAGUUUUUACUGUUUACUUUCCUUAUUGGACCCUAACCUUUUAAUUUCUUUACAGAUAUGCUAUUAUUAUAUGUUUAUUAUUUUUUCUUUCUUUUUAUCUUCUCUCUCUUUUAUAUGUUACUUUUUCACUUUUUUUUCUAUUUCUCUUAAUCUUUUUUUUUUCUCACGUACUUUAAACCUUAACUGUUUUAAAUUCUUUAAACAGUUUUUCAUUUGUGUUUUUUCAAAAAAAAUAUAUUUAUUAUCCAGCUAAGAUUUUUGAAAAUAUCCGUAGUAAAAUUUUGGAAAAUUGUAUUUUGAAAACAAUGACCAUUUUCUAAACAAAAGACCAUGUUUUUGUGGUUUUUCACCCAAAAUUGGUGAUGAUUUUUUUUUUUUCUUAUUAUUCCUUUUUAUUAUAAAUAUUGCUACUUUUAGAUAAUAAAAACAUAAAUGAAAAUAUACAAUUAAUAAAAAAGAACCAAGUUAUCAAAGAAUGAUAAAAAAUAAAUAAGCAUCCAAAAUUUAGCUUAAAAUUUGAUAAAAAAUGAAAAUAUUUCUAAAAUUUGUCAAAUAAAUUAACUUAAUGUUUUAAGACUAAGGUAUUGAUCAAAAUUUAGUAUUUUUUCUUAUGGUUUAGGGUUUACGUUAGUCAAUUUGGGUUCGUUAUUACCCAUCUAGAGUUUUGAUUUCUAUAGUGAAUUGCUCUAUAUGGUAGUCAUAUUUUACGUGAGUUGAGUUCGCUAAUACCAAUUUAGGAUUUAAAUUUUUAUAGUUGAUUAUUCUAUAUGGUAACCAUAUUUUUUUAUGAUUCAAUUUGGGUUUGCUAUUACCCAUUUAAGGUAUAGAUUUCUACAUUUAUAUGUUUUUACGGUUGUUGUCCUUAAUGAUUUAAUAUCGCUUUUAUGUGUUUAGUAUCUUCAAAUGGUUGUAUAGUAUUCAUCAAGGUUUAGUUUUUUUUCUUAGGAUUUACAGUGUACGUUAUUCAAUUUGGAUUCACUAUCAGCUAUUCAGGAUAUAGAUUUUAAUAAUUAUAUUCUAUAUGGUAACCAUAUUUUUUAUGAUUCAAUUUGGGUUUGCUAUUACGUACUCAUUUAGGGUAUAGAUUUCUACAUUUAUAUGUUUUUUUGGUUGUUGUCCUUUUUACUCGUCCUUAACGAUUUAAUAUCGCUUUUAUGUGUUUAGUAUCCUCAAAUGGUUGUAUAGUAUUCAUCAAGGUUUAGUUUUUUUCUUAGGCUUUACAGUUUACGUUAUUCAAUUUGGGUUCACUAUCAGCUAUUCAGGAUAUAGAUUUUAAUAAUUAUAUGUUAUUUAUGGUUUUCAUACUUUAGAUUUUUUUUUAUUUGGGUUCACUAGUACACAUUUAGGAUUUAGUUUUAUAUAGUUGAUUGUUCUAUAUGGGAGUCAUAUUUUACGUGAUUCAAUUUGGGUUCGCUAUUACCCAUUUAAGAUAUAGAUUUCUACAUUAAUGUAUUUUUUUACGGUUGUUGUACUUUAUGUUUUUUAACGGUUGAAUAUCCCUCUUAUGUGUUAGUAUCCUAAAUUGGUUGUAUAGUAUCCAUCAAGGUUUAUAGUUUAUGUUAUUCAAUUUGGGUUUAGAUUAGGGUUUACAUUAUUAUUUAUUUAUAGGGUUUAAGGUUUAGGUUUAGGUUUAUUUUAUAUUUAAGGUUUAGAGUUUAUGUUAUUCAAUUUGGGUUUGCUAAUAUGUAUUUUGGGUUUAGAUUUCUAUAGUUGAUUGUUCUAUAUGGUAGCCAUAUUUUACGUGAUUCAAUUUGGGUUCUCUAUUACCCAUUUAGGGUAUACAUUUCUACAUAUAUAUAUUGGAAAAUAUAUUUAUUCUCCAAUUAAAAUUUUUGAAAAUAGCUUUUCCAAAAUAUGGGAAAAUUUUAUUUUGAAAACAAUGACUAUUUUCGAAACAAAGACAGGAUCUAUAUUUUUGUGGUUUUUCACCCAAAAAUACUGAUGAUUUUUUUCUUAUUAUUAUUUUUCUAUAUUAUCAAUAUUGCUACUUUUUGAUAAUAAAAACAUAAAUGAAAAAUCUACAAUUAAAAAAAGAACAACUCCAAGUUAUCAAAGAAUGAUAAAAAAAAGAAAUAAACAUCCAAAAUUUAAAUUAAAAAUUGAUGAAAAAUUAAAAUAUUCCUAAAACUUGUCAAUAAAUUAACUUAAUGUUUUAAGUCUAAGGUAUUAAUCAAAUUUUAGUAUUUUUUUUCUUAUGGUUUAGGGUUUACGUUAGUCAAUUUGGGUUCGUUAUUACCCAUUUAGAGUUUUGAUUUCUAUAGUGAAUUGCUCUAUAUGGUAGUCAUAUUUUACGUGAGUCAAUUUGGGUUUGCUAGUACCAAUUUAGGGUUUAGAUUUUUAUAGUUGAUUAUUCUAUAUGGUAACCAUAUUUUUUAUGAUUCAAUUUGGGUUUGCUAUUACCCAUUUAGGGUAUAGACUUCUACAUUUAUAUGUUUUUACGGUUGUUGUCCUUUAUAUAUUUUUUUAACGGUUUAAUAUCGUUUUUAUGUGUUUAGUAUCCUCAAAUGUUUGUAUAGUAUUCAUCAAGGUUUAGUUUUUUUUCUUAGGUUUUACAGUUUACGUUAUUCAUUUUGGAUUCACUAUCAGCUAAUUAGGGUAUAGAUUUUAAUAAUUAUAUGUUAUUUACGGUUUCAUACUUUAGAUUUUUUUAUUUGGAUUUGCUAGUACCCGUUUAGGAUUUAAAUUUCUAUAGUUGGUUGUUCUAUAUGGUAGCCAUAUUUUACGUGAUUUAAUUUGGGUUCGUUAUUACCAAUUUAGGGUAUAGAUCUAUACAUUUAUAUAUUGUGACGGUUGUUGUACUUUAGUUUUUUAAACGGUUUAAUAUCCCUCUUGUGUGUUUAGUAUCCUAAAUUGGUUGUAUAGUAUCCAUCAAGGUUUAUGGUUUAUGUUAUUUAAUUUGGGUUUAGAUUAGGAUUUAGGUUUAGGAUUUACGUUAUUAUUUAUUUUUAGAGUUUAGGUUUAGGUUUAUUAUUUAUUUAAGGUUUAGAUUUUAUGUUAUUCAAUUUGGGUUCGCUAGUAUCCAUUUAGGGUUUAGAUUUCUAUAGUUGAUUGUUCUAUAUAGUAGUCGUAAUUUACAUGAUUCUAUUUGGGUUCAUUAUUACCCAUUUAGGGUAUAAAUUUCUACAUUUAUAUAUCGGUACGAUUUUUAUUAUUUAUGUUUUUCUUUAACGGUUUAAUAUCUCUUUUGUGUGUUUAGUAUCCUAAAUGAUGUGUACAUUUCUUUCACAUGUGUUGUGUACACCAAUUAGUAAUAGUUUUAUUGAAAUUUAUUCUAAUUGUAAUGGUUUAAAAUAUGUAUACUGCAUAUGCGUACAAUACAUCACAUAUGAAUACAUAACAUUUGUGUACACCACACAUACAUAUAUAUUGCAUAUAUGUACACUGCAUAAGUGUACAUCGGAUAGGUGUACAUUGCAUAAGUGUAAACUCCAUAGGUGUACACUGCAUAAGUGUACAUUGCAUAGGUGUACACCGCGGUGUACACUAUAUCGGUAUACACGUAUAGGUAUACGUUUUAAUAAUUUCUGUUUUAAAAAAAUUCAAAUUUCUAUAUGUGUAGAAAAAAACUAUAAUAUAUAUAUAUGUCAUAAUCUGAUUCAUUGUUUACAAUUAAAUAUAUGAUCAAAGAUUUGAUGAGGGGAAAUUUUCUAAAAGUAGGAAAGAAAAAUAGAAAAAAAUAAAUUUAUUUCUAGGUGUAUAAGCGCGUAUAGACAAUUUUUGUUGGGACCACGUGAUUUUCUGUAUCUGUCUCUCUCUAAAAGACAUAUCUCUCUAUCUUUAUCUCUCUCUCAGACACAAAGAUAACUUUGGGGUUUUGAAAAUAUGGCCCCAACAAAACUACCUAAAAAUUAAUAAAAACUUAAAAAUACCCAUUCUUCAAAUAAAUACUUAAAAAGUACCCUAUUUUCAAACAUACCCAACUCUGGCUGACUCUUUCUACCAAUACCAAACCAGUUCAGCUGAACACAGAAUUAUUCUUGAAGAUCUUUGAUUACAUAUCAAGAGAGAAAGAACUCAAAGUUGUAAAUUCAUUCAGUAUCAAAAUCAAAUGCUCCUCCUCUUCACCACUUUAAUUAACAAAAACAAAUAUCUUUACUAUAUUCAAUAUCAAAGUUGUAAAUACUUUAAUUAACACAAAAGUUACAAUGGACAUAGUCUUGAUAUGUUGAUAAUCAAAGACUCUAUAGAGAGAAGAACUCAAAGAUAAAAACAUAAUUAUCACAAUAAUUACUAGUGCUGCAUGCUAGAAUCAAGUAACAUACAACAGCAACCGUCUUGGUGCAGGUGCGCCAUAUUAAAGGAAGGUGAAGAUGUGAUUCAACAGAGAUGGGCUGAAACAGCUUGCCGGGAAGUCCACUUGGCGCAGGCGACGUUUCUCAACAUCAAAUUUACGCUAAGUAACAUACAGCAUGGUUCCAAAAAAGAGUGCACAGAUGAAGACGACCUUUAAUAUACGUCUGGAUCCGCCAUAUGAUUUCGGGAAUAUAUUGGUGUAUGAUGAUAAAAGAGCAACACAUAAAGCCAACGUUGCGCUAUAGAUGAACUUCCACAUGGGGAGUCCAAUUAUGAGGAGUGUGAUCACAUAUAUAGAUGAUAAGAAUGCAAACCCGUUGACGCCUAGAAAAAUGAGGGCAGGGUAGAAAGCCAUAGUCAUCUGCCCAGCCUUGUGUUUAUGUGGAUAGGAAGUGCUGGGUUCAGAAUCCUCCUGCCAAAGUCUGCCUGGAGGACUGAGACCAGCCUGGUAUGUAGCUGUCGUUAACAGUAUAGCCACCACAAGUAUUGCAUCGUGGCGGUUGCUAGUCUUUAAAGCCCUUCACUAGUCAUGCUCGCAUUCCUCAACCCCAAGAGACAUUUUUCUUUGUCAAUAAAUGGUAGAUCUUCGCUCAAAUAUCCCAAUAUAAGAGACUUGGAUUUCCAACUCAAAAAUCAAUUCGCAAUGAGUGAAUUGGUCCAAGUUCAUUAUAUUAUCCAAGAUCUCUCCCAACUUUCAAUGUGAGAUAUUUCUAUUGGGAUUAGGUAGAUAUAAUCUCUAUUAGGAUUAGGUAGAGAUUAUUGAGCAAUUAAAUCUUAAUCUCUAGUGAGUGUGUGAGAAAUAUCCCAUAUUAGAAGUUGGGAAAGAUCUUGAGUAAUAUAUAAAGGACUUAAACUAAUUCACUUAUUGCCAAUUGGUUUUGAGUUGAAAAUACAAAAAAAUUAACAAAUUUGGAGGAAACCUUAGAAGGAUAAUAGUUUCUCUCAAUUAUAUUGAUUAGCCAUUAUGCUUAUUUAUACUAAAGAUAUAGCUUUAUUAAUAAUUUUUAACAUAUUUGAUGAUGGAAAUGUACCUAAUUAGUUAAUAGAAAAUAUACACAAAUAUUAAUUUCCUUUCUACUCGAUCUCUCCAAAAUCUCUUCAACACCCUCCCGCAAGCUCAUACGUGGUAACAUGACACGUCAUUAAUGUAUCGGUAUUAUACCCGGCCAUCGGGUCAUCUUCACAGAAUUUAUACCCCAUUGUAGGGUUAUCAAUUUGGUGGAAAAUACAUCAUGAUUGUAGUUGUGUAUCCACAUCAUCAUCUCGUCAUGGUGGAGUCACCGUACUAACAGUAUCUUCGUGGUCAUCAUCAUAUUCGUAGUUGAUAGAUAACCACAUGAAAACCUGGAAAAAAAAUUAAGAGGAUGAAAUAUGAACGAAUCCAUUAGGUUCAUGCUCAUAGUCGCCAUAAUCAUCAAAUCGUUAAAUUUCUUUUUUUUUUUUUUUUGAAAAAUCAACUCAGUAAUUAAAAGAAGGAAGGAAAGAUAAAAUAGAAUUAUAAAUAGAAAUAGAAGAGGUUAUCGAAUAAGGUACAAGAAAAUGUCAACGAGAGAAGUCGUUUUUUUUUUAACUAGGAGAAAACCUGCGCAUAUGUGCGGUCUUAUUUUAAUUUAUAUUUUAUAUAAUUUUUAUUGCAUUUUAUGUUUAUUAUUAAUGUUUGUUUAAAAUAUUUAUAUUUUUCUCAAUUGCUUUUUGAUGAUACAUUAUUUGUAAUCUUUUCAAUAGUAGUUGUGUCAAAUAAUCUAAUUUUUACCAAGAUAAUAAUGUACUAAAAUUCUACUAUUUUAAUUUUUGUAUAAAACGUAAUAGUUUACUUAAAAAUAUAAGUUGAAUAUCAGAAAGAAAUAUUUAUUUAUUCAUCGAUCUUCAUAUUCUUUUUAUUCUUGUAGAUCUUACUAAUAUAAUACUUGUUAAUUUUUUUAAUCUACUAUUUUGAAUUUUUUUGGCUAUAUAUAUUUUAUUAAUUUAAUCUUUUUAAAUUUUUUUAAAAAAAUAUAUGUCUUCUAGGUCUAUCUAGCACCUAGACAAAAAAAACGGAGAUUAAUCAGAGAUUAAUCGUAGAUUCAUUUUUAUAUUUAUUUUAAUUAUUUUAAUUACUUUUUAAUAUUUAUUUAUUUUUAAGAUUAAUUUUGUUUUAUUUGACAUGUAUGAACUAAAUUUUGUAUAAAUAUGUGUAUAAAGAUAGAUUUAGAAGACAUAUUGAUGUGAUGAAGACCCAAAUUUAACUCAAACAUAUAAAUAGCCAUGACAAUUUUUUAAAAGCGGGUCUUUUGGUUUGUACCACAUCGACAAACUUAGAUAAUUGAGUAGGGCAAGCUGCACUAUAAAUAAGAGUCUUCAUCUUCUGGCCCAAAACAAAGACUGAAUGCGUUACACUGUUAGGUCUGUAUUUGAGCCCGAUUUUGAACUUAAAUAAUUGAGUUUUUACAAAAAUUGGUUCUAGGCGGUCUAAAAUUGAAUAGGCGGUCUAUUCUUUUAACAAAUGGUGCACGUGGUGCUCUUUCUAGUCUGACGAAUCCAGUUUUUCUAUAUAAAAUGAUUGCAAAUAAGAAGUCCUAGAUGAUAAGAAGUGGUUCAAGGAUCGAACAAAAACCAAAAGUUUGUAUGAUUUGGUUAGGGCAUGACUGCAUAUCUAGAUUUGCGGGAUAAUCAAUUUUAUUCAAAAUCUCUGGAUAUUUGAAAACUGGAUAUCCAGCUUAAAUUAAAUAUAUAUGGAUAUCCGACCGGAUAUCCGGUUUCGUUGAUUGGUUGGAUAUCCGAUUUCGUUGAUUUAAAAAAAAAUCUUCAAUUUUUUAAAAAUUAUAAUACAAUAACAUAUAUAAUUAAAAUGUAUCAACUUAACAAAAAUUACAAAUACCAAAAAUUAAAAUCAUUUAAAUAGCAUUCAAAUAACAAAAAGUUUAAAAGUUUACAUAGCAAAAGAGAAAAUAGUAAUAGAGAAGCUAAUUUAUUUUUAUAUUCAUGUGUUAUUCAUUUUCAUGUUCUGUUCUCACAAUCUAAAAUAGAAAAUUAUCAUGCAAUAUAAAUUUCAAUUAAUAUUAUUAAAAUAAAUUAAUAUUUAAUAAACGGAUAAUGGAUAACGGAUAUCCGAUUUCAAAAUUUUCUAUUAUUCGGAUUCAUAUCUGAAAUAACCGAAUUCUUAAUUUCAUUAUCCGGAUCAGGAUCCGAACUCUACGGAUAUUCGGUUUUUAAGAAUUGGAUAGGAUUGGAUACUGGAACAGAGACCGGAUACCGGAUAAUAAUUUCAGCCCUAGAUUUGAUUAUGGCUCUGAUACUAUAAUAAGUUUAGAGGAAACUUUAGAAGUAAAAUAGUUUCUCUCAAUUUUAUUGAUUAGCUAUACAAAAGAUAUAACUUGAUUAAUAAGUUCUUUACAUAUUUGAUUUUUGCAUAUUUGAUGAUCGAAAUCUACCUAAUUAGUUAAUAGAGAAUAUACACAAAUAUUUAACUUUCUUUCAACUUGAUCUCUCCAAAAUUUCAUAACAUAACAUAAUAGAGAAUAUAUACAGUUGUUAAGUUUCCUAAACUUCCAACUCAAAACCAAUUAAUAAUUAGUGAAUUGACUUAAAUCUUUUAUAUAUUACCCAAAAUCUCUCCCAACUUUCAGUGUACAUAUUUCCCACACAAUCUCUAGAGUUUAAGGCUUCAUGGCCCAAUAAUCUCUACCUAAUCACAAUACAAAUAUAUACAAAGGAUAUAGGAUAACCUCCAGAGUAUCACCACAUAUCUAUCCAUUUCAAUUGAUAAACAGCAAUGUCUGAACAAAGAUUUUCGAGGAAAAGGCAAAACUAAAUUAUAAGAGAGAGCGACAUUUACCUCAGUUUGAUUCAUCGAUGCAGCAAUAUGGAAGACUGUGUUACCAUAUUCAUCCUUCCAGUCUAAGAUUUCCUUCCUGUUUUCUCUCUUGACCCAUCCAUACAGAACCUUAAAUGCCAAAAGCUGCUGAUUCUUCACGGCAAUUGUGCACAGCUGUCUCACACUUAGUCGUCAAAUCUUCUGUGGAAGAAGGACAAGCGAACAAGAACUCGCUCAAUAAAUGUGCAUGGCCUAGUUGAGCCACAUGAUGCAAAGGAGUAAUUCCUCCUUUUCCCUUGAUGCUCACUAAGCUGCUGUCAAUUGCCACAAACUCUCUCACCAUUCGAAUGUGGUUGUUUUGCAGUGCUAAAUGCAACGGGCUGAAACCUGACACGUUCAGCUUGGAAGCAAACGACGCCUUAAGGUUCAUCAACUCCAUGAAAAAAAGAGUUCGCCCGCGUUCAGCUGCAAUAUGUAGUGGCGUCUCACAAAAGGGCACUUUAUCAAAGUGACCUAGAAUGUCUGGAUCUUCUGCUAUCAACUGAUAAUCAAGAGAGAAGGAAGAACCAAUUUUUUUUUUUUUUUUUUUUCUGAACACUGGUUUUAUUAGAAUAGUUCAAGGAGAUCUUGCAGUUGUUGGGAGGUAAUGUUGUGUUUUCUUUCUUCUAAUAUUCGAUAUUAGGGACAUUAUGAAGAUUUUGUUUUGGUUAAGAAAUGUGAAAAAUGCAGGAACAUAAUCCAUGGAAGUGAUGGGCCAGAGACAGCAAAAGAUGAGAAACCACAAGAACUUGGUUCUUACACCAAUAACGCUGAGAAGUGGAUCUAUGGCGACAACUAAAUCUCCUUAUCUUUCUUUCAUCAAAAAAAAAAAAUUUCUACAUAGCCAAACAAUGAAAACGAGAAACAGUUAUUACGGAUACAAACACAUCCUGGAUGAUUGGAUUAUAUAAUUCUUGUUUGUUUUGUCGAAUUGUUGGACCUUUAAUAUACAAAGAUUGAGAAAUGACGGAUUUUGUUUUUUUUAGUUUAAUGUUAAAUUAUAUUUAAAGAAAAAAAUAAACGUUUUACAACUUUGAUUGAGCUUUUGAGAACUAGAAAGUAUUAAGAAACAGUAUUUUGAAUCGUUCUUGCUGCUUAUCGAGUGGAGAACCUCAUACCUCAUAUCACCAGUUCUUUGGAUCGAACUUAGCUAGUUUCUAACGUUUUUGUCUAUCAUCUUGGAUAGUCAGUGGCCGUUAAGUCUCUCCAUGUCUUCUAUGGUUUCUUUCUCUCUGUACCGAAUGAAUGGAUGCUUCGUACGUUUCUUUUUCCUAUCAAUUACCAAAAUGUGCAGAUUCUAAAUAUUUAGCUUGAGUUUUGAGAGACAACCAAAAAAAAAAUGGCUAAGUACAUGGCUUAGUUUUUUUUUACAACUUUUUACAUGAACCCCCUUCAUACAAAGAUUCGUUCAUAGCUAGUAACAUUUUACGAAAAUUAUAGAAAACCUCCAUAAAUAAUAGACACAAAAUUCCAUGGAAAAACUGGAAACAGAACUGAUCAGGAGAUAAUGGCACAUUGUAAUGUAAAUGUGCAUUAAUUCAAAGAAUAGCCAAACAUGGAAUAAUACUUGAAGAUCGUUGAUAUCAUGUAAUACAUUACUGAUAGUCAAGAGAGAAAGAAAGAACUCAAAGUUCUGAAUUACUUCAACAUAUCAACCAAAUUAAUACACAAAACAUAUACUGCAAACACCAACAUUAAACAAAGCCCGAUAAACAAUAAAAGAUAGUGACGAAGCGAUGCAUCACAUGAGCUGAAGCAGCUCGCCGGGAAGUCCACUCGGUGCCGGCGAUAUUUAUCAACAAUGAAUGCCAUGACAGUAACAAACAACAUAAUUACUAUAAUCGAUGGGAAUCCAAAGGCGAAGACUACCGUUGAUAUAUCUUCGAGUUGGCCAUUUGAAUGCGGGAGUAUAGUACGGUAAGAUGCUAUCAUCGCAGUACUUAAAGCCCCCGUUGAACCAUAGAUGAACUUCCACAGAGGCAGUCCAAUUAUGAGAAUUAUGAUCACAUAUAGAGAUGAUAAAAAGGCAAAACCGUUGAGGACAUUAAAGAAUAAGGAAACGUCGAAAUCCAUAGUCAUCUGCCCAGCAACGUGAAAAUUCGGAUCACUAUGAUUUGCAGGAUUUGAACUUUCCUGCCAAAAUCCGCCUGGAGGACUGAGACCAGCCUGGUAUGUAGCUGUUGCUAUCAGUACAGCCACCACAAGUAUUGCAUCGUAACGGUUGCUAGUGUUUAGAGACAUGUCUCCGGUCAUGCUCAAAUUGCUCAGACCCAAGAGAUUGUUAUGUCUCUCAAUAAACGUUAGAUUUUUGCUCAAAUAUCCCGCAAGGGUCGUUGUGGAAUGACCAAGUAGUCUUUCUUUAGCACUGUGGAGAAUUCUUCUUGCUUUGAGGAAACAUGGAGAUUGGUGACUUUGAAGUAUGUCCAUCGCGGUUUUGCCAUCCAAAUUCUUGGCUUUUACUUUAACGGUUUUACGGAGCAACUUCAUAACCUAUAUUGAAGAGAGCAAAGUCCCAGGUCAUGAGAGCAUAACUAUCCAUUUAAUGGUCAAACAGCACUGUCUGAAACAAAAUUUUCGAGGAAAAGGAAAAACUAAAUUAUUAGAGAGAGACAUUUACCUCAGUCUGAUUCAUUGAUGCAGCAAUAUGGAAGGCUGUGUUACCAUCUUCGUCCUUCCAGUCCAAGAUUUCCUUCCUGUUCUCUCUCUUGACCCAUCCAUACAGAACCUUAAAUGCCAAAAGCUGCUGGUUCUUCACGGCAAUGUGCACAGCUGUCUCACACUUAAUCGUCAAAUCCUCUAUGGAAGAAGGACAAGCAAUCAAGAACUUACUCAACAACUCUGCAUCGCCAAUUCGAGCCACAUGAUGCAACGGAGUCAUCCUUCCUUUUCCCUUGAUGCUGAUUAAGCUGCUGUCAAUUGCCACAAAUCCGUUCACCAUUCGAAUGUGGUUGUUUUGCAGGGCUAAAUGCAUUGGGCUGAAACCUGCCACGUUUAGCUUCGAAGCAAGCAACGGCUUAAAGGUCAUUAAUUCCAUGGCAAAAUGAGUUUGUCCUCUCUCAGCUGCAAUGUGUAGUGGCGUCUCACAAAGAGGCACUUUAUCAAAGUGACCUAGAAGGUCUGGAUCUUCUGCUAUCAACUGGUAGAGUCUUUCUAUAUCCCCAUCUUGAGCCGCCUUCUUAAAUUUCU